rnacentral:lncRNA from 1 species
UAAAUCAAAUCCUAACCAAAUCCUAAUCCAAUCCCUAAAUCAAAUCCUAACCAAAUCCUAAACCCUAAUCCAAACCCUAAUCCAAAUCCUAAUCCAACCCUAAAUUCUAAUCCAAAUCCUAAACCCUAAACCAAACCUUAAAUCAAACCCUAACCAAACCCUAGUCCAAACUCUAAUCCAAAUCCUAAAUCAAACCCUAAUCAAAUCCUAAUCCAACCCUAAACUCUAAUCCAAAUCCUAAAUCCUAAACCAAAUCUUAAAUCAAACCCUAACCAAAUCCUACUCCAAAUCCUAAUCCAAACCCUAAAUCAAACCCUAACCAAACCCUAAACUCUAAUCCAAACCAUAAUCCAAACCCUAAUCCAAACCCUAAACCGAACCCUAGCCAAACCCUAAUCCAAAUCCUAGUAAUUCCUAUGACAGAUUUAAACCUCAAUAUCUAAUGAAUAAACCAUUGAUCUCAAUUCAAAAUUUUCGCACUUCUUAAAAAUCAAGUUCAAAACAAGCAAAUUUUUUUUGAAAAGGAUCGGAGUUACGAAAUUGACGAAAACCUCAAAAAUGUGUUCGGAUAUUAGCCGGCCUCCUUCUCUAAUCUUGUUGCCAACCUUCCAGAGCCAAUUUCUCUUUAUUGCGCCAUUCGAUUGGUGUCAAAUUUCUCCUGGACAUAGGAAAACAAGUCGAAUAUCCUCUCACACAAGUUUUAAUCCAAUCCAACUAGUAGAUUGGAUGAAAUCUUAAAAACCCUCACUAGACCUAAAAUUCUACUUUCUGAGACCUUGACUCACUUAAACCUCAAUAUCUCUUAGUUCAACCGUUAGAUCAAGCUAAAAUUUACAACAUGUAUUUAACACAACUAUAACCAUGAACCCAAAAAAAUUCACCUGUAGAUUUGCAACAAAACUCUCGAAAUCACUCAAAACAUAAACCCUAUUUUAUUUCAUAAAACCCAAGUCAUCCGAAAACAAACUCAACUUUGCAAAGCUUUUACAAAUUCAUAUUAACUCCAAAUCACCCAAAAUCAACGCCCAUAGGAACUCUAUCCAACCUUCUCUCUAACCUCAUUCUCCGAUCUACCAAAGAGUCCCGGAGUCGUCGUCGAGACUCGGUUUUGUGCCUUAGGGUUUGAUUUCGACCCUGGUUCAUAACCGGCCCUCUCCGGAUAUCAAUAUCUAGUUUUUUUAAGUAAAUUUUUCCUAGAAUUUACUCUUAAUUUUCUUCUAAAGAUUCCUAUAUCAUUUAUUUUUCCAAUCUACUUUGAUUUGCCUUACUUAUGGUACUACAAAGUAAGUAGAAGUCACCUUUCUAAAAGGCAGCAUUGGUACCUUUUAAUUUUUCUACCCCUUUGGCUAUUAACUAUAUUUCUAAGAUAAUUUGUUCUAAUACUUUAAACUAAGAUCUCUUAAAUUACAAUAAUCUCCAUACUCUUUCACCUAUUAAUUGUGUUACAUCACGACAACAGACAAGAAGCAAUAUUACCCAUUGAAUUGGAAGUUCAGAGUUUGCGCAUUGUGUUGGAUGAACGUCUUGAAGAUAAGGAAUCACUUCAAUAUCGGUUGGCAAAGUUGGACAAAUUAGAUGAAAUAUGGGCUACAGCUCUCUUCAACACGGAAGCAACUCAAAAACGAUGGAAGAGUUACUAUGAUAGUAAAUUACGUCUGAAGAGUUUUAUGCCCAAUGAUUUGGUAUUGUUGUUUGAUAGCACGUUUAAUCAUUUUCCGAGCAAAUUUCAAGUUCACUAGCAUGGGCCAUAUCGUAUAAUUGAAGGGUUUUCCAAAGGGUCUGUUCAAUUAGAGGAUUUCAUGGAUCAUCAAUUCAGUACCCACAUGUUAGGGACAUAGUCCUUAGACCUUUCUAGAGACAAGUUUCUAGAACCUUCUAGAAAGAAGUCUCUAGAAACUUCCAAAAGAUUCCUUGAAUAUUCUCUUAGAAUAUUCUUUAAAGAUUCUUUAAAGAUUCUUUGAAGAUUCCCUAAAGAUUCCUUUAGAAGGCUCUAGAAGAUUCUUAGAACAUUCUAGUAGAUUCUAGGAAGUUACUUGAGAAGCUUCCUAGCUCUUGGGUAGUUGCUCGAGAAGCUUCAUAGUUCUUGGGAAGCUUCUUGAUGCGCUUCCUUAGAACCAUAGGCCAGUAGUAUAUAUAGGAGUCGAGGCUGAAGAGUUCUUCAGUCUCGACAACACAUCUCUUGAAGCUCUAGCUCAAUUCUCUUGGCGUUGCUCUUGUACUAAUCUGAUAAUCUAGUUCUUGUCAUUUCUUCUUGAACUUCUUGUUUAGAUUUCUUGUUUGUAUUUUUGGUCUGUGACAAUUUGUCGAGACUACCUUUAUCUUAAUAUCAGAGCUGAAUCCUUCUUGUUUGAGAGCGGAUUACCCCUCUUCUUGAAGGUAUUCUAGCGCUUUAGGGGUUGUGGAUUACCUUCCUCUAAACUGAUAUUUUCUCAAUCACAAUAUCAGAGCUUAGUUCUUUGAGGCAGAGAGUGGACUACCCCUUUCCUUGGAGAUACUUGAGCGUUCUAAGGGUUGCGGAGUACCCUCUCUUGGACUGAUAUUAAUUCCUUCUUUUUGUUUAGCAUAGCUAGUAAAAAAGACUGUUAACAUCGAUUUCAGAGCUUUGCCUUCUUGAUAGAGUGCGGAUUACCCCUCUUCUCGAAAGCAUUGAGGCAUUUUUAGAGGUUGCAGAUUACCCUCCUCUAAAACUGAAAUCGUUUAGUAUUUUUUUUUCUUUUCUCCGAGUAGGUUUUAGUGACAGGUAGUGCUACAAUUUUCUCCAAGAGACUUAGCAAUUUCUUCUUCUCUCAAAAUUUUAAUCCAUCUAUUCUCUAAAUAUGGAAGUAGACCAGGUCAUAGACAAUGCAUCUCCACAAGUAGACAAUAGAGUGGCAACUCUUGCAGAUCUUCAAGCUCUUAUGAAUAGUGUACGAAAGGAGAUUGCAUUUCUUCGCAAUCCAAGUAAAGAACCUCAAAUUGAUCUAGUGACCGAAGAAGCUAGACGCGAAAUUCAUAGCCUACAACAAGAGAUUAUUCGACUGAGAGAAGCAAGACAUGCGUCACAUACGACCCCUAUGGAUACUUCAAGGAUUAGUACGAAAGAACCAAAAGCGAGUAUGCCAGACAAGUUUGACGGAACAAGAGCCAACUUCCGAGGUUUUAUGCAACAAGUACGGCUUUACCUACGUCUAUACCCUUCUCGUUAUCCGAAUGGAUUUACCCAGGUUGCUUUCAUAGGUACUCUUCUAUCAGGAAAUGCUCGCUCUUGGUUUGCUCCACUAUUGGAGAAGGAUUCUUCAAUAUUGUACGACCUAGAGGCUUUCAUAGAGAGACUUACUGCUGCGUUUGGAGAUAGCGAUCGAGAAAGAGUGGCUGAAAGAAAGAUACAAAAUCUGCGACAAGGAUCACGUUCUGCUGCAAUCUAUGCUGCAGAAUUUCAACAGCUUACAUGUGAUCUUGAUUAGAAUGAUAAGGCGUUCAUGACACGAUUUCGAUAUGGAUUGAGAGAUGAUGUGAAGAACUUAUUGAUCACCAUGCCUAAGGCGGAUACUUUAGAAGAACUUAUAUCUCAGGCAAUUAUUUGUGACAACCGCCUCUUUGAAUUACGACAAGAAAGACGAUCAAGCUGGAGAAAUGAUGGAGCAUUUGCUACAUUUCCAAAAGGUCCAGAGAAUCACUCCACAGAUCCUGAAUCCAUGCAAAUUGAUGCGGUACGUUUCAAACCCUUCACAGCUGAGGAAAGGAAGCGACGGUUUGAACAAAACUUGUGUUUAUAUUGCGGAGAAGCGGGCCAUAAAGCUGUAGAUUGUCGGAAGAAACAGAAGCCUCAAACAACAAGACUCAGGAGUACAAGCAUGCAGGAAAACAAGGACGCCCAGCCACAAUAGGGACCGUGCGGCUGGACAUCUCAACAUCCAAAAUUAAUCAAGGUCCCUUUCUCUCAGCUCAACCUUCAGAUUGUUUUAUGGUACCUUUACAUCUGGGUAUUCAAGAACUACAAGUCGAUGCUUUAUUAGACUCGGGUGCAUCCGCUUGCUUUAUAGAUGAAGAGUUUGCCAAGCUUCACAAUAUUUCUCUUGUAAAGAAACUUAAGCCUGUCCAUGUAGAAGUCAUAGACGGACGACCAUUGUCUUCGGGCAAUGUUAUCCAUGAAACUAAACCAUUGAAGGUACGUCUUGAAAACCAUGAGAGUAAUAUUGUGUUUAAUGUUAUCAAGACUCCUUCAUGUCCUAUCAUUUUGGGACUAUCUUGGCUUGAUAGAUAUAAUCCAUUGAUAGAUUGGAAGUUGCGGAAAGUGACAUUUCCAACAAACUCGUUGAAGGUGGAAUCUGCCAAGACAAUGUCUAGAAACAAAUCCUUGUUUAUAGAUGCAAGGGCUUUCAUGAAGGAAGCCAAGCAAAAUACACCUCUUGUCAUCUUCGCAACUCCGACUCAAGAAGAUGCAACUCCGACUUUGGUUAUUCCAAAGCAGUAUGAAGAAUUCAAAGAUGUCUUUGAAAAGAAGAAUGCUGAUAUGCUGCCAGAGCAUCGACCCUAUGACUGUGCCAUUGAAUUGCAAGAAGGAGCACAACCACCUUUUGGAUCAAUCUACAAUUUGUCGCAGACGGAGUUGACUGAGUUGCGGAAGUACAUUGACGAGAAUCUAGCCAAGAACUUCAUCCGUCAUUCGAAGUCGCCAGCUGGGGCACCAAUCUUAUUUGUGAAGAAGAAGGAUGGCUCACUACGGAUGUGCGUGGACUAUCGAGGUCUCAACAAGGUGACAAAAAAGAAUCGCUACCCACUGCCUUUGAUCUCUGGUCUUUUAGAACAACUUGGGCGUGCAAGGAUCUUUACAAAGAUUGACCUAAGGGGAGCUUACAACCUUGUGCGAAUUAAGGAAGGAGAUGAAUGGAAGACAGCAUUUCGAACAAGGUAUGGCCAUUUUAAAUACAAUGUCAUGUCAUUUGGUCUUACUAAUGCUUCAGCGGUCUUUUAACACAUGAUGAAUGACAUCUUUCGAGAGCAUCUAGACGAUUUUGUUGUCAUCUAUCUAGAUGAUAUUUUGAUAUUUUCUAAGAACGAGGAAGAACAUGAGAAGCACGUUCGUCUGGUACUCAAAAAAUUACGGGAGCGAGGACUCUAUGCCAAAUUGGAGAAGUGCUUAUUUCACCAAACUGAGAUGGAGUUUUUGGGAUUCAUCGCGACUACGGAAGGCUUGAAGAUGGAUCCAAAGAAGGUGGAAGCAAUCAUGUCUUGGGAAGUUUCGAAGACGGUUAGGGACGUACAAUGUUUUCUUGGAUUUGCUAACUACUAUCGGAUCUUCAUCAAGAAUUAUUCUCAAGUUGCUGCCCCCCUCACUCGAUUAACGUGUAAGGACAAGCUCGAAUGGGGACCUAUCACAGAAAAAGCAUUUCAAGAUUUGAAGAUGGUAUUUAUUACAGCUCCAAUCUUGGUACAUCCGGACUUUACAAAGGCCUUUUAUUUGGAGACAGAUGCUUCGGAUUUUGCUUUGGGAGUUGUACUUUCACAGAUGGGCGUAGAUGAGAAGCUCCAUCCAGUUGCGUUCUAUUCUCGAAAAUUCUCUGCUGCUGAGAUCAACUAUGAGAUCCACGAUAAGGAACUCCUUGCUAUAGUAGAUUCUUUCCAAGAAUGGCGCCACUUUCUCGAAGGAACUGUACAUCCAGUGACCGUAUAUACGGAUCACAAGAAUUUGGAGUAUUUUAUGUCGGUUCGGGUUUUGAAUCGGCGUCAAGCUCAGUGGAGUAUGUCGCUAUCCAGGUUCGACUUUGUUAUUACUUAUUGGCCUGGGAAGCAACAAGGGUUGUCCGAUGCAUUAUCAAGGAGAUCAUAUCUCGCGCCAAAGGCUGGAGAUGCAGCAUUUGAUCAACAGUGCACGACAUUGUUGAAGUCAGAGAAAUUUCGGCUCAACGCAGCUAUUGUACCAAUUGAUGCUGACUUCCUCGACCAGGUAUGGGCCGCAAUCAUUGAAGAUUCUUUAGCCCUUGAUAUCAAGCAACAUGCUAGUGAUGAUAAAUUCAAGAUGGAAAGAGAUCUAGUAUAUUUCGAAGAGCGGUUGUAUAUCCCAAAAGGGCCAACACGACUCCGAGUUCUUCAAUCUCGUCAUGACUUUCCAACUGCGGGACAUUUUGGAUUCAAUAAGACCUUGGAACUUAUUUCCCGUGAUUUCUGGUGGCCUCAAAUGUGGAAGGAUGUGAAAGAUUUUGUUGUAUCUUGUGACAUUUGUUCAAGAUCUAAAAACCCUCGACAUCGGCCUUAUGGACUUCUACAGCCAUUGCCUAUUCCGUGCCGACCAUGGUCUUCGGUUUCCAUAGACUUUAUUACGGAUCUACCACCAUCGAAUUCAUUUGACAGCAUUUUUGUUGUCGUAGACCGGCUUACAAAGAUGGCAUAUUUUGUCCCUUGCAAGAAGACAUUGUCAAGCGAAGACACAGCAAGACUCUUUCUUGAUAAUGUGUAUCGAUAUCAUGGUCUACCAGAUGAUAUCAUAUCGGAUCGAGGAACCCAGUUUGUGUCAAAGUUUUGGAAAUCUCUUUUUGAAAUAUUGAAGGUGGAUAUCAAGCUUUCUUCGACAUUUCAUCCUCAAACGGACGGCCAAACAGAACGGAUGAAUCAAGUUUUAGAGCAAUAUUUACGUUGCACCAUCAACUAUCAACAAGAUGAUUGGGUCACAUAUCUACCGCUAGCCGAGUUCGCAUAUAACAACACCCUUCAUGCGUCAACUCAACAAACGCCAUUCUUUUCCAAUUGUGGAUACCAUCCGAAGCUUGACUUAUGGAGUUCGUCAACGAUUAACAAUCCGGCAGCUGAAGGAUUGGUGAAGGAGCUUUUGCAGCUUCAAACUACAUUGAAGCUUCAAUUGCAAACUGCCCAAGAAUCUUACAGGGCGUCCGUGGACAAAUUUCAGAAUCAGGCACCUAAAUUCAUGAUUAGAGACAAAGUUUGGCUGCUUCGACGAAAUAUUAAGACCAAGCGGCCAUGUGACAAAUUGGACUAUCGGAGAUUGAGACCAUUUGUUAUCCAGAAGCAGAUCAAUCCUGUAGCGUAUUGUCUGGAGUUACCAGCUACUAUGAAGGUACAUCCUGUCUUUCAUGUUUCUUUGUUGGAGCCUUAUCGAGAAUCGUCUUUUCCUGAAAAAGUACAAUGUCCACCACCUAGCAUAGAAAUAGAGAACCACAAAGAAUACGAGAUGGAAAAGGUCCUGGAUUCACGGCAAAGACGGGAUAAAUUAGAAUACUUUGUGCAUUGGAGCGGUUACGAUAUUAAUGAAUGAACAUGGGAGCCGGUCGAAAAUCUCGCGAAUGCGCCGCAAAAGGUACAGGAGUUUCAUCGACGAUAUCCUGAGAAAUCCAAGCCGGUUCGACGAUAGCUUCAUACUGAAGCUUGCUCAUCCAGAAAACAGAAAAGAGGAGAGAGCACCACCAAAAUCCAUAGUUGAUGUAGUCAUUCUCUCCAAGAUAGCGUAGAACUUUGUUAGUAGCCCAAGUUUGUUCUUAUUGUUUUAGCCUUUGAAUAUGGAUAGCCAAGAUACUACACUUGUCAUGUCAUCUCAAGCAACUAGCUCACGAAGACGACCGCGAGAUGAAGAACCGCUUGCACCACGACGACGUCGAAGGAUUCCGAGCAACAGAUCGUUGGUGAUUGUAUUUGAGGUCGAGCCUGCCUACAAUGGUCAGCCAGAAGGAGUGUUUGCAAGACAAUUUCACAAUGAAGACACGGAGGUUCCUGCUUGGUCAGAAGUUGAAGGCGUGGGCCACUACCGUUGGCUUCAAGGACCAUUGAAUCACUUGCCUCGUGAACAACAAUUGGAGUUCAUAGCAGAGGUUAUGCGACAGAUGUUCAUUUUCUUGCGUUGGUAUUGACUGACAAUAACAUUGCUUCUCGGAGACCUCAAAGCUAAAGGAGGAGGUGAUGUUAGGGACAUAGUCCUUAGACCUUUCUAGAGACAAGUUUCUAGAACCUUCUAGAAAGAAGUCUCUAGAAACUUCCAAAAGAUUCCUUGAAUAUUCUCUUAGAAUAUUCUUUAAAGAUUCUAUAAAGAUUCUUUGAAGAUUCCCUAAAGAUUCCCUUAGAAGGCUCUAGAAGAUUCUUAGAACAUUCUAGUAGAUUCUAGGAAGUUACUUGAGAAGCUUCCUAGCUCUUGGGUAGUUGCUCGAGAAGCUUCAUAGUUCUUGGGAAGCUUCUUGAUGCGCUUCCUUAGAACCAUAGGCCAGUAGUAUAUAUAGGAGUCGAGGCUGAAGAGUUCUUCAGUCUCGACAACACAUCUCUUGAAGCUCUAGCUCAAUUCUCUUGGCGUUGCUCUUGUACUCAUCUGAUAAUCUAGUUCUUGUCAUUUCUUCUUGAACUUCUUGUUUAGAUUUCUUGUUUGUAUUUUUGGUCCGUGACACCACAUUAACAAGAACCGAUUACGGUUAUAUUAUACAUAAAAUCCGAGAUGGGUUUUCAAUUUUUGGAGGAGGUCACGUCGAAUGUACGUAGGAUAGAUCUAAUUAAGUACGUUAGGGAGUAGAAGCUGCUGAAAGGAUAGUUAAUAAUUACUAAUGUGUCAGAUGGGACGGGGAUGAGAAACGGACAAUAGGGGUAACAUGUUGUCGUUAUCACCACUAGAUAAAAGAAUAGGAGUGGGGCACCCAUUUACGGUCAUUCUCAGGUGUCGCAUUCUUUUAUUGUUUCUUUUCGGUGUUACAAUUUUGGGUGUUUCGGAGUAUUGGAGCAUAGCAUUGACGGUUAGAGCUUGAAAGAGUGUGCGUCAUGGUGAUUGAGAGUGCAAAGAGAGCUACGGAUAGAGAGGAAAGUGGCCAAAAUGUGAAAGCUAAACGAAAUUUAGGACCACCAUCCGUAGUAAUCGUUACCAAUUUGGAACCUAUGAAGCUGGAGAUUUGUUGGACGCCAAGGAGAAUACGAGAUUUUCAAAACGUGCAAAUGUUUCAAUUUUUGCGAAGGUUAGAUAGUUUGCCUUCAAUUAAUGUGGCAUUAGUGGAAGAAUACAUCACGAACUAUGAUCCACAAUAUGGAUCGAGCAUAGUACAAGGGCACGUUAUCGGUAUUGAUGAGAAGAUCCUUGAAAAAGUACUGUUUCUUCCAGUUGGAGAAAUUGUGGUGGGUGCUGAGGAGUCUAAUGACUUUCAAUUGGGAAGUUAUUUCAAAAGUGGCAUGUCAUCGUUUGAGAAGAACCAAGGUUGGCGGACGGCUGAGGCAAUUAUAUCAGAGCUCAUAGAAUGGUUGCGCUUCAUGCUGAGGCGUCUAAGAUUGUAUCGACACAACACAUAUAUGUCAAAACGGUUAAUGUUUGUAGUGGUAGGGAUGUUUGAAGGGAUGGUGUUCAAUUGGGCAGCUUAUGUAGCUACCCGUAUUCAUGGAAAAAUGGGAGCUAAGCACAAAAUAGGAAAGUUUACAACGUUACUAUGUUCCAAUUAUGUAAAUGCUAUAAUCGCGUACACAUUGCGGGAAACAUCGCUAGUAGAGGGAAGUUCUGAACUAGUGCCAGUGCCUCCACAGCAAGAACGGAAUUCGUUGGCAUAGAAUGUCAAUACAACGGAGGUAAUACAUGAAAUUGGAGAAUCCAAUUGUCUAGUGGCACCGGAAAUAGAUCUGAUUCAUUCGGUGGUGGAGGAGGAGAAUGAAGUACCAACGUUGUUAGAUAUCAAUCAGUCAGCGUUUCUACAGGGCCGACUACCAGAAGGCAUUGUCGUAUAACGUGCUUUCCUGCUCAAAAAUGCGUCGGGCGUCUGGCUGUAGAAGGUAGUAUGGAAAUUCACCGAUAGUCAAGCAGUCUAUCAGUUUUGACUGCUGGAAUAUAAACGACUGCAACAAUGUACCGUAAAUCUAUACGAAUGCUCUUUGACUGCUUGUCGAAGUCCUUUUUGUCCCAGCUGGUAAGUCUCUAGACGUUACAGAGAACCCCGAACAACCCAAACUGUUAAUCUUCAAUACCGCUUUGUACUUACGAUCUUGUAUCCACUGACUGUCUUGUUAGAUUAACCCAAUAAAUUUCAUUCACUCCGCAUACUCAAUCCUAUAGAUAUCCUUUUAAUCCUUCAAUCACAGACGUAACUUGAUUUCACAAAACAGUCAAGAGUAUUCAAACUCACUUCAUUAAAAAUCCCGAUUCACCAUUACAAUACUGACUUCAGCAGCGAUUGCCUCAGUCUUCCCAAAACUCUAUGAAGAAGAAAAAUCCAAAUUCUAUGUCUUUCCUUCCUUGAUCCGAAGCAUAAAGCUCCUUUUCUCUAAUCUCUUUGAUCUUCAAAAACCUCUAAUGAAUACCGAACUAGUAACCUUGCAAAAGCUUGAAAACUAGAUCCCCCUAAUUUCCAGAAAAAAAAACCCCCCCCCCCUGAUCUCUGAUCUGAAAAAAAAAACCCCCCCUUCAAAACUAUAUCCCUCCUAACCUUAUCCUCUGAAUUUCUUCAAUCUUCCGUCAUAGAUCCAAAAUUGGCUCCCACCGUCAAGCUUGGAUCCAAAAUUGGCUCUCGCCGUCAGAGCUUUCUCCUCCGUUUUUACCUUUAAGAAAUCCAUUUACCGAAAACAACGUUCCUUGAAACGGCACAGAGAAUAGGACAGCCCGAAACAGAAUCGAAACACCAUAAUCGGGUCCACAUUGAGUCGCCCGACCAAUUCAGGUCCCAUAUUGGAAAAGAUGCCCGUAGUAACCUGGAUGUUCGCAUAAUUGGGUCAAAUUGGUCCUCACGUCAGAUUAGCUAAGACCCGUAGUAAGACCUAGAUUUCCCAUAAUUAGAUUGCAUUGGGUUGAUCGGCCAAUUCAGGUCUCAUAUUGGGUAAGAGGACCCGGAUUGGAUUCUCGAAAUUGGAUCCAAUUGGCUCUUCAAACCCGUCGUGUGAAUUGGUCCUUCUCUUCCUACUGACUCCUGUUAUUGGAAUUCAAUGGAGCAUUUCAGUAUGCCCUGGCUGACUGUAACAGGGUGACUGAACCUGGCCACUCAAUAUUUGUACAGGAGUUGGUCGUUGCUCCCAAUAUUCGAGGUAACUGAAUAUUAAUAAAAUUCCCCUUCUGUUUUUAUUUUUAUUUUUUUUUAUUUUCACUGUAUACUCGUGUUACAACACGACAUCCACCCCCUCUGAACCUGUGCAUCCUCCGGUAUGCACCAAUUUACCCAAUUGCUGUUUGAUUCAGAAUAUAUCCUCUAUGUCUUUGUCCAGUUCGUCUUCGUCACUUUCAUUAUCCAAAUCACUUUCAUCUUCUUGCUGCGGAAUCUCUGUACCUUCAUUAAGGUCUUCCAUAUUCAUCUCUGCGUGUCUUCGUUUAAAUAUUUUUACUCGCUUCCCUGCAAUUGGUAUUUUCAAUUUUGUACCAUCUAACUCCUGUAAUGAGUAAGUCGCAUUAUCAUGAACAGUUGUUACAACAUAUGGUCCAAACCAACAUUUUGAAAAUUUCUGCAAAGUACUAUGUUGAUUAUCCAGACUAUUGUCAUAAACAAGUAUCCAGUCACCUUCCUCGAUUGCUUUUGGUCUCAAUCGAUGUUGCUUAUCAAAUCGUGCCUUGUUUUGUAACCUUGCUCUUUUUAACCUUUCCAAUGCUAUCUGGACAUCUUCCGUUCUUUGCUCCAAUUGUCGAAUCCUAAUAGCCAGAAGUUCUUCUCUUGUCAAUCCAUCUUCCUAUGGUAGCAUAUUCCAAGUAAGUACCUUUUCUUCAAUCGGCAUAAUUGGUUUUUGACCUAUCAUAAGUUCUACUGGCAUAUAUCCUGUCACCGAACUAUGUGUUGUUCGAUCAGCCCAUAAUGCAAAUGACAAAAGCCGUGGCCACUCUUUAACUUUUCCAUUACAAGCUUUAACUAAUGCUUUCACAAUCGGCAGGUGACCGCGUUCGCUUUUCGCAUUUCCUUCCGGAUUAUAAGCAGUAGUCAGUGAUAGUUUAACUCCACAUUUUUCAAAGAACUUUCGAGCUUCUUGUGCAUUUAAUUCUCCACGAUCUGCAGUGAUUUUUCCUACGCACCCGUAACGGCAAAUGACAUCUUCAAGCAAAAACCUACAAAUCCCUUCUGUAGAUUUUGUUCUCAAUGGUCUUCCUUCUAUUUGAUUUGAUAAAUCUUCACGAGCUAAAACCAAAUAUCUCAUCUGCUAUAACCCAACCGGCAUAAUAACCAAAUCAACAACCCAUUUAAAAUGAAUAGCCAGAGGAUACGUAGGAUGAAGACCAUCUCGAUGUCGGAUAUUAGAAUACGAUUGACAGAUUUCACAUGACUCUACAAAUGAGAGCACAUCUUGAUACAUAUUUUUCCACCAAUAUCGUUCCUUGAGUUUAGCAAAAGUAGCCCAGAUUCCUCUAUGCCCUGCUCAUAAACUAUCAUGAAACUCCUUUAAUAAUUUUAGUUUUUCUUCCCUUUUGCCUAUCACUCGUUGUGGCAUCCCAAUUCCUUUCUUCGGUCUCUUCCAUAAGAAUCCAUCUCGAAGUAAAAAUCCAUAUGCUUUUUUUCUUAUUUGUUUGAAUUUUUCUAUAGACCAAUUCCCUUGCUUAGACAAGGUAUUCAAAUAAUGACCAAUAUCCAAUAAUUCUCCUUCAUAAGAUUCUUCAAGAAAUAGCUUGUCUUCUUUGUUGAGAUUUGAUAUUGAAUAGAAUUUCAAUCCGACAUCAUCAAUGUCUUCAACCAUUUCGUCCUCUCUCUCGUAUCUUGCUCGAGAUAGCAUGUCUGCUACUAAAUUGUCCUUUCCAGUGAUAUGCUUAAAUUCUGGAUUUAGUGACUUAAUAUAAGCAAUCCAUCUCAACAUUGUAAUAUCUGGCGUUGAACAGUUAAUAAUCAUUCCAAGCAAUGGCAAGCAAUCUGUUUCAAUUGCUACUAUUGCCCCAAUUAAAUAGUCCUUUUUAGCUUUUAUAGCCGAAACGACUCCCCAAAGUUCUCUUUUGACUUGCAAAUAUGCACGCUGACGAAUACUUAAAACUUUAGCCCCAAAUCGAACUGCAAAUCUACUCCCAUUCGAAUCAUCUUGACCCACAGUCCAUCCAACGGCAAUUGGACUAGCGUCUACAAUAAGAAUCACUGGUCUAUUGUACUUAUAAUCAACCUUCCUCAAUAUUGGAGGUGACAUCAAUAAUUUCUUCAAUCUUUGCAUUGCCUGAAUAUGCCUUUCUUCCCAUUCAAAUCGGUAACCCUUGCGUAACAGUUCAUAUAAUGGAUCCGCUAUGUGAGCAAAAUGAGGGAUCCAGAUUCGAUAAAAUACACAUGCAUCCAAAAACCUGCGAACCUCUGUUAAAAAACCACAAUCCUCUUUCAUCCUUCCAAUUGCAUCAACUUUAGUCGAAUCUGGUUUUCUUCCGUAAGAUCCACAUAAAUGUCCAACAAUUACAACCUCUCGCACUCCAAAUAUGGACUUCAUACCCGAUAAUGUAAGAUGAACUUCUCCAAGCCGAGUUAAAAUCUUUUCACAAUCUUGUAUAUGAUCAACAACAUAUCUGCAACACCCCCUCGUAUCUAAAGUUUCAUCCUUGUCUCCUUCUCUGCACCCUUUUAUAGGAACAUCAUCCAGAAAGGUAUAGUCUUUUUCGGAAUAAAAUCUCUCAAUACCUUAUUCAUCCCAUUCAUCAUAUGCGCAACUGAGUUGGUCGCGCCUUGAGGAAGAGUGUACAUUCUAACCAAUCCAAGCGGUGUCCUCAUCGUUGUCAUAUCUCUACUUCCUUCGGUAAGUUGAAAUUGAUCAUAACCUGAAUACAAAUCACCCAUUGAAUAGAUCGCCCUUCUAGCAAACGCCUCAGCAAAUUCAUCCACAAUAGGUCCAAUUCCUACAUUCCCGACAGUUACUGCAUUCACCGGUUGCAUAUCUUGAAUAAACCGUAGUGACCCAUUCUUCUUAGGUACUGUAAACCAUCGACUAGAAUACGGCGCAAAUGAAGGUUCUAAUAUUUUCAUCUUUAUCUUUUCUUUCAAUAGUUCCACCAAUUUAGGUAAAUGUGCCCUCGGUACUGGAAUUGGUCUUAGAUUCCAAGGUACAUGCGGUACAGUGAAGAUAACCAUAGGUGUUAUAAUAUUUGGAUCCACACACCCAAUUUCAUGAGAUUCAAAGGCAAACGAUCUACCUUGUUUAGCCAACAUCUUUUUGAAGCAAGUAAUUUCCUCCGGCAAUAAAGAACCAUCAGAACCAAUCUUCAAUUCUUCAAAAGUCUCUUCAGUAAACUGAUGUCCAAUACUCAUUGGAUCUCUUAAACUUGCUUCUUUUGAUGCUUCUCCCAUUUGUUCUUUAGAAUCCUCUGGUAAUGGUCCGGCAACAGGCUUUACCUUCUUAUCUGCUGUUUUAUAUCUCAUCUCUACUGUGACUUCUGGUGCUUGAAAAGAUUCAAGCAUGGUAUAAACCUCUCUCGAAUGAAUCUCAACAAUCUUAUCAUUAUCCCCUAACCCAAUAGAUGUAAUCAAUUCCAAUGAAUCUUCCAGUCCAUUUUCUUCAUAAACAUCCAAAAUCCUCUCAUCAUCUUGCAAUGUACCUAUCUUGCGUAACUGUCCUUCAAUAUCAUAUAAUCUUUUUCUUUCUUUUCUUUUAAAAUCAUCAACUUUCUUAUACAUAAUAUUUCCAUUCUCCAAUAUACCAAUAAAACUCGCAUCAAAGGCACCUUCAUCUCGCGAGAGUACCUCCUCCUUUGUACCUCCAAUAAUCUCGCUUUACAGUGGUACCUCCCCAAAAUCCUUAAAUCCUUCAACAAUCUUUGGCAAUAGUUUCUCCCUCAACCUAUCUCGAUUCCGUUCAUGGUUAGGAGGUACUGUUAGAAAUUGUACAGCUUUCCUCCCAUCUUCGCUCCGUACCCUUGCAUAAGCAGAACCAUCGUCAAGUACCUUUGUUUCCAUCCGUGUUGCCGUGAUAUAAGGUUGUCCUAAAAUCAACGGAUAAGACGUUGUAUCUUGAAUGAAGAAAUGUUGCUCCGUCGCAACAUCCCCAAUCCGAAUUUUGACAUCUGGACAAGCUCCAUAUAAUUCGCCUCGUGUGUUAUUAGCUGCUCGUAUUGCCCAUCCAUGUUCCAUAUCAAUUGGCCAUUUUUGCUUCUUAUAAAGAUCUUUAGACAUGAGAUUUAUUUUAGAACCAUGGUCCACCAAAGCAACUAUUGGUUCUUCUAUAUCUCCUACCUUCACCAAUACCUCAGUAGUUGCCCUUGCCCAAUGCUUUCGAGUAUAAUGGCUCAAAGUUUCCAUUUCCUUGUCACUAGAAUCUUCGAAACGUACUCGCUGAUUAUACCCAUUCUUUUCAUUUGUUGGUUGCUUGUAACCAAUAUCAACCUCUUCUUCAUCUCUACAUAUUCUUGCAUCAAUAGCAUGACUCAUUCCAGUUUCGCUCAUUAAUUGCCUCUUUCGUUUAAUGCUGUCAAUGAUAACAUCAUGAAACUCCUUCUUUGCAAUUCUCAAGACUUCUUUCAAUGUGAAUUCCACCUUAGCAUUUAAUAUACGUUCUUCUAACACCCCUUUCAAAUUUGUUGCCGCUUCAAUGUCAGAAAGUAGCUUAUAAGCAAUUGAUUUGCCCUUAUCUUUUGUCUCCAUUGUUUUUUCUCUCAAUUAUGCUGAGGUAUCCUUUACAGGCAAUUCUUGUGAAGCUGCUUCCCGAGCCUUGUCUCCUCGAGUUUGCCUCUUAAAAGAAUUUCCUUCUCUAGUAUCAUCAAAAUUUCCUCGUCUUUUUUCUUCCAUCAAAGCUUCAUGUUGGCUCUUAGCAAUAUAUGCAUGAACUGAAAGAGACUCAAUAGGAUCCUCCCAACCUGUUCUUCCUCGUAUUGUAGCUGUAGUUCUCAAUAACGCUUCUCGAGGUAAUUUCCCUUCUUGCAUUGUAGAAACGGCAGAAGCCCAAAACUCACUAGUUUCCGUACUUCCACCAAUUUCAUCAUCUACUCUAGCACCAUAACUUGCACUUUCUCGUGCUGCUGUUUCAUGCUCCUUUAAGUAAUCUUGAACCAAUGCUCUCAUUCCUCCCUUGCCAAAAUUGGUUUGAAGAAGUUCCUUCCUAUCUUUCAAUGCUAUCUUCUCAUCUUUCCAGCAAAUAAUUCCCUGCCGUAUCAUAUUAUUAAAUUCAUUGCAAUCUUUUCUAGUGUGUGAAGCAUCAUCACACCAAAUGCAUCUUUGUACAUAUCCUUGUUUUGAAACAUUCUUCGAAUUGUUUAUAGAAGUAUUCUCUUCAAGUCUUGCCAAUUUGAUUUGAAGAUCUCGCAUUCCUCGUAUAAUUUCUUCCAUUCUCAUAUCUACUUUCUUUGACAAGGAUGUCGAAGGUUGAACUGUAGGCAUUGUCGGUGGUGUUGUACGUACUGGAACUUUGGGUGCUUGUAUUGUUUUCGGAAUAUUGCUCCUAUCCUUCCUCCUUUCUUUUUUUGUAAGCAACCCCAUCGCAUCUUCAACGUUCUUCCACUUCGUUGUCAAUCCUUCAUCUUCUUCUUUGUCUUCAAGAAGGGGUUCUAAUUUCUCUUGCAAUUCUCCAUCAGCAGCUUGAAGAAAUAGAUCAACUUUGUUCGGCUCCGAUGUCAAUUUUUCUACCUUCGGUAAUUGAGAGUACUGCCUCUCAAAUUCCCUUAGUAGCUUUGUUGCUUGCAAAUUCUUAUUGGGUCGUUCAAUCCAUCCCAGAAACAGCUUCUUAGUAACGCGAUCAGCAUCUUCCAAAAAAUAUUCGUCUUUCAAUGCAUGUGAAAAAUUCUCCCAUGAAUUCCCACAACGAUCUGUAAUCGAUGUAAUGUGGUCCCUUAUCUCCGGUAUCGUGGCAAGUCCAAAUAGUGCAACCAUUUUCUUCUCAGAAACCCGAUUUAAUUCCAUUUCACGAACAUAACAUCUUAAAUACCUUGAAAUAUUCCUCCCAUCAAAUUGAUCAAUUUUAUUGAGCACUGCUUGCAAUGCUUUGGUUGCCAAAGCUUCCUUUCGAUCAUUGCUUUACUGUUGCUACAUUGACAAUGAGAAGGCUUGAAACAAACUAGCGAUAGACGGAUCCAUGUGCAUACCUUGUCCUUUAGAAGACUCUCCACCAGAAACUCCUCCCAAAAAUCCUUCAAAAUUUUUAUUUUUGUUUUUCAUAAAAAUAAAGAUAAAAUCAACCGAAAUCCAAUACCUUCCACCUCAAGCUUUCACGUCGGGUUCACCACUUAUGUCGUAUUACGUGCUUUCCUGCUCGAGAACGCGCCGCGCGUCUGGCUGUAGAAGGUAGUAUGGAGAUUUGCCGAUAGUCAAGCAGUCUAUCAGUUUUUGACUGCUGGAAUAUAAACGACUGCAACAAUGUACCGUAAAUCUAUACGGAUGCUCUUCGACUGCUUGUCGAAAUCUUUUUUUUUUGCCCCAGCCUGUAGGUCUCUAGACGUUAUAGAGAAUCCCGAACAAUCCAAACUGUUAAUCUUCAAUACCCCUUUGUACUUACGAUCUUGUAUCCACUGACUGUCCUGUUAGAUUAACCUAAUAAAUUUCAUUCACUCUGCAUUCUCAAUCCUAUAGACACCCUUUUAAUCCUUCAAUCACAGACGUAACUCGAUUUUACAAAACAGUCAAGAGUAUUCAAACCCACUUCAUUUAAAAAUCCCGAUUCACCAUUACAACACUGACUUCAGCAGCGAUUGCCUCAGUCUUCCCAAAACUCUACGAAGAAGAAAAACCCAAAUUCUAUGUCUUUCCUUCCCCGACCCAAAGCAUGAAGCUCCUUUUUUCUAAUUCCCUUGAUCUUCAAAACCCUCCAAUGAAAACCGAACUAGUAAUCUUACAAAAGCUUGAAAACUAGCUCCCCCCCAAUUCCGCGAGAAAGAAAAAAACCCCCCUCCCUAAAACUAUAUUCUCCCCUAACCUUAUCCUCUGAAUUUCUUCAAUCUUCCAUCUUAGAUCCGGAAUUGGCUCCCGCCGUCAGAGCUUAGAUCCAAAAUUGGCUCACGUCAUCAAGGCCUUCUCCUCCGUUUUUACCUUUAAGAGAUCCAUUUAUCGUAAACAACAUUCCCUGAAACGGCACAGAGAACAGGACAGCUCGAAAAAGAAUCGAAACCCCGUAAUCGGGACCACAUUGAGUCGCCCGACCAAUUCAGGUCCCAUAUUGGGUAAGAUGCCCGUAGUAACCUGGAUGGUCGCGUAAUUGGGUCAAAUUGGUCUUCGCGUCAGACUGGCUGAGGCCCGUAGUAAGACCUGGAUUUUCCUGUAACUAGACUGCAUUGAGUUGCCCCACCAAUACAGGUCUCAUAUUGGGUAAGAGGACCGGGAUUGGAUUCUCGAAAUUAGAUCCAAUUGGCUCUUCAAACCCGUCCUGUGAAUUGGUCCUUCUCAUCCUACUAACUCCCGUUAUUAGAAUCGAACGGAGCAUUUCACUAUGCCCCGGCUGACUGUAACGGGGUGACUGAACCUGACCACUCAGUAUUUGCGCUGGAGUUGGUCGAUGCUCCCAAUAUUCGAGUUAACUGAAUAUUAAUAAAAUUCCUUUUUUUUUUUUUUUUUUUUUUUUUUUUUUUUUAUUUUCACUGUAUACUCGUGUUACAACACGACAACGGACAUUGAGAAUUACUACUAAUAUAGAACUAUAUGAUAUUCUAAAAGAUUUGGGCACCAUACAACCCACGAUCUCUAUGAAGCAACUAUUGGUGGUAGCAUCUGAGUGCCAAACUAUCUUGAUUUCUUCAUUAAUUCAUCACAGUUCUCAAAAUAAAGAAAUUUGAGAAGUAAGUUUGAAUCCUGAUCCGGGUGCACUAACGAUUAAUGUCUCAAUUGAUGGAGUAUUAGUAUCAGGAGUGCAAGUAGAUGGAGGAUUUAGUGUAAAUCUUAUGAAUGCUGCUACAAUAGAGGAGUUGGGUUUAAAUCACUUAUUGCCUACUAUACUGGUUUUGAAAAUGGCUCACUUCAAUCGAAUUAAUUCUAUGGAUAUUUUACAAAGUAUUGAUAUAGUAAUUAUAGGAAUUACCUACAAAAUUGAUUAUAUUAUUUUCUAAUUGUAAAGCUCUAUAUUGUCAUACUCAAUUUUAUUGGGGCCACCAUGGUUGUAUUAAGCUAAAGCUCGAAAUGAUUGGGGCCAUGGUACAUUAACAAUUGAGAAAGGUAAUGAUAAAAUUGUGCUUCAAAUGUAUCCUAUCCAAUAUCAUGGAGUAACUUAAGUUGUUAGUUUAGAAUUCAUGUCAGAUUGUGAAGAUGAGUCUAUCAAGAAAGAAAUUGGUACACCUAACCCAAUUUAUGUUGAUACAAGACAAGUUAUUGAGCUCACUAGAAUGAAAUAUCAGUGUAAGAGAUCGGGAGAAUACUUAGUUCCUCUAGAUAUUAUUGACAAUUCUGAUCAUGUAAUUAUAUAUUGGAUGAAUAGACAGGAUGUUAAUCACAUUAGUAAUAUGGAAUUAGAGUUGGAAAGUUCUAAUUUAUUGGAUUUUAUGAAAGAUUUUGGAAUAUAAUUGAACAUUAUUUCAAAGACUCUUGAAAUUCCAUGAUGUCAACCAAUUAAUUUAGGUAUAGGGGAGGCUCUCCAAAUCAUUCAGAUUUAUGAUGGUAUAAAAGGCAAGGAGAAAGAAAUUUGGAUGGAUUACUUUUUAAUGCAUAAAAUUGCUUUUGCAUAGUCAUAUGCAGAUUUGAAAGGAAUUCCAACUGAAGUUUAUGAGCAUCAAAUUAUAUUGGAAGAGAACGCUCUAUCAAUAUGCCAAAGACAACAUCAACUUAAUCCAAAAUACUCACUUAUGAUAAAAGAAGAACUAGAUAAACUCUUAGAAAUUGGAUUUAUCUAUCCAAUUCUUUUUAGUGAAUGGGUUUCACCAAUUGUUAUGGUACCGAAAAAGAAUGGAAAAAUUCCCAUCUCUCAAGAUUUUUGCAAAUUAAAUGUGGCUAUCAAGAAGGAUUAUUUUUUUUUACCAUUCAUGGAUAGUAUAUUGGAUGUUGUCACUGGACAUGAAUGUUAUUCAUUUCUUGAUGGAUUCUCCGGUCAUAAUCAAGUUAAAAUUAUAAAAGAAGACUAGUUAAAAACUACGUUUAUUAUGGAUUGAGGGACCUUUGCUUAUAAGGUUAUGCCGUUUGGACUUUGUAAUACACCAGCUACAUUUCAAAGGAUAAUGACGCAAGCAUUCCAAGAUUAUCUAUGAAUUUCAAUGGAAAUAUUUCUAGAUGAUUUCUGUACAUUUAGUAUGAGAGCCAGGCAUUUGGAAUGUCUCGGUCAAUGUUUGAAUCAAUGUGCCAAAUAUAGAAUUUCUUUAAAUUCAAAAAAUUAUUAAUUUGGUGUACCUUCUAGUAAACUGUUGGAUCAUAUAGUUUCGAUGGCAAGAAUUGCUACAGAUCCAGAUAAAAUAAAGAUUAUAGUAGAAUUAAAGCAACGAGACACUGUUACGGGUGUUCAAGUAUUUGUCGACCAUGUCAAUUAAUAUUGGUGAUUUAUCUAUCUAUUCACAGUUAUAUAUCUUUUUUUAACAAAUCUCUUGAAGAAACCACCAACCGAUGGGACCAGUCCAUUUUGGACAAAAGAAUGUACAAUUACAUUCGAAACAUUGAAACAGAAAUUGGUUUCAGCACCAAUAUUGGUGGCACCUAAUUGGACAAAACCAUUCCAAGUUUAUGUGGAUGCAUCUAAUGUCGCGAUUGGUUCUGUGCUAAGCCAGAAAGAUGAUCGAGAUUUUGAUCACCUUAUUUAUUAUGCAAGUUAUUAAUUGAUAGUAGCUAAAAGAAAUUAUACAAGAACCGAAAGAGAAGCACUAGAAAUGAUUUAUUCCAUACAAAAGUUUUGACAUUAUCUUCUUGGUUAUAAAUUUGUUUUCCAUGUUGACCAUGAUGCUUUAAAAUAUAUGAUUAAUAAGCCUCAAUUGAGUGGUCGUAUUGCAUGAUGGAUUUUACUCUUGCAGGAAUUUGACUUUACUAUUCAGGUAAGGCAAAAAAAUCACAUUCCAAUGCGGACCAUUUAUCUCAGGUUUCCAAUAUAUUAGAUAAUAAAUCCAUUAACGAUGUACUAUCUAAUGUAGAACUAUUUGCGAUAGAUGUAAUUACUCUGAAGUAUAGUGAAAUAAUUCAAUACUUGACAUUUCAAACCUUCCCACCCAAUUUUAAUGAAAAGCUUAAAUGACGCUUAAUAUUAAAAUGUGUACCUUAUACGAUGAUUGGUGAAGCUUUAUAUAAACAAGGCAAGGAUGGAGUUUUGCGAUGAUGUAUUUAUCAGACUAAAGUAUGUAUUAUAUUGGAAGGUUUCCACUCGGACAGUUAUGGUGGACAUUUUUUGGGGGACAGCACGACUUGUAAAGCUUUACAAGCUGGUUAUUGGUGGCCAACAAUGUUUGCAGAUGCCCACCAAUAUGUCCGUCAUUGUGACCCAUGUCAGAGAACAAGUCGACCUACUGGAACUUCAGCAAUGCCAUUGGUACCAAUUCUGGCUCAAGCACCUUUUGGAAAAUGGAGAAUUGAUUUUGUGGGACCAAUUGCACCAACCUCAAGAAAUGGACAAAAACGGUAUAUAUUGAUAGCAAUGGAUUACGUAAAAAAAUGGACUGAAGCCGUAGCUACAAAAACUGAUAGUGCAAGUACAGUAGCAACCUUUUUGUAUGAAAAUAUUAUUCCACGAUUCGGUUGUCUACGAAAAUUGGUUAAUGAUCGAGGAACUCAUUUUAUAAAUAGUACAAUUCAAGUACUUACGGCUAAAUAUGAGAUAAAAUAUUGGAAGACUACAUUGUAUCAUCCUAGAGCCAAUGGAAAAAUAGAAAAGACUAAUGGAAUUUUAUGUAAAAUCUUAACAAAAAUAGUUUAAAGAGCAAUGUCGAGGUAGACAAAGUUUGCCUCAAGAAAACGCUAGGCUCUUAGCUGUCACUAAUUAUUCAAUCAAGCUUGAAAAUAAGAGAAGUCCUUACUUUAUGUAUAAUUUUUUCCUUUUUGAGUAAUUACACCAAAUACACAUUCCUCAAGUAAUCCACAACUUCCAAAAUAUGAUAAAAUCUUCUAAAACCUUGUUCAUUCUUAUAUGGAGAUUUUUCCAAACUUCAACACCUCAUAUCUCCUAAUCCGACCGUCCAAAAAAACUCAAAUUUUAUAUGAGAUACUAAUGUAUUCUUAUUAAAUUCUACAACAAUUUUCAACCGCAAAUUCAUUGCACAUCUUGAGAUAUCUUGGAAACCGUAAUAGUCACUUCAAACCCUUAUCUUUAUACAUCCGUGUGCAAUUUUCUUCAUAUCUCACAAAAUAUAGGCUCAAAUUCCACGAAUUUUGUAUGUAUAGCUUCUUAAUACAAAAAUUUAUAUUUUCGUAAAAUUUUAAGCCAUAAAUUUGUCCGAAAACUCAAGUUAUGGCUCCAACCAUUACUAUAAACAAACCCGCUAACUCACUACUUUUGAUUUGGAAGCACUGUCUUCAACUCCUUACAACUCCUUCAUAUGAAUUCUAAAAGCAAUAAUUCUUUUAUAAAAGAUGUAGGCCUUGAAAUCGCCGUUCCAGUUGCACCUUUCGAUCUUCAAAGGCUGCUGUAAAACUCCUCAUACUCUCAAAAGAGUAACAGUAUGUCUUAAAUUAACACCUUAACUUCAAACAGCUAUAACUUCUUCAUUCUAAUUCCAAAUCCUCUAAUUUUUGCACAAAAAUUAUACUCCAAAUCCUAAAAUUUAUAACCUUAGCCUAUAAUUUCCGAAUGCCUCUUUUGAUGUUGCCAAAAAUCUUCUUAAGGUCGCAAGCAACCUCCUCAAAGCCCAUUGGACAUGAUAUUCGACCAAUAGGGAUGAAGUUCUCCAUUCCUUGCCUUCAUCCGACCAUGCCUUGCUUUCAUCCCUCUCAAUUAGCCUCCUACUAGUUUAGAUUUUCAUCCUUAGGUUUCCACCUUUUCCCAAGGCUUCAUACUAAAUAUUUAGGUCCUAUAUAUAUAUAUAUAUAUAUAUAUAUAUAUAUAUUUAUAUUUUUUUUUAAUGUCAAAAUCAAAAGAAGUAAAGAAACAAAAUAAAGUUUCUUAUACCAACUCCUUUUAAUUUAAUCUACUAGCCACUCUAACACACAUCUAGAUUUAUCAACAUAUAAUAUGUUUUAACUAAUUUUUACAUACUGUAAGCAUUUAUAGUAUGACAACGGGAACAGAUUGGCACACUAAGUUGUUUGCAGCUUUAUGGGCAUACUGUACUGCGUAUAAAGUUACUACCAAUGCUACCCCUUUUCAAUUGGUUUAUGGCUAGAAAGAAUUAUUACCUAUUGAAUUGGAAGUCCAAAGUUUACGAAUUUCUAUAGAUAAUAGAUUAAGAGAUCAUGUUUCUUUAUGGCACCAUUUAGAAGAAUUAGAAAAUUUGGAUGAAACUAGAGCCAAUGCAUUAAUGAUAAUGGAAACUAUACAAAAACAAAAGAAGAAUUAUUAUGAUAGUAAGCUUAGACCAAAGGUUUUUAUGCCAAAUUAUUUGAUACUUCUUUAUGAUAGUCGAUUUAAAAAAAUUUCAGAAAAAUUUCAAAUUUGAUGGCAUAGACCAUAUCGAGUUAUUGAAAAAUUUCCAAAUGGUUCUAUGCAAUUGGAAGAUUUUAUGGGUACUAAAUUUACGACACAGAUCAAUGGCAAUCGGUUUAAACUUUAUUAUAUAUAAACCCGAGACAGAUUUCCUGUUAUAAAAAGGGAGUUGAUCCAAUUGAUUAGACCAUAGUAAGAAGUAGGAGGGGGGCUCUUGACAAGCAUCAUGUUUUUUUUUGUGGUUAAGGAGAAGUGGAUGGCAAAAAAGGAGAAGAUGACGAACAUUCUGUCUGCGAAAGCAAAGAUAGAGACCGAUUGGAAUUAACGGUAAGAGCAGCUGCAGGUAGAGGUUGCGAUAUUGCAAACUAAACUAGCUGCAUUAAAAAAGGAGGCCAAUAAUUUAGUGCAGACCAAUAUGCUUGUGAUUGUUCGUUUUACUUAUUCUGAAAGAAACCUCUCAGCAUAAAUCCGUAUAGGGAGAUUCGAACAUGGAAAAUGACUAGUUGCUUAAGCGUUCUCGUUAGGAUCACACAAUCAAUUACCUCCUGAAUGUAUCAUCUCUAUUUCCAAUAUCUAAACACACAAAGAAACUAUAAUCUCCUCCUUCACCUUAUCGGUCUCUUCCUUACAUCAAUCAGUCAUACCAAUAACUGCUAUUUCUACCAAUAUAUUCACCCUCAUAAUUUCCAACUGUAAUACUGUGCCCUCACAGCUUUCAGCACACAAUUACCCUCGUUCCAAUCUUUGGAAUUCUUCAUAUAGAACUGCCAUUCACAUUACAAUGUUUCACACAAACACAGACUCAUUCUCUCUGCUGAACUACAAUCAGAUUUCAGCAUUUAAUCUUUCUUCUUCUCAAAUAGUACCAAUCACAUUUCUAUUCCAUAAUUCACUUCACAAUAUUCAGAAACUUUCAAUUUUCUUAUUCAAAGAAAAUAACAAAUAAAAGAAAAGAGGUAGCACCAAACUUACCUCGGCUCACAACUCUCAUAGUCUGGCAUUUUCUUCCCCUCUUCCAUCCUCCUUAUACUACCCCGAGAUACCAACUCCUAUACUACAGAUGAUAACUACUUUUCCUGACUAUUCAUCUAUUCUACCUGCUGAACCACCUUUUCAGUAGUUAUCUAUUCCUGUUUACACUACACACUAGCUAUUUAUAUUCUAAAAAUAACUACUUAUUCUACAUAGCCCCACUUCUAACUAUGCAACGUCCUCACAAACACUCAAUUGAUACCUAUCUAAAAAUUAUCUAAUAAAACUCUACAAAAAUUAUGAUCCUUCAGGCCUAUCUAAUUAAUCAAUUACCGCAGUAUCUGUUAUUGGUUCCAUCGAUUCUCGUUCCAACUACAAAUCUUCAUCCUCCUCCAAUCCUUCCAUCGGUUCCUGCCUCAACUGAGCUGAAAGGUCUUCAUUGUACUCACCCAAUUUAUGGACUUGAGCUUCCAAUUUCAGGAUCUGGACAUCUCUCCAUUCCAACUGGCGCUGAAAGUGACUCCUCUCUUCUAGAACUUCAGGAACUGGCAACGUCGAUACUUGUGCUUGACCAAUAUUGACUAAAUCUUCUGCCAAUCUUGUCACCUCGGCAUUCAAGGCCUCAAUUUUAGUCCUUAACCUCUCCGUUUUAUAUCUGUAUUGGUCACUCAAUACCAAUUUCUCUUACGCCAAUAACUCGAUCUUUUCUCAUUCGAUUACUAACUGAUCCUUCACUUUUUUCAGUUCCAAAAUUGAAUGACUACGAGCUCGGAAUAGUUCUUACCUGUGGGUCUCCACCAUACAUUCUUUUUCUUUGUCCCAAGCUUAAUGUUGUUUCCUAAUUUGUCGCUCCAAUAGCAGCUUAGAUUUUACAUUCACUUGGAUGAUCCGUUCUUGCUCUUCAAUUCUUCGGAUCUGCUUCAAUAUCACCUUUUUGCUUACCUCUAAUUCCAAUUUACCAUUGCCCUCUACAUCCAAUGCUCGUACCAUGCAAUGUAUUUACAAAAUGCACUUCAAUAAAGAAUUUUUAAGAUAUACGUUGUCGUGUUGUAAUACGAGUAUACAGUGAAAAUAAAAAGAAAGGGGAAUUUUAUUAAUAUUCAGUUACCUUGAAUAUUGGGAGCAACGACCAACUCCUGUACAAAUACUGAGUGGCCAGGUUCAGUCACCCUGUUAUAGUCAGCCGGGGCAUAUUGAAAUGCUCCGUUCAAUUCCAAUAACAGGAGUCAGUAGGAAGAGAAGGACCAAUUCACACGACGGGUUCGAAGAGCCAAUUGGAUCCAAUUUCGAGAAUCCAAUCCGGAUCCUCUUACCCAAUAUGAGACCUGAAUUGGCCGGUCAACCCAAUGCAAUCUAAUUACGAGAAAUCCAGGUCUUACUAUGGGUCUUAGCCAAUCUGACGUGAGGACCAAUUUGAUCCAAUUAUGCGAACAUCUAGGUUACUACGGGCAUCUUUUCCAAUAUGGGACCUGAAUUGGUCGGGCGACUCAAUGUGGACCCGAUUACGGGGUUUCGAUUCUGUUUUGGGCUGUCCUGUUCUCUGUGCCGUUUCAGGGAACGUUGUUUUCGAUAAAUGGAUUUCUUAAAGGUAAAAACGGAGGAGAAAGCUCUGACGGCGAGAGCCAAUUUCGGAUCCAAGCUUGACGGUGGAAGCCUAUUCCGGAUCUAUGACGGAAGAUUGAAGAAAUUCAGAGGAUAAGGUUAGGGGGGAUAUACUUUUAAAAAGGGGUUUUUUUUUUUCAGAUCAAAGAUCAGGGGGGGGGUUUUUCUUUUUCUGGGAAUCGGAGGGAGUUAGUUUUCAAGCUUCUGUAAGGUUACUAGUUCGGUAUUCAUUGGAGGCUAUUGAAGAUCAAGGGGAUUAGAAAAAAAGAGCUUCAUGCUUCGGAUCGGGGAAGGAAAGACAUAGAAUUUGGAUUUUUCUUCUUCGUAGAGUUUUGGGAAGACUGAGGCAAUCGCUGCUAAAGUCAGUAUUGUAAUGGUGAAUCGGGAUUUUUAAUGAAGUGGGUUUGAAUACUCUUGACUGUUUUGUGAAAUCGAGUUACGUCUGUGAUUGAAGGAUUAAAAGGGUGUCUAUAGGAUUGAGUAUGCGGAGGGAAUGAAAUUUAUUGGGUUAAUCUAACAAGACAGUCAGUAGAUACAAGAUCGUAAGUACAAAGGGGUAUUGAAGAUUAACAGUUUGGAUUGUUCGGGAUUCUCUAUAACGUCUAGAGACCUACAGGCUGGGGCAAAAAAAAAAGAUUUCGACAAGCAGUCGAAGAGCAUCCGUAUAGAUUUACGGUACAUUGUUGCAGUCGUUUAUAUUCCAGCAGUCAAAAACUGAUAGACUGCUUGACUAUCGGUAAAUCUCCAUACUACCUUCUACAGCCAGACGCCCGACGCGUUCUCGAGCAGGAAAGCACGUAAUACGACAUAAGUGGUGAACCCGACGUGAAAGCUUGAGGUGGAAGGUAUUGGAUUUCGGUUGAUUUUAUCUUUAUUUUUAUGAAAAACAAAAAUAAAAAUUUUGAAGGAUUUUUGGGAGGAGUUUCUGGUGGAGAGUCUUCUAAAGGACAAGGUAUGCACAUGGAUCCGUCUAUCGCUAGUUUGUUUCAAGCCUUCUCAUUGUCAAUGUAGCAACAGUAAAGCAAUGAUCGAAAGGAAGCUUUGGCAACCAAAGCAUUGCAAGCAGUGCUCAAUAAAAUUGAUCAAUUUGAUGGGAGGAAUAUUUCAAGGUAUUUAAGAUGUUAUGUUCGUGAAAUGGAAUUAAAUCGGGUUUCUGAGAAGAAAAUGGUUGCACUAUUUGGACUUGCCACGAUACCGGAGAUAAGGGACCACAUUACAUCGAUUACAGAUCGUUGUGGGAAUUCAUGGGAGAAUUUUUCACAUGCAUUGAAAGACGAAUAUUUUUUGGAAGAUGCUGAUCGCGUUACUAAGAAGCUGUUUCUGGGAUGGAUUGAACGACCCAAUAAGAAUUUGCAAGCAACAAAGCUACUAAGGGAAUUUGAGAGGCAGUACUCUCAAUUAUCGAAGGUAGAAAAAUUGACAUCGGAGCCGAACAAAGUUGAUCUAUUUCUUCAAGCUGCUGAUGGAAAAUUGCAAGAGAAAUUAGAACCCCUUCUUGAAGACAAAGAAGAAGAUGAAGGAUUGACAACGAAGUGGAAGAACGUUGAAGAUGCGAUGGGUUUGCUUACAAAAAAAGAAAGGAGGAAGGAUAGGAGCAAUAUUCCGAAAACAGUACAAGCACCCAAAGUUCCAGUACGUACAACACCAUCGACAAUGCCUACAGUUCAACCUUCGACAUCCUUGUCAAAGAAAGUAGAUAUGAGAAUGGAAGAAAUUAUACGAGGAAUGCGAGAUCUUCAAAUCAAAUUGGCAAGACUUGAAGAGAAUACUUCUAUAAACAAUUCGAAGAAUGUUUCAAAACAAGGAUAUGUACAAAGAUGCAUUUGGUGUGAUGAUGCUUCACACACUAGAAAAGAUUGCAAUGAAUUUAAUAAUAUGAUACGGCAGGGAAUUAUUUGCUGGAAAGAUGAGAAGAUAGCAUUGAAAGAUAGGAAGGAUCUUCUUCAAACCAAUUUUGGCAAGGGAGGAAUGAGAGCAUUGGUUCAAGAUUACUUAAAGGAGCAUGAAACAGCAGCACGAGAAAGUGCAAGUUAUGGUGCUAGAGUAGAUGAUGAAAUUGGUGGAAGUACGGAAACUAGUGAGUUUUGGGCUUCUGCCGUUUCUACAAUGCAAGAAGGGAAAUUACCUCGAGAAGCGUUAUUGAGAACUACAGCUACAAUACGAGGAAGAACAGGUUGGGAGGAUCCUAUUGAGUCUCUUUCAGUUCAUGCAUAUAUUGCUAAGAGCCAACAUGAAGCUUUGAUGGAAGAAAAAAGACGAGGAAAUUUUGAUGAUACUAGAGAAGGAAAUUCUUUUAAGAGGCAAACUCGAGGAGACAAGGCUCGGGAAGCAGCUUCACAAGAAUUGCCUGUAAAGGAUACCUCAGCAUAAUUGAGAGAAAAAACAAUGGAGACAAAAGAUAAGGGCAAAUCAAUUGCUUAUAAGCUACUUUCUGACAUUGAAGCGGCAACAAAUUUGAAAGGGGUGUUAGAAGAACGUAUAUUAAAUGCUAAGGUGGAAUUCACAUUGAAAGAAGUCUUGAGAAUUGCAAAGAAGGAGUUUCAUGAUGUUAUCAUUGACAGCAUUAAACGAAAGAGGCAAUUAAUGAGCGAAACUGGAAUGAGUCAUGCUAUUGAUGCAAGAAUAUGUAGAGAUGAAGAAGAGGUUGAUAUUGGUUACAAGCAACCAACAAAUGAAAAGAAUGGGUAUAAUCAGCGAGUACGUUUCGAAGAUUCUAGUGACAAGGAAAUGGAAACUUUGAGCCAUUAUACUCGAAAGCAUUGGGCAAGGGCAACUACUGAGGUAUUGGUGAAGGUAGGAGAUAUAGAAGAACCAAUAGUUGCUUUGGUGGACCAUGGUUCUAAAAUAAAUCUCAUGUCUAAAGAUCUUUAUAAGAAGCAAAAAUGGCCAAUUGAUAUGGAACAUGGAUGGGCAAUACGAGCAGCUAAUAACACACGAGGCGAAUUAUAUGGAGCUUGUCCAGAUGUCAAAAUUCGGAUUGGGGAUGUUGCGACGGAGCAACAUUUCUUCAUUCAAGAUACAACGUCUUAUCCGUUGAUUUUAGGACAACCUUAUAUCACGGCAACACGGAUGGAAACAAAGGUACUUGACGAUGGUUCUGCUUAUGCAAGGGUACGGAGCGAAGAUGGGAGGAAAGCUGUACAAUUUCUAACAGUACCUCCUAACCAUGAACGGAAUCGAGAUAGGUUGAAGGAGAAACUAUUGCCAAAGAUUGUUGAAGGAUUUAAGGAUUUUGGGGAGGUACCACUGUAAAGCGAGAUUAUGGAGGUACAAAAGAGGAGGUACUCUCGCGAGAUGAAGGUGCCUUUGAUGCGAGUUUUAUUGGUAUAUUGGAGAAUGGAAAUAUUAUGUAUAAGAAAGUUGAUGAUUUUAAAAGAAAAGAAAGAAAAAGAUUAUAUGAUAUUGAAGGACAGUUACGCAAGAUAGGUACAUUGCAAGAUGAUGAGAGGAUUUUGGAUGUUUAUGAAGAAAAUGGACUGGAAGAUUCAUUGGAAUUGAUUACAUCUAUUGGGUUAGGGGAUAAUGAUAAGAUUUUUGAGAUUCAUUCGAGAGAGGUUUAUACCAUGCUUGAAUCUUUUCAAGCACCAGAAGUCACAGUAGAGAUGAGAUAUAAAACAGCAGAUAAGAAGGUAAAGCCUGUUGCCGGACCAUUACCAGAGGAUUCUAAAGAACAAAUGGGAGAAGCAUCAAAAGAAGCAAGUUUAAGAGAUCCAAUGAGUAUUGGACAUCAGUUUACUGAAGAGACUUUUGAAGAAUUGAAGAUUGGUUCUGAUGGUUCUUUAUUGCCGGAGGAAAUUACUUGCUUCAAAAAGAUGUUGGCUAAACAAGGUAGAUCGUUUGCCUUCGAAUCUCAUGAAAUUGGGUGUGUGGAUCCAAAUAUUAUAACACCUAUGGUUAUCUUCACUGUACCGCAUGUACCUUGGAAUCUAAGACCGAUUCCAAUACCGAGGGCACAUUUACCUAAAUUGGUGGAACUAUUGAAAGAAAAGAUAAAGAUGAAAAUAUUAGAACCUUCAUUUGCGCCGUAUUCUAGUCGAUGGUUUACGGUACCUAAGAAGAAUGGGUCACUACGGUUUAUUCAAGAUAUGCAACCGGUGAAUGCAGUAACUGUCGGGAAUGCAGGAAUUGGACCUAUUGUGGAUGAAUUUGCUGAGGCGUUUGCUGGAAGGGCGAUCUAUUCAAUGGGUGAUUUGUAUUCAGGUUAUGAUCAAUUUCAACUUACCGAAGGAAGUAGAGAUAUGACAACGAUGAGGACACUGCUUGGAUUGGUUAGAAUGUACACUCUUCCUCAAGGCGCGACCAACUCAGUUGUGUAUAUGAUGAAUGGGAUGAAUAAGGUAUUGAGAGAUUUUAUUCCGGAAAAGACUAUGCCUUUUCUGGAUGAUGUUCCUAUAAAAGGGUGCAGAGAAGGAGACAAGGAUGAAACUUUAGAUACGAGGGGGUGUUGCAGAUAUGUUGUUGAUCAUAUACAAGAUUGUGAAAAGAUUUUAACUCGGCUUGGAGAAGUUCAUCUUACAUUAUCGGGUAUGAAGUCCAUAUUUGGAGUGCGAGAGGUUGUAAUUGUUGGACAUUUAUGUGGAUCUUACGGAAGAAAACCAGAUUCGACUAAAGUUGAUGCAAUUGGAAGGAUGAAAGAGGAUUGUGGUUUUUUAACAGAGGUUCGCAGGUUUUUGGAUGCAUGUGUAUUUUAUCGAAUCUGGAUCCCUCAUUUUGCUCACAUAGCGGAUCCAUUAUAUGAACUGUUACGCAAGGGUUACCGAUUUGAAUGGGAAGAAAGGCAUAUUCAGGCAAUGCAAAGAUUGAAGAAAUUAUUGAUGUCACCUCCAAUAUUGAGGAAGGUUGAUUAUAAGUACAAUAGACCAGUGAUUCUUAUUGUAGACGCUAGUCCAAUUGCCGUUGGAUGGGCUGUGGGUCAAGAUGAUUCGAAUGGGAGUAGAUUUGCAGUUCGAUUUGGGGCUAAAGUUUUAAGUAUUCGUCAGCGUGCAUAUUCGCAAGUCAAAAGAGAACUUUGGGGAGUCGUUUCGGAUAUAAAAGCUAAAAAGGACUAUUUGAUUGGGGCAAUAGUAGCAAUUGAAACAGAUUGCUUGCCAUUGCUUGGAAUGAUUAUUAACUGUUCAACGCCAGAUAUUACAAUGUUGAGAUGGAUUGCUUAUAUUAAGUCACUAAAUCCAGAAUUUAAGCAUAUCACUGGAAAGGACAAUUUAGUAGCAGACAUGCUAUCUCGAGCAAGAUACGAGAGGGAGGAGGAAAUGGUUGAAGACAUUGAUGAUGUUGGAUUGAAAUUCUAUUCAAUAUCAAAUCUCAACAGAGAAGACAAGCUAUUUCUUGAAGAAUCUUAUGAAGGAGAAUUAUUGGAUAUUGGUCAUUAUUUGAAUACCUUGUCUAAGCAAGGGAAUUGGUCUAUAGAAAAAUUCAAACAAAUAAGAAAAAAAGCAUAUGGAUUUUUACUUCGAGAUGGAUUCUUAUGGAAGAGACCGAAGAAAGGAAUUGGGAUGCCACAACGAGUGAUAGGCAAAAGGGAAGAAAAACUAAAAUUAUUAAAGGAGUUUCAUGAUAGUUUAUGGGCAGGGUAUAGAGGAAUCUGGGCUACUUUUGCUAAACUCAAGGAACGAUAUUGGUGGAAAAAUAUGUAUCGAGAUGUGCUCUCAUUUGUAGAGUCAUGUGAAAUCUGUCAAUCGUAUUCUAAUAUCCGACAUCGAGAUGGUCUUCAUCCUACGUAUCCUCUGGCUAUUCAUUUUAAAUGGAUUGUUGAUUUGGUUAUUAUGCCGGUUGGGUUAUGGCAGAUGAGAUAUUUGGUUUUAGUUCGUGAAGAUUUAUCAAAUCAAAUAGAAGGAAGAGCAUUGAGAACAAAAUCUACAGAGGGGAUUUGUAGGUUUUUGCUUGAAGAUGUCAUUUGCCGUUAUGGGUGCGUAGGAAAAAUCACUGCAGAUCGUGGAGAAUUAAAUGCACAAGAAGCUCGUAAGUUCUUUGAAAAAUGUGGAGUUAAACUAUCACUGAGUACUGCUUAUAAUCCGGAAGGAAAUGCGAAAAGCGAACGCGGUCACCCGCCGAUUGUGAAAGCAUUGGUUAAAGCUUGUAAUGGAAAAGUUAAAGAGUGGCCACGGCUUUUGUCAUUUGCAUUAUGGGCUGAUCGAACAACACAUAAUUCGGUGACAGGAUAUAUGCCAGUAGAACUUAUGACAGGUCAAAAACCAAUUAUGCCGAUUGAAGAAAAGGUACUUACUUGGAGUAUGCUACCAUAGGAAGAUGGAUUGACAAGAGAAGAACUUCUGGCUAUUAGGAUUCGACAAUUGGAGCAAAGAACGGAAGAUGUCCAGAUAGCAUUGGAAAGGUUAAAAAGAGCAAGGUUACAAAACAAGGCAUGAUUCGAUAAGCAACAUCGAUUGAGACCAAAAGCAAUCGAGGAAGGUGACUGGAUACUUGUUUAUGACAAUAGUCUGGAUAAUCAACAUAGUACUUUGCAGAAAUUUUCAAAACGUUGGUUUGGACCAUAUGUUGUAACAAUUGUUCAUGAUAAUGCGACUUACUCAUUACAGGAGUUAGAUGGUACAAAAUUGAAAAUACCAAUUGCAAGGAAGCGAGUAAAAAUAUUUAAACGAAGACAUGCAGAGAUGAAUAUGGAAGACCUUAAUGAAGGUACAAAGAUUCCGCAGCAAGAAGAUGAAAGUGAUUUGGAUAAUGAAAGUGACGAAGACGAACUGGACAAAGACGUAGAGGAUAUAUUCUGAAUCAAACAGCAAUUGGAUAAAUUGGUGCAUACCGGAGGAUGCACAGGUUCAGAGGGGGUGGAUGUCGUGUUGUAACACGAGUAUACAGUGAAAAUAAAAAAAAAAAAAAAAAAAAAAAAAAAAAAAGGGAAUUUUAUUAAUAUUCAGUUAACUCGAAUAUUGGGAGCAUCGACCAACUCCAGCGCAAAUACUGAGUGGUCAGGUUCAGUCACCCCGUUACAGUCAGCCGGGGCAUAGUGAAAUGCUCCGUUCGAUUCUAAUAACGGGAGUUAGUAGGAUGAGAAGGACCAAUUCACAGGACGGGUUUGAAGAGCCAAUUGGAUCUAAUUUCGAGAAUCCAAUCCCGGUCCUCUUACCCAAUAUGAGACCUGUAUUGGUGGGGCAACUCAAUGCAGUCUAGUUACAGGAAAAUCCAGGUCUUACUACGGGCCUCAGCCAGUCUGACGCGAAGACCAAUUUGACCCAAUUACGCGACCAUCCAGGUUACUACGGGCAUCUUACCCAAUAUGGGACCUGAAUUGGUCGGGCGACUCAAUGUGGUCCCGAUUACGGGGUUUCGAUUCUUUUUCGAGCUGUCCUGUUCUCUGUGCCGUUUCAGGGAAUGUUGUUUACGAUAAAUGGAUCUCUUAAAGGUAAAAACGGAGGAGAAGGCCUUGAUGACGUGAGCCAAUUUUGGAUCUAAGCUCUGACGGCGGGAGCCAAUUCCGGAUCUAAGAUGGAAGAUUGAAGAAAUUCAGAGGAUAAGGUUAGGGGAGAAUAUAGUUUUAGGGAGGGGGGUUUUUUUCUUUCUCGCGGAAUUCGGGGGGAGCUAGUUUUCAAGCUUUUGUAAGAUUAAUAGUUCGGUUUUCAUUGGAGGGUUUUGAAGAUCAAGGGAAUUAGAAAAAAGGAGCUUCAUGCUUUGGGUCGGGGAAGGAAAGACAUAGAAUUUGGGUUUUUCUUCUUCGUAGAGUUUUGGGAAGACUGAGGCAAUCGCUGCUGAAGUCAGUGUUGUAAUGGUGAAUCGGGAUUUUUAAAUGAAGUGGGUUUGAAUACUCUUGACUGUUUUGUAAAAUCGAGUUACGUCUGUGAUUGAAGGAUUAAAAGGGUGUCUAUAGGAUUGAGUAUGCGGAGUGAAUGAAAUUUAUUAGGUUAAUCUAACAGGACAGUCAGUGGAUACAAGAUCGUAAGUACAAAGGGGUAUCGAAGAUUAACAGUUUGGAUUGUUCGGGAUUCUCUAUAACGUCUAGAGACCUACAGGCUGGGGCAAAAAAAAAAGAUUUCGACAAGCAGUCGAAGAGCAUCCGUAUAGAUUUACGGUACAUUGUUGCAGUCGUUUAUAUUCCAGCAGUCAAAAAUUGAUAGACUGCUUGACUAUCGGCAAAUCUCCAUACUACCUUCUACAGCCAGACGCGCGGCGCGUUCUCGAGCAGGAAAGCACGUAAUACGACACCGUUUCUUCUUCCCAUUUUUAGACCACGACGCAAGUAAAUUGGUUUACUCUAUAUUGGAAAUUGAUAAAGCUACUGAAACUAAAUUUGAUAGAGCUUAUAAAAUUGGUUCUUUCAAUGGAUAAGAUUGUUCUCACAACUGGACUGAUAUUGAUUCCUUGGAAUUCAUGCCUUUUAGAGGAUCUUUCAGCAGAAAGGUCGUUUCUCAAAACUAUGUAGAGAAUGGAACAACUUGAAAUGGAACCGAAGCUUCUUUAAUUGAUAUCUCAUUGAGGUGCUCAAUCGAUUCAGGUCUUAUAUUGAGUAAAGGAUCCAUUUCAGGACCUGAAUUGGAUGUCCUCAUAAUUGGGUCUAAUUGGCCCUUCACUUCAAGAUCACCCAAAUGUUGAAUUGGUCCUUUCUCCUUUUACUGACUUCUUGUAUGGACAGCUUAGACUACUUCUACUUAAUGAACUGGUGAUUCCUUUGUCCCGUUAUUUUUUUUCUCUACAAUGUGCACAAUCGAUUGUAUCUUCUGAUCAUGAUUAUUAGGGUUAAAUGAAACAUUGCAUUUAUAAUGAAAAUGACCCGAUUGCUUGUAAUUUCUACAUACUAGAGCAUAUUUAUCUAUAAACCUUGGAUUAAGAUAUUUACUAGCAUAAUGAUCAAUUUAUCGACACUGAUAGCAAUGUAGUGGUUUUUGGCCCAUAUCGUCAGGUACACUUAGAGUCUCCACUGGAGUAUAUCUGUAAGGUCGAUUCUAGAUAGCCCUAGUAAAUGAUCCUGGCAAACUAGUUGCUACUGGUCGAGAAUUGGAUUGUUGAAUUGGUAUGGUUUGGAGAUUACUUCCUUGAUUAUUUCCACCAUUCUGCAUCUUUGUUCCAUAAAUCGGAUUAUAAUUAAUAUUUUGAAAAUUUCCAAAGCCACGAUUAAGUCGAUUUGAGCGAUUACUAUUCCAACCACCCAUAUUUUCAGUCUAUACUUGAUUAAUAUCUCAUUGAAAUGGCUGUAUUGUCUAGUUAUUGAACUGUUAUUGCUUUUCUAAAUGCCAGGAGUUUUGGGUAGGGUGCUUUCCUCUACAAAAUAUACAUUGAAUACUAUUUUAUUUGGAAGAUGGACAUUCCGUAUCAAAAUAACCUUGUCCCUUUCAAUUAUUACACCAUAUAUUAGGUCUUGUAUUAGAAGGCUUAUGUCAUUUCUCAUUAUCUUUAGCCAAAUUCACGGCCAAUUCUUCCAUCUUCUUUGUUAGAUUUAAUAUCAAGGCUUCAUUUGGAACUUUAACAGUUGUAUUUGUGAAAAAUUUUGGUUGUUGAUAGGUUGGCGAUGUACAAUAUGGUGUUAUUAUUAUUGGCGCUAUUGCUUAGAGUGGUGAAGCAUUAAUUGAUUGUUGCAACAUAACAUUCUUCACAUUAGAGGCAAUCAUUAGUAGAUAAUUAUCCAUCGACCCAUUUCUCGGUUGUAUUUGUUUGCUUCUUGAACUUGGAAUCAUCGUGGUCUCCACUGCUAAUAAUUGGUCAUAAUGACAUUCUUUCUACACCUUUACUUGUGCCAAUGUUGUUUCUACCGUAGCUAGUCGAGUCUCUUUUAUAAACAUUUUUAAUUCUGGUGGAUGCAAACCAUUGAUUAAUAUCGACAAUAUAAACGCCUCUAGCAUUUGAUUAUUUGACCAUUUAUGAAGUAUAUCUGUAAUUUGGCCAUCAUAGGACUCUAGUGAUUCCUCUGUAAAUAUCUUGCUAUUCAUAAAAUUUUCUCGAAGCCGAUCUUCAAAUCCAAUUGAUCUAAAAUGGAUUAGAAAGGCAUUCCUCAAGGCCUCCCAAUUGAAAAAUCUACCCAUUGGUUGCCAAAUAUACCAUUCAAAAGUUAUAUCUUUUAAAGUUAUUGGUGAUCAUCUCAAUCAAAUGUCUUCUAUUCUACCAUUAUUAGCCAUGCAGACUAUCAAGAAUUUGAAUUUUUCUUCCUUUGGUUUUACUUGGACCUACAAUUCCUUUUCGUCGUUCUCGUAGAAGAUUUCUUAUGAGUAAUCGCUCCAAAAUUUCUUUUGUUUGUUGAUUAAUUCUUUGAUAAUCCUCCCCUUCAUGAUUAUCACUCAUUAUCUUCUAUUCUUCAUAUACAAUCAAUUUUUAAUAUUUCAUAUUAUUAUCAUUUCUUUGGCAGCGACACCAAAAUGUUAUUCUUGUUGUGUUCAAGCUUCAGUAUAUUAAAGCAAUUGAACUUAUAGAGGUGGGUUCAAACAUGAAGAAAGACUGGGUAUAUGAAUUGGGUUUGUUAGUUUCACAAUUGAUUGUACUCGAGCUAUCUAAAAUCAAUUAUCAAACUACAAAAUACCAAGGCUUACUACUUCCGUCUUAAUUCAAUCCAUAAUCCAUUCUACGACUAUCAAUUCAACAAUACUUCCAUAUUCUUAUCCGUUCAUCUCCCACUUACUCUCUUUGUAGUUUAUAUAUAUUCAAUUACUGAUCUCCAGCUUACCUAUUGUAUUCAGUUUCUCAAUUCAUUAUACAGAAUUUAAUAUCUCAGCUUACGACUCUCAUAGUUUGGCACUCCAGACUAACUUCUUAGUAUUUAGAAAUUAUCUAUUACUCGUCACAACAAAGAAAAAAAAAAGAAAUAGCACCAAGCUUGCCCCGGCUUACGACUCUCACAGUCUAGCCCCCCAGCUUACGAUUCUCACAAUCUGGCCCCGAUCUCUCUUUUUUCAACCUCUUUAUCCUAUCAAAAGAUCAACCGUUGGCUAGCGGAUUCCAAACGUUGUGACCCUUUGAAUUCUGAACCAUUUAUUUCACUAACAAUCUACUGUUACCAACUAAACUGCCUAAUCAUAAGUCUAAUUUUCAAGAUUAUCAUUAACCAACAAGUAACUUACUACAAAUUUUAUUUAUCUAUUCUACAAUUUAAGAACUAGGAUUUGAUUUUGGGUUUGAGAUUUGGUUUAGGAUUUAGGAUUUGAUUAGGAUUUGAUAUAUGAUUAGAAUUUAUUAGGAUUUGAUUUAGGAUUAGGAUUUGAUUAAGAUUUGAUUUAGGAUUUAGGAUUUGGUUAGGAUUUGAUUUAGAAUUCGGAUUUGGUUAGGAUUUGGUUUAGGAUUUAGGAUUUUAUUUGAGUUUGUUUAGGAUUUAAGAUUUAGUUAGUUUUUGGCCUAAAGUUUGAAUGAAGUUCAAUAGGAUUUCAACUAGAAUUAAAUUAAGAUUGAAUUGAGAUAUUUUUGAGAUAUUUUUGAGAUAUUUUUGUAAUCAUCCUAAUAUUUCUUUAAGAUUUUUUAUUAUUUCUUUGUAAUUCCUUUGAGGUUUUUUUAAAUUUGAUUAAAGCUUGUUUAGCAUUGUUAGUGUUCUAUUAGACUUAAGAUUUUGUUAUAGCAAUUUCUAUUCUACCUUCCACAGAUAGGUGCCUAGAGCAUUCUUAAGCAAAACUUCACGUAUUACGAUAUAUUUGGUGAACCCAACGUGAAACGCUUGAGAUAGAAGGAAUUUGGUUUUCUUGGAUUAUUUGAAUUUUAGAAAAAGAAAGGAAGAGGUUAAAAGGAGGAAUUUUUGAUGGUGCUUCAAAUAGAGUUGAAAGAGGAGUUUCAAUUAGAAGACAAGGUAUGUGUUUUGGUCCUAAUUCUAUAAGCAUGUUUGAGGCUCUUGCCUUAUUCAUGCAAUAGCAACAGCAACAAGUUAAAGAUUGCAAAGAGAGUAUAGCUAAUAAAGCAUUACAAGCAGUUGUAGACAAGAUCAAUCAAUUUGAAGGAAAAGAUAUUACAAAAUAUUUAAGAUAUUAUAUAGAGGAAAUAAAAUUGAAUUAUAUUUUAAGAAAGAAGAUAAUUCAAUUAUUUGAAUUAGUUUCUACUCAAGAGAUAAGAAAUCAAGUAAAUUUUCUUAUAGGACAUUUUGGAGGUUCAUGGGAGAAAUUUUCUCAAGCAUUAAAGGUUGAGUUUUUCUUGGAAGAUAGUGAUAAGAUUAUAAAAAAGUCUUUUUUUAAAUGGAUUGAAAGGCCAGAGAAGGAUCCUCUAGCAACAAAAUUACUAAGGGAGUUUGAAAAGAAAUAUUCUUCUUUAUCAAAGAAAGAAAGACAAAUAUUAGAUCUAAGUAAGGUAGAGCUCUUUCUUCAAGCAGCUGAUCGAGAGUUGCAAGAGAAAUUAGAAAUCUUAUUUGAAGAUAAAGAAGAAGUUGAAGGAUUGACAACAAAUCGGAAAGAAGUAGAAGAUGCAAUAGGAUUGUUGGUAAAAAGAGAAAGGAGAAAAGAUAGGAUAGGUAUUCAAAGACUAUUACAAGUAUCUAAGGUAAAGGUGUCUAAUAUCCAUCCAACAACUUUGAUUCAACCUUCAAUGGCUACAUCAAAGAAAGAAGAAAUGAACAUCAAUGAAAUCAUAUGUGAGAUGAAAGAUUGAUAAAUAAAAUUUGUAAAACUUGAAGAGAAAGAUCAAUCAUCAAGAGUAUCAACAAAAUAAAGACUAGGGCCAAUAGAGGGUGUAAUAUAUAGGUGCAUGUGGUAUGAUAGCAUAGAUCAUUCAAAGAGAGAAUGUGAAGUUUUUAUAGAGGCAUUACGUAAAGGAGUUGUUUUUUUUAAAGAUGGUAUGAUAUACUUAAAAAAAAGUGAAGAAAAUAAGAAACAAAUUUUGAUAAAGGAAGAAUGAAGUUAUUUGUUGAAGAUACUUUUAAAGUGCAUACAAUCUCAAGCAAUGAAGCAUCAAUAUAUUGGGUGGAAGCAAAUCCUAAUAAAUAUUUAAGUAUAAAUCUUGAGUUUCCAAGAGAAUCUAAUUCUUUGUGGAUAAAUACAAUGAGUUAUGCUAAAAGGAAAAAAUUUACUAGAGAUAAUUUAAAACAUGUUGGUAAUAAUAUUUGACAAAUUAUUGGGUGGAAUAAUCUAGUAGAUAGAUUAUUUAUGCAUGCUUAUAUUACAAGAAGUCAAUAUGAAGCGUUAAUAGAAGAAAAAUGAAGGAGAGAUGAAAAUAAUGAAGGGCCCUCAAAAAGAACUACAAGGAGAGAAAAAAAUAUGAUAACAAAAGAAUCCUAAAUAUAAAGAGAUAACAGAGAACAUUUCCAUAAAAAAAUGGAAAAUUGAAAAAGAAAAAGCAAAGGCUCCUGCUUAUAAAUUACAAAUAGAUAUUGAAGUUGCUAUAGGUUUGAAGAAGGUAUUGGAGGAAUGAAUUUUAAGUGGAAAGGUUGAAUUCACAAUUGGUGAAAUUCUAGGAAUUACAAAGCGUGAGUUUCAUGAAGUUAUUAUUCAUACAAUAAAGAAAAAAUGACAAAAUUUUGGAGAUUUCUUAUGAGUAAGAUUUGCAGAAAAAGAAGAUAUCAUUCAAGCUUUUAGCCAUUAUUCUAGAAUUCAUUGGGCAAAGGCUACUAUAGAAACUUUGAUAAAAUUAGAAAAUUUAAAAGAACAAGUUUUAGCAUUGAUUGAUCAUGGUUUUAAAAUCAAUUUAUUAUCAAAAAAAUUACAUAACAAGAAAAAAUGGCCUUUUGAUAUUGAAUAUGGGUGGAUGAUAAGAGCAACAAAUAAUUCAAAGGGAGAUUUCCAUGGAGCAAGUUCAAAUAUCAAGGUGACAAUAGGAGAUGUUAUUUUUGAACAAAAUUUCUUUGUGCAAGAUAUGUCUAUAUAUCCUAUUAUAUUGGGACAACCAUAUAUUAUUGCUAUACAAAUAGAAACAAAAGUAAUAGAUGACGGUUGAGCCUAUGCAAGAAUAAGAAGCCAAGAUGGAAUGAAAGCAGUUCAAUUUUUAACUGUUUGUGCUAAUCAUGAGAGAAAUCAUGAUUAGUUGAGAGAGAAGCCAUUAUCAAAUGAGAAAUUUGAAGACCUAAGGAUUUUUAUCACACACCAUUAUAAGACGGGGUUGUAAUGGAUUAGAAAAAGAAAUGCUCUCGUUUAAUUUAAAAGAACAAAUAUUAUCCACCCAACUUAUUGACAUAACAUAAGAUUGUAUAUUGACUUUUAAGACUAUUGACAAGAUGAAAAGGAUGGAUAGAUAUUAUAUUAAAAAUAUUGAACAAAACUUGAAAGAAAAUGAAAAAUUGGUUGAAAAUGAAUUUAUUUCAAGAGUAUAUGAAGAAGUAGGUUUUACAGAUACUAUAGGAGAAUUAAAUUAUCUAUUAAAAUAUAGAUUACAAAUAGAGAAUAGAAUUAGUAAUGUGUGUUCUAAAAACUUUUAUGAUGAAAUUUAAGAAUUUAUAGAAAAUUUAAGUCGCCAAGAGGUAUGUGUUGAAACUAAGUAUAAUUCAGUAGCAAGAAAGAUCAAACUAGCGGCUUUGCUACUACCAUCAGAUUGUGAAAAAAAGAUAAGUGGAGCAUCGACACAAUCAAAUUUAAGGAAUCCAAGGAAGAUAGGGCAUAAUUUUAUGGAUGUUACAUUGGAUAGAUUAAAUAUUGGAUGCGAUAGAUUUUUGACAAAAUAUGAAGAAAAAUAUUUUAGGGAUAUGCUUUUAUAUCGUGAAAAGGCUUUUGCAUUUGAAGUACAUGAAAUUGGGUGUGUUGAUAUAAGUAUUGUAGCAUCCAUGGUUAUUUUUAUUAUUCCUUAUGAACCAUAGAAUUUGCAACCAAUUCCAGUAUCAAGAGCACAUUUAUCUAAGUUAGUAGAUUUAUUCAAUGAAAAGAUAAAAAUAGAAAUUUAAAACCAUCUAUGGUAUCUUAUUCUAAUCGAUGGUUUACAGUGUGAAAGAAAAAUGGAACAAUGAGAUUUAUACAAGACAUGUAAUCCAUAAAUAAAGUAACUAUUAGAAAUAUAGAUUUAAGUCCAAUUGUAGAUGAAUUUGUAGAUGCAUUUACUGGAAGAGCUAUCUAUUCAAUAGGUGAUCUUUAUUUAGAUUAUGAUCAAUUUCAAUUGAUAAUACAGAGUAAAGAUUUGAAAACUAUGAAGAUACCAUUAUGAUUGGUAAGAAUGUGUACAUUACUACAAAGGGCUAUAAAUUCUGUAGUACAUAUGAUGAAUGGAAUACAUAAGAUGUUAAGAGAUUUUAUUCCAAGAAUAAUAAUGCCUUUCUUAGAUGAUAAACCUAUUAAGAGAUGUGAAGAAGAAAGAAAAGAUGAGACUUUAGAUUCAAAGGGAUGUAAGAAGUUUGUGGCAGAUCAUAUUGAAGAUUGUGAGAAGAUUUUAAAAAGAUUAGAAGAAGUUUAUUUAACCUUAUUGGAGGUAAAAUCAAUAUUUGGAGUAAAAGAAGUUUUGAUAGUAGGAUAUAUGUGUCAUUUAUAUGGAUGGAAGCUUAAUAUAGAAAAUAUUGAUAUUAUUAAAAAGAUGAAAGAAUAUAUAAAUAUAUAGAAGUGAGAAGAUUUUAAGAAGCAUAUAUUUUCUAUCAUAUAUGAAUACCUCAUUUUACACAUAUAGCAGACCUAUUGUAUGAGUUGUUAAGAAUGAAUAAAAAAUUUCAAUAGAAAGAAGAACAAAUAAAAGCCAUAAAAAAAUUAAAAGAACUUCUUUCUUCACGUCCAACUUUGAAGAGAGUAAAUUAAUAAGGUGGAAGAUCAGUGGUAUCAAUAGUUAAUGCAAGUCCAAUUGGAAUAGGUUGGACAGUUGGAUAAGAUGAUGAACAAGAGAAUAGAUAUGUAUGAAGGUUUGGAGCAAAGGUUUUGAAUGUUAGGCAAAGGAAAUAUGUGCAAAUCAAAAGAAAAUUAUGGAGUGUAGUAAUAGCUAUGAAAAAUAAAAAAGAGUACUUGAUUGGGACAUCAGUAGUUAUAGCAACAGAUUGUCUACCUUUGUUAAGCAUGAUUACAAGUUGUUCAACAUCUGAUAUUGCUAUGUUGAGGUGGAUAGCAUAUAUCAAAUCUAUGAAUCCAGGAUUUAAACAUAUUGCAGGGAAAGAAAAUUCAGUUGCAGAUAUGUUAUCAAGAGUAUGGUAUAAUGAUGAAGAAGAGAUGAUUGAUUCGGAAGAUGAUGUGGAUAAAAAAUUUUAUAUUAAUGCAUUAUCAAAGAAUAAAGGUACAUGUUUGGAUACACCAUUAGAAAUAUUUUUAAGAAAUUUAUAUAAAAAUGAAUGGAAAGAUGUUGGAGAGUAUUUGAGCAUAUUAAAGUGACAAAAAAGUUAGAUAUAUCAAGAAUUUAAGAAAAUCCGUAAAAAAGUCUAUGGAUAUUUUUUACAUGAUGGAUAUUUAUAGAAGUAUCCAAAAUAGAGAAGAGAAGUACCAAAAAUGGUGAUAUGUGGUUUAGAAGCUCUGUGAGUGUAAAUUUCACUCUUUAGCUCCAAUUAUAAGAUGGCCUCAAUUAAGAGUUGCUUGUAAUUGGUGGUGUGAAAUGAAGUAAGAAAUUGGCAAAAGACCAAGGAGGAACAACCACAAUACAAGUAAAAGAGAUGAAAUCAAGUAAUCACAACAUCCAAAACAAAAGUCACAGUCCAUUCACUAGAUUUUUAUCAAAUAAAAAAUAAAAGUAAAAAAUAAAAAUAUAUAUUUUUAGAUAGAUAAUUUUUUUAUCUUUCCAAUGACAUAAAAAUCAUGUAAUUCCAAGUUACUAUGAAUAAUUUAUGAUAGAUUAAAGAUAAAAUAAAAAUAAUAAAAAAAUUAAGUGAAUAAUUUUUACCUCAAGGAUAACUUGCUUAAGAAAUCAGGAGUUCAAGCCUCACUAAGGCUCACAAGUAGUGUAUAUUCUUCCCUUCAAGAGGCCUUGAGGCCUUAGUCUUAUCUUCCUACCUAUAUCCAAGGUGCUACAACCCAUAUGGGAAUUGUACACCUCUCUUCCUACAAGGACUAUACUAGCUGCUGGUCCUCCUAUUUUCUAUUGGUAAAACUACUUUUUUUGCAUUUUUGACUUCACUAUGGUAUUCAAAAACAUCCAAUUAGCCUGCAAACCUUGGAUAGUCUUCAAAUCUUGCUUCAUUUCUUCAUAAUGGCUCUCAAGGUGAUAAAACUCAAUUUUACCAAAGUCUUGAAAUUUCUCUAAAAAUUUAUAAAAAAUUCUAAAUAAAUUAUAAAUAAAUUCUAAAAAAACCUAAAAUAUUUUUAUAAUACGAAUAUCCAUAUGAGGCUAUAUUUUUCUAUCUUGGUGAUUUUUUAUAGUAAUAAAAUCAAUUUAAAUCCAUUAAAAAUCCUAUUUUUAUAUAAUUAACUAAAAAGAUAUGAAGCUCUUUUUCAUACUUCUUCUAACUACUAACUAAUCAUUGAUAGGAUUCUAUAAUUAAUAUAUUUAGAUAGGAUCUAAUAAAGAUAUUGAUUUUAAUAACCAACUUUUAAUACUUAACAAUAAGAAAAAUACUAAACUAACUAAGAUAAUUGCCUCCAAGACUUAUUAAGAUUACAUUUUUAUAACUUUUCUUCUAAUAACACUUUUGUAACUUAUAAAUACUUCUAAAUUAUAAUUAAUACUUUAGUUUUCAAAAAAGAAAAAAAAAACUCUCUACUCUUAAUAUUUGUAUAAUUGAAUGACUUAAAACUUUGUUUUUAACUAAUCCACUAAUUAAGAUCAAUUUGUAGGACUCACAAGCUCAACAAAAGAUUAUUAAAGAAUUUCAUGGAAAUUUAUAGCUAGGGCAUCAAGGUAUUUGGAAAAAAUUUAUUAAGUUAAGAAAGAAAUAUUGGUGAAAGAGAAUAUACAAAGACAUAGAAAAUUUUGUAGCAACUUAAGAGACUUACUAAGUGAAUUCAAAUAUUCAGCAUCAAGAUGGGUUACAUCCAACAUAUCCUUUAGCUUUAUAUUAUAAGUGGAUGGUGGAUUUAGUAGCAAUGCCUAUGGGACUUGGAAAAAUGAAGUAUUUGAUACUUGCACGAGAAGAUUUAUCAAAUAUGGUUGAAGGAUGAGCAUUAAAAACAAAGGAUACUAAAAGUGUAUGUUGAUUUCUAUUAAAAGAGGUUAUUUGUCACUAUAGUUGUAUUGAAAAAACCAUGAUAGAUAGGGGUGAAUUGGAUGCAAAGAAAGCACUAGAAUUCUUUAGUAGAAUAGGAAUUAAACUUUCUUUAACAACAACAUAUAAUCCAAAAGAUAAUGGUAAAAGUGAGCGUGGGCAUUCACCUAUUGUUAAAGCUUUAGUAAAGGCAUGAAAUGGCAAAGCACAUGAAUGGCCUAGACUACUACCAUUUGCACUAUGGAUAGAUCAUACAACUCAUAGUUUAAUUGUACAAUCUAAACUAAUAGUUUAAUAGGUUAUAUGCCAUCUGAAUUAAUAUAUGAGCAAAAAUCAGUAAUGCCAAAAGAAGAUGUAGUACCUAUAUGGGGUGUAUUGCAUUAGAAGAAUGAUCUCAAUAGAGAAGAACUUCUAGCAUUACAGAUUCAACAAUUAGAAAGAAGAUCUAAUGAUAUUGAAGUAGCAAUAAAAAAAAUUAAAAGAAGCAAGGAAAAAGAAUAAGAAAAUAUUUGAUAAAAAACAUCGACUACAACCUAAAGCAAUUGAAGAUGGUGAUUGGAUAUUAGUUUAUAAUAGUAACUUAGACAAUGAAUAUAGCACUAUAAAGAAGUUUGAAAAGAGAUGGUUUGGAUCUUAUAUUGUCAAAAAUUACCUAAACAAACUAAAUAUUGAUACCCGAAGAGGACUGGUUAUCAACUUGGGUUGAAAUCACACCCUGAGGCACAGAACCAAGCACCUACAGUAACACAAGAUUCUUUUGCAAAUCGAAGAGUGGAAUUUGAUAGGAGAUUAGAUAAGGUUUCUAUAAGCAUUGGUUUUGAGUGAUUUGGAUUUGUAAUGACUUUGUAAGAACUUGACAAAGUCAAUUUUUUUUUUUGGAUGACUUGGGUUUUGUGAAAUAAAAUAAGAUUGACGUUUUGGGCAAUUUCAAGAGUUUUUAAUAGAUCUACAAGAAAUUUUUUGUAGAUUAAUGGUUAUAAUUGUGCUUAAUGUGUAUUGUAAAUUUUAGCUUAUUCUAAUGGUUGAAUUGAAGGUUAUUGAGGUUUAAGUGGAUUAAGGUCUCAAAAAGUAGAAUUUUAGGUCUAGUGAGGUUUUUAAGAUUUCUUACAAUCUAUUAGUUGGAUUCGAGUGAAAUUUAAAAAUAAGAAUAGUAGACUUGUUUUUCAAUGUAUAUGAGAAGUUUGAGAUCAAUCAAAUGGUAAAAAAGAGAGAUAUUGGCUCUGGAAGAUUGGCAUCAAGGUUGGAGAAGGAGGCCGACCAAUAUUCAAGCACAUUUUUGAGGUUAUCAUCUAUUUGGUAAUUUCGAUAUUUUUUAAAUUUUUUGUGCUUAUUUUCAACUUAUUUUUUAAGAAUUUUUAAAAUUUUGAGUUAAAAUCAACAAUUCAUUCAUUAGUUAUUGAGGUUUAAAUGUUUUGUAGAAAUUACUAGGAUUUGGUUUAGGAUUUAGGAUUUGGUUUAGGAUUUAAGAUUUGAUUAGGAUUUGGUUUAUCAUUUAGGGUUUGAUUAGGAUUUGAUAUAGGGUUAGGAUUUGGUUAGGAUUUGAUCUAGGAUUUAGGAUUUGAUUAGGGUUUGAUUUAGGGUUAGGAUAUUAAGAUUUGAUUUAGGAUUUAGGAUUUGAUUUAGGAUUUAAGAUUUGGUUAGGGUUUGAUUUAGGAUUUAGGAUUUGGUUAGAAUUUGAUUUAGAAUUAGGAUUUGGUUAGGAUUUGAUUUAAGAUUAGAAUUUGGUUAGAAUUUAAUUUAGGAUUUAGGGUUUGGUUUAGGAUUUAUAGUUUGGUUUAGGAUUUAAGGUUUGAUUAGGAUUUGAUUUUGAGUUUAGGAUUUGGUCAAGAUUUGAUUUAGGAUUUAGGAUUUUAUUUGAGUUUGUUUAGGAUUUAAAAUUUAGUUAAUUUUUGGCCUAAAGUUUGAAUGAAGUUCAAUAGGAUUUCAACUAGGAUUAAAUUAAGAUUGAAUUGAGAUGUAUUUGAGAUAUAUUUGUAAUCAUUCUUAUAUUUUUUUAAGAUUUUUUAUUGUUUUUUUGUAAUUCCUUUGAGGUUUCUCUAAAUUUGAUUAAAGCUUGUUUAGCAUUGUUAGUGUUCUAUUAGACUUAGGAUUUUGUUGUAGCAAUUUCUAUUCUACUUUCUACAGCUAGGUGCCUAGAGCAUUCUCAAGUAAGACUUCACGUAUUAUGACAACGUGGAAUAUUGGAUGAAUUUUUAUUGACUCCAAUAGGUAUUAACAAUAUGCAAUUGGAUUAAUUUGUGUAGAAAUAGGAAAUGGUUCAAAGCUACAAUAGUCCAACCUUAUCACAAAGACAAGUGGUCUUGAUAUUGCGAUGAAAUAACCAUACCUUAUCACUCAUAUAGAAUGGUGGUUGUUCCUUUUUAUAAACAUUUGCAUUGAUCUUUUAUUGUUCUUGAGCUUCAUUUAACUAUGCCUUCAUUGUUGCAUAUAGCUCUGAUAAAUGAUUGGUCAAAUCUUUCGCCACAAGAUUAUCAGCUUUUAAAAAGUCAAAAAUAUCAAGUCGUCGAUGAUAACCAUAAUUGGCAAAAAAAAGUGUUUGUUUUUAUAGAAGAAUGUACCAUAUUAUUAUAGACAAACUUUGCGAAUGGAAAAAGAGUUGUCUAAUCAUGUUGUUGAUAAUUGAUGGUAUAUCUUAAAUACUAUUCCAAAACUAGUUUAAUAUGCUCUGUUUGUCCAUCAAUUUGAGGAUGGAAUACCAAAGAUAGUUUUAUAUUUAUUUUUAGAAUCUUGAAAGAGUUCGCCAAAAUCUUGAUACAAACUGAGUUCUUCUAUCAGAUAUAAUAUCCUUGGAUAAUCCAUAAUAGCAAUAGAUAUUAUCAAAAAAGAGUUUAGCUAUUUUUUCACUUGUGAUAGAUUUUGUACAUGGUACAAAAUGUACCAUCUUGAUAAAAUGAUCUACUAUCACAAAUAUAGAGUCAUAAGAACCUGAGAUUGAAAGAUCCAUGAUAAAAUCUAUAGAAAAAAAAAAAAACCAUGGUUGUUUUAGAAUAGGUAAUAGUUGAAAAAGUCGAUAAGGUUGAUGACUAGGAGUUUUUGAUCUUGAAUAAAUGUUGCAUAAAUGAAUAAAGUCUUUCACAUCCUUCCAUAUUUGUGGCUACCAAAAAUCUCUAGAUAUAAGCUACAAAGUCUUGUUGUAUCUAAAAUGUCUUGCUAUUGGAAAGUCAUGAUGUACUUAAAUAACACGUAAUCGUGCUUCUUCUUUUAGAACAUACAAUCGACCUUCAAAAUAGAGUAGGUUGUUUUUGAAGUCAAACUUAGAAGUAUCUUGGGACUUAGAAGAAGGAUUCUUGAUAUUUUAAAUUACAGGAUCAGAAGACAUAUUUAAUUGGAUUUAUUUCAUAAAGGUCUAAUCAACAAUCAAUGUUGAUUUUAUUACUCAAAGAUGAAAAUACUCUAGCUUCAAGAGAAUUAUUCUUUGUUGAUCAAAAGAUACAUCUCUUUCUUUAAGUAUAAGAUAAGAAUGUCUAGAAAGGAUGUCUGAAAAACCUUAUUAUUUUUUGGAUCGAUAUAUGAUAUUUAAAUCAAAUCUUUAUAAAGACAUGCUCCUACGAGCUUGUUGACGAUUUACAACAUGUGCUAACAUGAAGUACUCAAGAUUCUUGUUAUUUGUAUAAACGGUGAUUAGAUUAGAAGCACCUUCAAGAUGAUGAUGCCAUUCUUGAAAUGAAUCCACGAUUGCAAGAAGUUCUUUGUUGUGAAUUUCAUAAUUAAUCUCGGUCAUUGAAAUUUUUUUGGAAUGAAAAGCUAUUAGAUGAAGUUUAUCAUCUGUUUCUAUUUGUGAUAAUAUGGCAUUCAAAGCAAAGUUUAAUGCAUCUGUUUCCAUAAAAAAUACCUUAGAAAAGUCGACACGAUAGAAGUUUGGUGCAAAAAUAAAGGCUGACUUUUAAGCUUCAAAAGAUGCUUGAGUUUCUUUACUCUACUCAAGUUUGUUUUUGCAAGUCAAAUGUGUAAGUAGAGCUACAACUCGAGAGAAGACUUUGAUGAAGAUUUGAUAAUAGUUGGCAAUGCCCAAAAAACAAUGGACAUCUCUUACCAUUUUUGAAAUCUUCUAAUCUAUAAUUGUUUGAACUUUCUUAAGAUCCAUCAUAAGUCCAUCAUUUGAAAUAAUAUAUCAUAAGAAAUCAACUUGAAUAGUAUUGAAUAUAUAAUUUUUUAUCUUGACAUAGAGUCUUGCAUCUCUUAAUUUUUGUAACACAUGACGAAUAUAAAGUUCAUGUUCAUAUGUGUUUUUAAAAUAGAUCAAGAUGUCGUCCAAAUAACAAAUAAUAAAAUCAUCUAAAAACUCUCAAAAAACAUCAUUCAUUAGAUGUUGAAAAGCUGUCGCUACAUUUAUAAGUCUAAAAGGCAUGACGUUGUAUUAAAAUUAUAUAUAUCUAGUUUGAAAUACAAUCUUCCAUUCAUCUCCUUCUUUAAUAUUUUGUCAUGAUAUAACACGAUUAAUAUGUGAAAGAGUGUAGAGAUUAUUAUAAUUUAGGAGAUCUUAGUUCAAAAUAUUAAAACAAAUUAUCUUAAAAAUAUAAUUAAUAGUCAAAGAGGUAGAAAAAAUAAAAGGUACCAAUGCUGCCUUUUAAAAAGGUGACUUCUACUUACUUUGUAGCACCAUAAGUAAAGCAAAUCAAAGUAGAUUAGAAAAAUAAAUGAUAUAGACAUCUUUAGAAGGAAAUUAAGAGUAAAUUCUAAAAAGAAUUUACUUAGAAAAACUAGAUAUUAAUACCCGGAAAGGGCCGGUUAUGAACCAGGAUCGAAAUCAGACCCUGAGGCACAAAACCGAGUCUCGACGACGACUCCAGGACUCUUAGGCAGAUUGGAGAGUGGAAUUUGGUAGAAAAUUGAAUAAGGUUUCUAUAGGUGUUGAUUUGGGGUGAUUUGGAGUUGUUAUGACUUUGUAAGAGCUUUGCAAAAUCAAGAUUUGUUUCGGAUGACUUGGGUUUUAUGAAAUAAAAUAGGGUUUAUAUUUUGGAUAAUUUCGAGAGUUUUGUAGCUGAACUAUGAGUAAAAUUUUAUGGAUUUAUGGUUAUAGUUGUGUUCAAUAUGUGUUGUGAAUUUGAGCUCGAUCUAACGGGUGAAUUGAAGGAUAUUGAGGUUUAAGUGGGUCAAGGUCUCAGAAAGUAGAAUUUUAGGUCUAGUGAGGAUUUUUAAGAUUUCUUGCAAUCUACUUCUUGGAUUGGAGUGAAACUUAUGUGAGAGGAUAUUAAACUUAUUUUUCUAUGUACAAAAAAAUUUUGGGAUAAAUUGAAUGGUGCAAAGAAGAGAUAUCGGCUCUAGAAGAUUGGCAUUAAGAUUUGAGAGGAAGGCCGACCAAUACCCGAGCACAUUUUUGAAGUUAUCAUCAAUUUGGUAAUUCCAAUCAUUUUCAAUUUUUUUGUGCUUAUUUUUAACUUAUUUUAUAAGAAGUGGAAAAAAUUUGAGUUAAGAUCAACGGUUUAUUCAUUAGUUAUUGAGGUUUAAAUCUAAUAUAGGAAUUACUAGAGUUUGGUUUAGGGUUUAGGAUUUGGAUCAGGAUUUGAUUUAGGAUUUAGGAUUUGGUUAGAAUUUGAUUUAAGAUUUAGGAUUUUGUUAGGGUUUGAUUUAGGAUUUAGGAUUUAUAUUAGGGUUUGGUUAGGAUUUGGUUUAGGAUUUGGUUUGGGUUUGAUUUAAAGCUUGUUUAAGGUUUGGGGUUUAGGAUUUGGAUUAGGGUUUGAUUUAGGGUUUAAGAUUUGAUUAGGAUUUGGUUUAGGAUUUAGGAUUUAGAUUAGGAUUUGGUUUAGGAUUUGGUUUAGAAUUUAAGGUUUGGUUUAGGAUUUGAUUAGGAUUUGAUUUAGGAUUUAGGAUUUGAUUAGGAUUUGGUUUAGGGUUUAGGGUUUGAUUUAGGAUUUGGUUUAGGAUUUGGUUUAGGAUUUGGUUAAGAUUUAGUUUAGGAUUUGGUUGGGGUUUGGUUUAAGGUUUUUUUAGAAUUUGAUUUAGGAUUUAAGAUUUUAUUAGGAUUUACGAUUUAAUUAGUUUUGGCCUAAAGUUUGAAUGAAGUUCAAUAGGAUUUUAACUAGAAUUAAAUUAAUAUUGAAUUGAGAUGUAUUUGAGUGAUAUUUAUAAUCCUUCUAAUAUUUCUUUAAGAAUUUUUAUUGUUUGUUUGAAUUUUCUUUGAGUUUUUUUUUUAAUUUGUUUAAGCUUACUUAACAUUAUAAUGGUCUAAUUAGAGCAUUCUUAGUAUUCCAUUAGAAUUAGGAUUUUGUUAUUGCAAUUUUUAUUCUUCCUUCCAUAGCCAGGUGUUUGGAACAUUUUCAAGUAAGACUUCACGUAUUAUGACAACGUAUUAGAUUAUAUGCUCUUCGUAGAUCUAUUUUUGUGUAGAUCUUAACUUGAUUCAUUUGAUCGAGAAGUUUGGAUAUCAAAAGUAGAAGAUAGUUAUUCUUCAUAGUGAUCUUGUUGAGUCCUCAAUAAUCAAUACAUAUCUACAAUGACUCAUCUUUCUUCUUCACAAAUAAGAUUGGAGCUCCUACUGGUGAUUAAGAAUGACAUAUGCAAUUCUUGGCUAGAUUUCCUUAAAUGUAUUCCUUGAAUCCAGCUAAUUCAUUUUGUGAUAAAUUAUAGAUUGGUCCAAAUGGUAGUUAUGCUCUUUCUUAAAGGUCAAUUGAACAGUCAUAGGAAUAAUGUUCUGGAAGAGUAUCUGCAUUCUUCUUCUCAAAUACAUCUUAAAAUUCUUGAUAUUGGCUUGGAAUGCCACUUGAAGUCUUUAUAUCAUUAGAAAUAGGUGUGGUAUAAAUGACACAAGAUGAUCCUUUUUUUGCACUAUGCAAGAAAGCUCUCGCACCUACAAACACAUGUUUUAUUGUGCUAGACUUAUGACUUUCUACUAGAUUAAUUUCACUCUUAGUUAUAUUUUUAGAUAAGUCAAGAGUAUGAGAAAUCCAAUCUAUGCAAGGAUUAUAUUUUUCUAACUAUAAUAAAUCUAAAAUAACUAGAUUAGAAAGAGUUUUAAUUAUAUUACAAAUUAUGCAACUAUUAUGACUAUUUAUUGUUACAUCUAUAGGAAGUAUUUUAUGAGUAACAUCUCUAAAAGACAAUGGACGACCAGCUAUGACUUCUAUAUGAACAAGUUUAGUUUUUUGUAUUAAUGGUAUUUUAUGACUUUUAAUAAAUUCUAUGUCUUAGAAAUAAGGUGAAGUUCUUGAAUCUAUCAAGGUGGAGGCUUUGUAAUUAUUAAGUUCUAAAUGCACAUCUAUUAUAAAAUAAAGAGAGGGUUCUGAGGAGAGGAUAGGACCUUUAUUAGAAAUUAUAUAAGAUUCAAGCCGCAUGGUUCCUAUUGUAGCUGGAAAAAUUUAUUUUUUGAUACAUUGUCUUCUUUGAUAGCUUUGCUUUUUAUUUUGUGGUUUUAUUGCUUCUUUGGAUAAUGUUGAGUAGUUUGUUUAGAUUCUCUAUAAUAUAAGCACAAUCGUUCUUCAUGGCAAUGAAUCUUUUCUUGCUUGGUAAGAGAUUUAAAAUAUAUGACAUCAAUUUGCAUAUCUUUUACUUCUAAAUAUAUAUAUUGAAGAGAUGUUGAUGUUACCAUCAAAUUGUAGUAACAUUUAGGCCCAUUUGUAUGGCUCUCAGAUCAAAAUUCAAAAAGUUGAUUGUCACAUUUGACAAAAAAAUCAAUUGCUUGACUUAAUGUUUGAGGAUCAAGUAAGUUGAGCAUCAAUUUAUUUACUUCAUAUUAUAAUCUAUAGAAAAAUUGGCUAAAAAGUGCAACAUCAUCCUAUUUGAUAUCAGUUGCAAGUUGUCAAAACUGUGAAGCAUAUAACAUUAUAGAUCAAUUGCCUUAUCGUAAAAUAUGGAUCUUGUUGGUUGCAACAUAAAUUGCAUCAUGUUCUCCAUUCAUGGACCAAAAUUUUGCCAAAAAUGUCUCUAGAUUAUCCAAUAUUGGAUAUUGUCAUUCAAAAAAAGAUAAAAACCAUGAUAAUGUUGAAUCUGAAAGAAAAGUAUGAUAAAAUCUAACUUGUGAUCCUGAAAUUGGAUAGAUUUGAGGUUGAAGUUCAAUCACAAGUUGUACUUGAUUAAUAAAUCUUUGAAAUUUGGAUCUUAUACCAUCAAACUUCUUGGGUAGAGUAACUCUUGGUUUUUUAAUACUUAAAAGAUGUUCCACCAUGGAUGGAAGGACAUGAUUUGGUGCAAAUGCUGAAGUAGCUGUAAUCAUUUCUAUAUUCUCACUUCUUGCCAUUCUUAUUGAUCCUUGUGGUGGUAAGCUAAGUUGAUGUAUCGCAAGCAUUAACUCUAUCAAUUGCUCUUACAUUUGUGCUAUUGUACUCUUCAUUUCAAUAAGCUUUGCCAUAAUAAUACUUAAAAAAAUAUCUAAUAUUACUCAAGAUAAAUAGAAGAAAGGACUUGAAGACAAAAAAAAUACUAAAAAUAAUAUCAGUUUAAAAGAGGAUAAUCUAUAACUUCUAAUAUACUUAUGUCUUAUCAUGAGAAGAGGAUAAUCCACUCCUAAUCAAUACAAGACAAAGCUCUCAUACUAUAAGUGUACUCUUGUCAAACUAUUAAAGAUAUGAACUAAAAGAUGAUGCAUAAAUCAAUGAACUUUGUGUCAAAGAAAGAAUGACAAAAUACAAAUAAGGAAUACAUAUAUUCAAAGAAACUAGAAAGGCUUAUUGCCUAAAGACAAGAAAACUUGAGACUCUUGAAACUAGACUAGAAGCAAGAAAGAAGUUGACAAGAAUAAAGAAGGCUUCACUCUUGUCUCUAUAUAUACUAUCUAACUAAGGGUUAUGUAGUGAUGUUCUAUAGGACCUCCAAUAUGUAUUGACUUUGUAGGAUAUAUGCCUUGACUUACAAGGUAAGUUUUUCUAUGUAUGGGCCACAAAGUUAGUUUGGUCUUCAACCUAACAAUAUGUGUGGUACAUGGCCAACUUGUUGACUAUGUUUCUAAGCCAAAAAGUCAAUUAAAGAUAGUUGUAAAGUCAAAGCAGUAUCUGUAAAGCUUCUAAAAAGCUUCCAUAGAAGAUAUUUUAGAAUUAAGUUAUUUUUACAUACUUCUACUUACUUCUACCUAUUUAUAUAAAUAAUUACUGGCUUAUAUGCAUAUGUCUAUGACAGUUCUAUGAAGAACAAUAAUCAUAUAUUGAAGAAAUUUAAGAUGCAGCAAAUUAUAUUUGCCAUAUAUUCUAAUCUUUUUUUCUUUUCAAAGUAGUUGAUAGGUUCUUUUAGCCAUUGGUAAUAUUUUAUUUCAAGGCAAGAAGACUACCUUAUGAUUUAAUCAUUAUUAAAACCUUCAUAACUUCUUUCAAAUAAAAUAUUCUUGACACCAUCAAGAGUUGUAUCUACUUCCUAUAAAAUCACCAAACAUUAAGAAUUUUUUCUUAAGUUGUGAUAUUAAAUGCAUUAUAUCAUACUAUCUAUUCAAGGAAGAACAUGUCUUUCUUGAAGAUUUUUAUUUCUAUAAAGUUGUCUUGAAGGCUCAGAUAAUCAUAAUGUUUUGUCUGAUAAGUCAAUAAAUGAUGGAUUCUGAGUUGAAUCCAUUGACUAUUGGUUCUCUCUCUUCUUAAUACCACAAUUAGACAAAAACUACAAACUAGGAUAGAAAGUAGAAUGCAAUCUUUCCUAAAUUGUGUUUCUUUUAUAACAAAGAUUUGCUAUCUUUCAUCUUGAUUUUAAUCGAUGUUGUUGAUAAAAAGCUUUGACAUUUUCUACUAUAUUUGUAAGAUUUUUUUUUCUUACAUCCAUGUAUUUAUUAACAUCAUAUCUAUGCCAAUGGAUAAGAUAUUCUAACUUAUUUUGGUACUACUUAAAGUCUAUAACUUCUUCUACUUCAAAUUCUUCAAUAAUAUUAACUUCUAUAGGAGAAAGUUGGACUUGUCUUCUUCUUGGUAUAUUCUUAGUCUUAUAUGAUUCAAAAAGAGACACAUAAAAUUUAAGAUGGAUAUUCAUUGUCUUUCAUAGAUAUAAUCAAUAAGCAACUGGAUUGAUUUUGUCUACAAAUAAAAAAAAGUCCAAGCUAACGAUAUCAUACUAUAUACACUUGUAGUAUGUAAAAAUUAGUUAGAACAUAUAAUACAUUCAUAAGUCUUGAUAUAUGUUAGAAUGGUUAAUAGAUUAAUUUAAAGAGAGUGGAUUUAAGAAAUUUUAUUUUAAAUUUUAUCUUUUUAAUUGUAGCAUUUCAAAAAAAAUUAUAAAACCUAAAUAUUGGUAUGAAGCCUUGAGAGGAGAUUAGAGGCUAAAGAAGAAAUUCUUAACUAGUAGGAGGCUUAUUGAGAGGGAUGAAAGCAAGGCAUGGUUGGAUGAAGGCAAGGAAUGGGGAUCUUCAUUCCUAUUCGUCGAAGGCCAUGUCUAAUGGACUUCAAGGAGGCUACUUGAGGCCUUAUUAGGAAUUAGGGUUUUUUUUUCAAAGUCAUUCAAGCUUUGGAGGCUAGGGUCAGCAAGUUCAAGAUUUUGGAUAUAAUUUGGAUGAAGAGUUUGUGUGAUUUUGAGUUUUUGUGAAAGAGAUAUAAGUGUUCAAAGUUAAGGUGUCAAAUUUAUACCUACUGUCACUCUUUGAAGCAUAAUAUAUGCGAUCAAAGAUCAAUGAAAGAUCGGCGAUUGGAGUUGGAGAGAACACUUUUUUGGCUACACUUUAUAUAUAUUGUUUGAUGAAUUCUAGGUUUUGAUGAAGGAAUUAUAGGGCAUUGAAGACAACACAUCUAAUUCAUUUUGUUGAUAGUAAUGGUUGGAGCCAUAUCUUGAGAUUUUGGACGAAUUUUUGGCUCAAAAGUUUUGUAAGUGUGAGUUAUUAAGUUAAGAAGCUAUAAAGCAAAUUUUCAUGGUAUUUGAGUAUUUAUUUUGUGAGAUAUGAGAUAUGCAGGUACAUGUAAGUUAGGAUUUAAAGCUACUGUUAGGAUUUUGGUGAUAUCUCAAGAUCCGUAAUAAAUUUGAAUUUUUUUUGAUAAUUUUUUGAAAGUAUAUCAGUAUUUCAAGUAUAAUUUUAGGUUGUUUGGAAGGUCCGAUCAUGAGAUAUGAACUAUUGAAGUUUGAGUAACAUUUCUCAUGAGGAUAUACAUUGACAAACAAAACUGAGUAUAAAAUCUAAACACUCAUAGUUCAUUGAUCCUUCCAACUGACAUAUAAGUCAAUUGAUAGAAUUACUUUUUUAUUGUGUGUAUUCAUCUAGUCUUCUACAUGGAUGAAAAAUCUCAUUAUCAUUUGAGGUAGGGUUUAUGAGAAAAGUAUUGUAGAAGCACACAGAUGUGCAUACUUAGUUUUGGUUACUUCUUCUUGCUGAAUUUCGAAAUUUCAAUGUACACUCCUUGUUGCAAGAUUUGAGAGCAUUUUUUAUUUGUUGUAUUGCUCUUGUUGUGUACUAUCUAUAGUAAAAGUUGAUUUGUCAAUUGUAUCUCUAUGCCUCGAUUGUGUGAAUCAUUGAAGCACCAAGCAUUCGUACAACUUAGAAGUGGUAUUUCUACAAGAAAAGUUGCAGACUCACUUGGAAUGAGUUAGUCUUCAGUAGCUCAUCUGAGGAGGGAGAUUAGUGGUGAAAUAGAAAAGCAAAGAGGAGGACGUCCAAAGGUUUUAGGAGAGCAAGAGAAGCGACUUGGUGUGCACCUUGUCACUGCUGGUUGUCUCAAAACAGCAAGUGCAGCUGCAAAACAACUUCAAGAAAAAAUAAGAAAACACUUCUCAAACAUCACCGUGAGGCGUGGUUUGAGAGAAGCUGGUUUGGGUGCUUGUGUGCAACAAAAGAAACCUCUACUUGCCAAAAGACAUGUGCUUAUAAGGUUGAGUUUUGCUCAUAAAUACAAAAAUUAGAUCGUUGAUGAUUGGAGACGGGUUAUUUUCAGUGAUGAGACAAAGAUUAACCUUAUCAACUCAGAUGGUAGGUCUUGGUGUUGAUUGAGAGAAGGAGAACGACCUAGACCUAAACAUGUUAGUCAAACUGUCAAACAUGGUAGUGGUUCAAUUAUGAUUUGGGGUUGUAUGAUUGCUUUUGAGCCAGGUGCUUGGUAUCAAAUUGAAGGUAGAAUGGAGCAACACUUGUAUAAAAAAAAUUUAGAAACCUACUUGCAAAGUACCACACAGAAUUACAACUUAGAUCCUACUAAGGUGGUUUUUCAACAUGAUAAUGAUCCCAAACAUAUGGCAAAAAGUAUUCAGUUUUGGCUCUCUUCACAACCAUUUCAGCUCCUUCAAUGGCCAGCUCAAUCUCCAGAUUUGAAUCUAAUGGAACAUUUUUGGGCCCUUCUCAAACAGCGUUUAAGCCAAGUCAUUCCAAGGCCAAGAGGUGUUCAAGAAUUGUGGAAGAAUGUUUGUAGUAUUUACCCUAGUUUUGAUGCAAAAGAUUGUGAGAAACAAUACAAAAGUAUGCCAAGAAGGAUUUCAGCUGUUUUGGAAGCAAAAGGUUAUUGGACUAAAUAUUGAAGUUUGAAGAUUUUCUUUGAACAAUACUGAGUACAAGACAUAGUUGUUGAUUUGACUUUGUAGAAGGAUGUUUAGUUAUCAAUUUGAUGUGCAACUUUGUACAUGUGUACAAGACUGUGUGUAUUAAUCCAUGUAACUUUCAGAUUUAUAAAGCAAUCAUUGAAAUUUCUGUAAUUGCUCUUGAAAGUUGGCACUUCAGAUUUUGUAUUCGGUUUUGUUUAUCACUGUAUAAGGUUUUAAGAUACUUUAUCAUACAUUUGGAUAUUUUUUUGGUACUCAGGCUUAUGUAUUGAUGUAAUUACCUUGUAAGGGAAAAUAUUAUAUAUAUAAAUUUUGUACUUUUAUAUCUUAGACUUGAUUGAGCAUUUAGUGGCUACCAAAAGCCCUGUGCUUUCUUGAGGCAAACUCUCUCUAUCCCGACAACAAUAGUCCAACUUAUCACAAUAACAAGUAAUCUUGAUAUUACAAUAAAGUAACCAUACCUUAAUAUCUACAUUAAAUUGUGGUUGUUCCUUUCGAUUAGCAUUUGCAUUGAUCUUUUGUUAUUUUUGAGCUUCCUUUUAUUCUCCUUUCAUUAUUGCAUGUAGCUCUAAUAAAUAAUUUGUCAAAUCUUUUGUCACAGGAUUAUCAACUUUUAAAAAAUCAAAAGUAUCAAAUUAUAGAUGAUAACCAUAAUUUAUAAAAAAAGAUAUUUGUUGCAUAAAAUAAUUGUAAGUUCAUGCCAAUACUCAUGCAUUGUAUUAUUAUAAGCAAACUCUGCCAAUGUCAAGAAGGUUGUUUAAUCAUCGUAUUGAUAAUUAAUGGUAUACCUUAAGUAUUGCUCCAAAAUUUGAUUUACAUAUUUUUGUAAUAUAACAUAAGUAAUAGAUAAAAAGAAUGAAAAAAUUAUUAUAUUAUAAAAGAUCUUACUUCAAAUAUUGUAGCAAAUUAUCUUAAAAAAUAGACAAAAGUCUAAAAGAAAAUACAAUUAAAGAUGUAAAUAUUAUUUUUUUAUAAAUUAGGCUUUUAUUUAGUUUUUUAGGCGAUAAAUAAGAUAAAAUAAGGUAGAUGAGAAAAAUAAAGAAAAUAAAUAUAUGUAGAAAAAAGUUAAGAAUUGAUUUUAGCAAAAAUUAACUCAAAAGAAAAAAAUUUGAUAUUUAGAGAAGACCAGUUAUCAACUUAGACCAAAUCAAAUCUUCAAGUACAAAACUAGGCACCUAAGGAAAAUUUGGGAUGUUUUUGCAAAUUAAAGAGUAAGAUUUGAAAGCAGACUUAAUAAGAUUUCUUUGAACAUUGAAUUUGAGUGAUUUAAGUAUGUAAUAACUUUGUAAGAGCUUUGUAAAGUUAUAGUUAUUUUAGGUGAUUCUAAGAUUUGAGAAAUAAAAAGGAUAUUAUAUUUUAGAGAAUUUUGUGAAUUUAGUAUUAGAUCUAUAAUUUAAAUUUUGAGGACUUAUUAGAAUAGUUAUUUGAAUUAUAUGCUACAAGUUUAAGACUAUUCAAACAAUUGAAUUGAAGGUUAUUGAAUUUCAUGUAGGUUGAGGUCUCAAAAAUUAGACUUUGAGGUACAGUUAGGAUUUUUAAGAUCUUCAACAAUCUACUAGUUGGAUUGGAGUGAAAUUUUUGUGUAAAGAUAAUAGACUUGAUUUACUACACAUUUGUGAAAUUUGAAAAUAAUUGAAUAGUUUAAAAAAGCGAUAUUGAGACUAGAAGUUCAACAUUGAGAUUGAAAUAGGAGGCUUGCCAAUACCCGAGUGGAUUAUAGGAUUUUUCUUCCAUUUGGUAGGUGCAAUUAUCUUCAAAUUUGUUAUAUUAUUUUUUAACUAAAAAAUUGAAAGAUGUAUAAAUUUUUAGGUAAGAUCCAUGAUUUAAUUAAUAGAUAUUAAGAUUCUAAUGUCCUUCGGAUUUGAUUAAGGAUUAAGAAUUUAUAUAGAAUUUGAUUUAAGGUUUAGGAUUUAUUUCGGAUUUGAUUUAAGAUUUAGGAUUUUUUUAGGAUUUGAUUUAAGGUUUAAAUUUUUUUUAAGAUUUGAUUUAAAGUUUAGGAAUUUAGGAAUUAUUUUAGGAUUUAGGAUUUUUUUAAGAUUUUAUUUAGGAUUUCGGAUUUGUCUAGGAUAUGAUUUAGAAUUUAAGAUUUUUUUAAGAUUUUAUUUAAGAUUUUGAAUUUUUUUAGGAUUUGAUUUAAGAUUUAAGAUUUAUUUAAGAUUUGAUUUAAGAUUUAUAGUUUUUUUAAGAUUUAGUUUAAGAUUUAAGGUUUAUCUAGGGUUUGAUUUAAGAUUUAAGGUUUGUCUAGGAUUUCGUUUAGGAUUUAGGAUUUAUUUCGGAUUUACCUAGGAUUUAGGAUUUGGCUUAAGAUUUGAUUAAAAUUUAUUAGGAUUUUGAUUAGGAUUAAUUUAAGACUUUAUUGAGAUUUAUUUAAGAUAUAUUUUUAAUUAUUUUAAUAUUUCUUUGGAAUUUCUUAAAGAUUCUUUUGAGAUUUAUUGAAUUUUUUAAAGAUUUCUUAUUUUUUCUUUUAUAAUUUCUUUAAGAUCUUUUUUGAAUUUGAUUAAAGUUUAUUUAGCAUUUUUAAGGAUUUAAUUAGUAUUAUUUAAUAUUCUAUUAGAAUUAAAAUUUUGUUGUUGCAAUUUCCAUUCUACUUUCUAUUGCCAAGUACUUAAUGUAUUCUUGAACAAGACUUCACAUAAUAUAAUAGUACUUUAUUUGUCCAUCAGUUUGAGGAUAAAAGGCCAAAAAAAGUUUUAUGUCCACCUUUAGAAUCUUAAAAAGGAUUCUCUAAAAUCUUGAUAUAAAUCAAGUCACCAUGUCCAAUAUAAUAUCUUUUAGCAAUCCACAAUAUCAAUAGAUAUUAUCAAGGAAAAGCUUGGCAGUUUUUUUUAUCUAUGAUAGAUUUUAUACUAUUUUAAUAAAAAAAUCUAAUAUCACAAAUAUAGAAUCAUAUAUAUCUGAGAUUGGAAGAUUUUUAAUAAAAUCUAUAGAAAUAGAAGACCAUGGAUGUUUUGAAAAAAGUAAUAGUUGAAGAAGUCCAUAAAGUUGAUAAUGAAGAAUUUUUGAUCUUGAACAAAUGUCACAUAAUUUCACAAAGUCUUUUAUAGUCUUCCACAUUUGUGGCCACCAAAAAUCUCUAUAUAUUAGCUUUAAAGUCUUGUUAUAUCCAAAAUGUCCUACUUUUGGAAAGUUGUGACAUGCUUGAAGAACAUGUAGAUGUGCUUAUCCUUCUAGAACAUAUAGGCAUCUUUUGAAAUAAAGUAGGUUGUUCUUGAACUCGAACUUGAAAGUAUUACAAUAGUUAAAAGAAAUAUUCUUGAUAUCAUGAAGAAGAAGAUCAAAGGAUAUAUUUGAUUGAAUUUGCUUGAAAAAAAUUAAAUCAAUAAUUAAUGUUGAUUUCACAAUAAUUUCAUCUUUUAUUCUUGCUUCAAUAAAAUUUUCUUUUAUUAAUCAAAAACUGCAAUUCCUUCUUUUGGUACAAGAUAAGAACAUCUUAAAAAGGCAUUGAAUAAACCUUGUUGUUUUUGUAGCUAAUAAGUGAUAUUGAACUCAAAUCUUGAGAAAGACAUGCUCUAAUAAGACUGGUGAUGAUUCAAAAUAUGUGCUGACAUGUCAUUCUUCAAAAGAAUCUACAAUUGUAAGAAGUUCUUCGUCAUGGAUCUCAUAGUUAAUUUUGGUUGCUGAAAAUUUCCUAGAAUGAAAAGCUAGUAGAUGAAGCUUAUCAUCUUCUCCUGAUUGUCAUAAAACAACAUCUAUAGCAAAAUCUAAUGCAUUUAUUUCCAUAAAAAAUGCCUUGAAAAAGUUGAUAAGAUAUAAUAUUGGUACAAAAAUAAAUACAGACUUCAAGGCUUCAAAAGAUGCUUCAGCUUCUUUGCUCCAAUUAAGUUUGUUUUUGCAUAUAAGACAUAUAAGAAGAGCCUCAACUUGAGAAUUUUUUUUGAUAAAGAUCUUUGAAUCCAAAUUUCACCACUAAAUGAAAUUGAUCCCACACAACAAGUUCAAGAGGUGGAAUUGAAGAAUUGACAAUUGUGUAAUUUCUAAGUUGUUUUAAAUCUUAAUGUUAAUAAUUCAAUUAACUUUAAGCCUUCUAAUUAAUAGUUACUAAUAUUAAUAAAAAAAAUAUUUAAUAAAAUUACUAUGGUUUUCAAGGCUAUUUACAUUAUCUCUACUUAUAUUUUGAUGAUUUUUUUAAGAUUACAUAAUCCUUAAUUACUCAUUUUUAUAUGAUUAAAAAUUUAUUAGUAAUUAGAAUAAAUAAAUAAUUAAUUAGUUCAAACUUAUAAAUUAUUAUAUCUUAAAUAAUUGAUGGUAAAAGUAAUUGAUCAAAUUAUUACCAUUAAUCCAUAGUAAAAGUAAAAAAAUCUUAAAGGUUGAAUUAAAAGUAAAAGUUAAAAAUAAAAAUUAAGAGUUAAAAGUAAAAGAGAAAAGAUUAAAAAUUAUAAGUUAAAAACUAAAAUUUAAAAGUUGAAAUAUGAAAGUUACGAAUUACUAUAAAAAUAAAAAUAAAAGUAAAAGAUAAAAGCAAAGGUAUCUUAAUAACGCCAAAGAAUUGAGGGCAGCAAAUCCUUUUUAUACCAAAAUUUGCUAAAAAUUAUGAUUAAUUCCAAAUUGAAUGAUUUUUUGUAUUUUUCAAAGUUAACUUAUAGGAUGUUUUAAUAAAAAAGAUGUUCCAAUUAUUUGAAUUCACUAUUACAUCAAAGAUAAAAAAUCAUGUAAGGUCUAGUAUAGGAUAUUUUGGAGGUUCAUAGAAAAAAUUAUCUCAAGCAUUGAAAGAUGAAUUUUUCUUGAUAGAUAGUGAUUAAAUUACAAAGAAAUUAUUUUUUUGAAUGGAUUAAAAGACCAGAGAAGGGCCUUUUAGUAACAAAAUUAUUAAGAGAGUUUGAAAAGUAAUAUUCUUCUUUAUCAAAGAAAGGAAGGCAAUUAUUUGAUCCAAGUAAACUCCAGCUCUUUCUUCAAAUGGAUGAUAGAGAAUUGCAAGAGAAGUUAAAAAUCUUGCUUCAAGAUAACAAAGAAGAUGAAAGAUUAAUAAUAAAUUGAAAGGAAGUAGAAGAGGUUGUAGGAUUGUUGCCAAAAAGAUAAAAAAAAUAAAUAAAUAAAUAAAAAUAGGAUGGAUAUAUAAAUACCAUUACAAGCGUCUAAAGUAAAAAUGUCUACUAUUCAUACAAUAUCUUUAAUUCAACCUUCAAUAGCUACAUCAAAGAAUGAAGAAAUAGGCAUCUAUGAAAUCAUAUACGAUGUUAUACUGUAAAUGCUUAUAUUAUAUAAAAAUUAGUUAAAAUAUAUUAUAUAUUGAUAAAUAUAAAUGAGUGUUAGAGUGAUUAGUAGAUUAAAUUAAAAGGAGUUGAUAUAAGAAACCUUACUUUGUUUCUUUUAUUUUUUUUGAUUUUAGUAUAUAUAUAUAUAUAUAUAUAUAUAUAUAUAUAUAUAUGACCUAAAUAUUUAGUAUGAAGCCUUGAAAGAAGGUGGAAGCCUAAGAAAGAAAAUUCAAACUAGUAGGAGGCUAAUUAGAAGGAAUAAAAGUAAGGCAUGGUCAGAUGAAGGCAAGGAAUGGAAAACUUCAUCCCUACUGGUCGAAUACUAUACCUAAUGGACUUUGAAGAGGCUGUCUACAACCUUAAUAAGGGUUCUAAAAACUUCAAAGUAGGCAUUUGGAAAUUAAAAGCCAAGAUUAUAAGGUUUAGAAUUUGGACUAUAAUUUGUAUGCAAAAAUUAGAAGAUUUAGAACAAGGAUGAAGAAAUUAUAGUCAUUUGAAGUUAAGGUGUAAAUUUAAGAUAUACUAUUACUUUUUUGUAAAUACAAGGAAUUAUACAAUAUUUUUUGAAGUUCAAAAGGUGCAGUUAGAAUAGCAAUUUCAAAGCCUACAUCUUUUAUGAAAGAAUUGUUGUUUUUGAAGUUUAUAUAAAGAAAAUAUAAGGAAUUGAAGGAAAUACUUUUAAAUCAAAGAUAGCAAGUAAAUGAUUUUGUAUAUAGUAAUGGUUGGAGCCAUAACUUAAAUUUUUGGACGAAAUUUUGGCUCAAACUUUUUGAACAAUGAAAAAUUUUGUAUUACAAAACUAUACAUAUAAAUUUUGUGGCAUUUGAGCUUUUAUUUUGUGAGAUAUAAAGAAAAUUUCAUGAGGGAGUAUAAAAACAAGGAUUUGAAGUGACUGUUAGGAUUUUUAAGAUAUCUCAAGAUUUGCAACAAAUUUGUAGUUGAAAUUUAUUGUAAGAGUUGAUAAGAAUACAUCAGUACUUCAUAUAAAAUUUGAUUAAGUUUGGACAGUCGGAUCAAGAGAUAUGAGAUAUUGAAGUUUAGGAAAAAUUUUACAUAAGGGUAUAUAAGGUUUUAGAGGAUUUUAUCAUAUUUUGGAUGUUGUUGGUUACUUGAGGCUUAUAUAUUUGGUGUAAUUGCUCCAAAAGGGAAAUUUUAUAUAUAAACUUAGGGCUUCUUUGAUUUUGAAGCUUGAUUGAGCAAUUAGUAACAACCAAGAGUCUAGUACUUUCUUGAGGUAAACUCUCUCUAUCCUGAUAUUUUGGUGCUUCCACUAAGAGAGCCUUGAGGCAUAAAUUUUUUACUAAGUUGAAAUGGAAGAUCAAAAUCAAGGAUUUAGAUUAUGAAGAGGAGUUUGCUCAAUUUAUGAAAGAUAGAUAAUAGGUACAUAGAGAGGAUAUGAGUACUAUUAACGUCUUAGAAGUAGUGGUAGAUAAGAUUGGAAGGUUUGAUGGGAGGAACAUUACUAAGUUCCUCAAGAUUUACACAUAAGAAAUGGAGGUGAAUCAAGUUUCAAAAAUAAAGAUAAUUAUCACCUUUGAUUUGGCAAUAGUACCAAAAAUUAAGGAAAUGAUGCAAGAAUUGCAUGUAGAGGCUAUAUAAUGGAAGAAAUUUGAAGAACUCUUAAAAGAUAAAUUUUUUAAAGAAGAUUUAGAAAGAAUGAUCAAAGUGACUUUUUUGGAAUGGAUUGAGCAAAGGCCAAGGAAUCAAAUGGCUCCAAAUGAAUUAAUUAGGAAAUUUGAAAUUAAUUUUGAUCAAUUGCCAUGGUAAGAGAAGGAGCUAUUGGAAGCAAGAAAAACAGGGUUAUUCUUGCAAGUAGCUGAUGAAUACUUGGAAGACAAGCUUUUCUUUCAUUUAGUUGAUAAGACAUUUGAGAGCAGUUUUACAAAUAAUUGGAAGCUUAUAAAAGAGAAAAUGGGGCUUCUGACUAAACAGCAAAAGAUUAAGACUCAUGAUUUAAUAUCAAGAUUGGAGCCAAUGCCUACAUCUCAAAAUUUAGUGCUACCUCAAAAGGUACUAAAGACUGUUAAAGAUAACACUCUUGAAGAAUUAACUAAAGGCAUACAAGAUUUGAAGGUAAAAAUGACUGAAUUGAAGAAAUCUCAAAUGAAAAGCUCAUCAAAGAUAGUUGAAGGUUCAAAAGGAUUUGUAAAGAGAUAUAUGUGGUAUGAUAAUCCAAACCAUAAGCGUGGUGAAUGUGACAGCUAUAAGGCUGCAAUCAAAGAUGAUAUUGUAUAUUUUAAGGAUGGUAGGAUAAGACUCACAAGAUCAAAUGAGCCUUUUAAGACUAAUUUUGAGAAAGGUGGCAUGAAAAAAUUGAUAGACGAGCAAAUAUUAAAGAAUAAUGCCAUACAAAAAAAAAAAGUUAAGUCUUAUUCUAUUACAGUUGAACAAAAAGCAAUUAAUGUUAGUUCUUUAUCAACUACAAAAAUUAUGAUCAGAGGAGCUGAAGUUAUCAAAAAAAUGACUAAGUGGAAUGAUCUAGUUGUUGCUAUUAGUAUUAAAGCAUAUUUAUGGGGGUACAAAUAUAAUGAUGAUCUACAUGAUGCUAUAGUUGAAGAAAAAAGAAAUAGAACUAUUCAUGAAGAGGAUGUUAUUGAGCGUGAAAACAAGAGGAGGUUUCUAAAAAAUAAAGAAGCUUCUAAAGAUGAAAAAUGAGAUAAGAUGCCUUCUUCUAAUCAUCUCGGUGGUGCACCAUUAUCAAAAGAGUGGCAUAAGAAGAACAAAAACAAGAAGGAAGAUGACACAAGUAAACUUAAAGAUAAAAAUCUUGCUUACAAGCUUUAAUUUGACAUUGAGUCAUCUACAGACAUAAAGAGUAUUUUAGAGAAAAAGAUCUUGAAAGAAAAAAUUGAAUUCACUCUAAGAGAUGCUUUGAGUAUAGCUAAGAAAUAUUUUCAUGAGUUGAUCAUCAAUGUGAUAAAGAGGAAGAGGCAAAUGAUAGCUAAAGCUAUUAUAAUAGAGGCAUUGAAUACUUGGGUAAUUAUGGAUGAGGCAGAAAAGAUAGGAUAGGUAUUUGCACAAUUUAUAAUGCCAAAAGCUGGAAAUAAGAUUGAUAUGGAAGAUAAGGCUUUAAUUAAGUAUGAAGAGACUAUAGAAGAACAUCAAAUGAAAUAUGUAUCUGUGAAAUUUAUUAAGAUAAAGAAGAAUGCAUAAAAAAUAUGUAUAAAUACUUGCUCUAAAUAUGAUAAUGAUAGAAUAGAAAGUAGUAGCUAUUCAGUUCCUUAUUAGAUUAUAGCUACUAUGGAAUAAUAGAAGAAUUAGGUUUAGAAGAUGAUUUGAUAAAAGUUAUGGAAAAUUUAGUUAUAAGCAUAGAGGCAAAUGCUAUGGUAGAAAUAUAUUCAAGAGAGACUUAUGAUGUGUUAAAAAAAAUAAUAGCAAUUGGUGGACUUGCUAGAAGCUAUGGAUUGAAAUAUGAGGCUAGAGUACAAACUAAAUAUAAAGUUGUGGUAAGAAAGAUAAAACCUAUAGUUACUUAGUUAUGAGUUGAUACUAUGAAGCAUUUUAAGCAAGCAAUUAAGAAACCAAAUGCAAAAGAAAGACGCAAAAUUGGACAUCAAUUUACUCAAAAAUCAUUAGCUAAGUUGAAGAUUGGAGGAGGUGAUCUCUUGACAUUAACAGAAAAAAAAUAUGUUCCAAAAAAUACUUAUUGGGUAUGAUAAGGCAUUUGCCUUAACUCUUGAUGAAAUAGGAUGUGUAGAUCCUAGUAUUGUAGUACCUAUGAUAAUCAUUACUAUGCAACAUGUUCCAUAGAAUUUAAAGCCUAUACCUGUGCCCAGAGCUUUACUUCUAAAAUUAAUAGAAUUAUUAAAAAAAAGAUGAAGAUGGAUAUUUUAGAAUCUUCAAUUAAUUCCUAUUUUAAUAGAUGAUUCACAAUAUCCAAGAAGUCAGGGAUGUAAAGGUUUAUUCAAGAUAUGCAACCUACAAAUAGAGUAAUUAUUUGAAACAUGGAAUCAAGUUUGAUAGUAGAUAAAGUGACUAAGUAAUUUCUAAGUCAUGCCAUCUAUUCUAUUAGAGACUUAUAUUCUAGAUAUUACCAAUUUUAAUUGACUAAAUAAAGUAGGGACUUAACUACCAUGAAGUCUCUUUUGGAUUUAAUGAGGAUGUGUACCUUAUCUCAAGGUGCAACCAACUCAGUGGCUCAUAUAUAAAAUACUAUGAAUCAAAUAUUGAAAGAAAUUAUAUAUAAGAAAUUGGAGUCAGUUAAUUUCACGUUAUCUUUGGAGAAAUCAAGCUUUGGAGUUAAUGAGAUUCUAGUAGUGGGACAUAUAUAUAGCAGAUAUGGUAGGAAAUCAAACUAUUGUCGUAUGGCAUGAUUUGCUAUCUGGGAAUACACUAGGUAUCUAGCUAAAGAGAAUGUAGCUUAAACCUUUAUAUGAUUCUUGUCUUAGCUUCCAAAACUUCUUUAUUUUUGUAUAAAACUCCAAAUAUAACAAAAUCCUUUCAAAACAUAUUUUUUCCGAGAAGGGUUUUCUUGCCCUGAAAUUUAGAAAAUCAUAACUAUUGAUCUAACCGUUCAGUUUAUCUCACAUUUACAAGAUAGGUAGAAUUUACCCUUAAAUUUUAUCACAAAAAACAUCAACCGCAAAUUCACUCUCGAUCUUUUGGCAUCUAAGAAAUUCUAGCAGAUGCUCUAAACCCUAAUUUAAAAGCACUUGAACACUAUUUUCUUAAUAUCUCAAGAAAACAAUACUCAAAUGUCAUCAAACUUAUGCAUAAAGUUUAGUAACAUAAAAUUACACAUUCCCUAAAAUUUUGAGCCAAAACUUUGGCUAAUAGCUCAUGAUAUAGCUCAAGAGACAACUACUAGUAAAUCGGGUUACUUACUACCCUUAGAUUGCAUGCACUGACUUCAAAAUCCAAUAACUCCUUCAUUUCAACUUGAAAUCCAGUAAGAAGUAUAUGAAAAGUGUAGCUGCAAAAGUAUUCUCUCCAAUCGCGGUCGCCGAUCCUCAAUUACUAUCUGUACGCAUGCAUUAUGCCAAAAAGAGUGACAAUAACUCCCAAAUCAACACCUUAACUUUGAGCGCUUGUAUCUCCUUCAUAUAAACUCCAAACCAUACAAAACUUGCACCAAAACCAUAGACAAAAUCCUAGACCUUCUGACCUUAGCCUUCAAAACUCAAAUGGCCUCGAGAAACUAACACUAAUCCCUAAUAUGGCCUCAGGUAGCCUCCUCAAAGCUGAUUGGUCAUGAUUUUUGACCAAUAAGAAUGGAGAUUUUCAUUAUUUAUCUCCAUUCAUCUAUAUUGGUGCUCUAAUUACUCCCUUUGCUACCAAAAUCCUUCUUUAAUCCUUUUUUUUUAUAAGAUUUAUAUAAUUUAUGCUCUAGACACCAAAUAAAAGAACCAAAAGAAGUUUUGAAAGGUCACCAAUGUCUAAUAAAGGUGAUUCUAAAUAUUUAGAAGUUACUAUCAACCAAAACCAAUCUUAAAAGCUACUAUCAAAAGGAAAUUAAAAUUAUACAAAUUCUAUAGUAAUCUUUUUAAACAACCUCUUCUCAAGGUAAUAAUCAAAUUAUAUUCUACAACCAACUAAAAUCUACUAACAUGGCUCUCACUAUGUUACUUAGUAAAUUAUAUAUUAAGUACAAAAUUACAUUAUUUUCAUAUAGUAGCCGAACCACAACACGACAUCGUGAUAAAAUUUUUACUGUAUCUAGGAUGAUGGCUUAUAGAAAUAUUACAAAAGCCAAAAGAUUUUUAAGAGCAUGUGUUUUCUAUCACAUUUGGGUGCUUUACUUUGCCCAUAUCUUUGAGCUACUAUAGAAGUUAUUUAGGAAGGGUAAGAGAUUUGUUUAAGAAGAAGAACAAGAAGAAGCUAUAAAAAAAUUGAAAAAGAUAUUGAAUUCACCAUCUGUACUUAGACAAGUAGAUUAUCAAUAUAGAAGACCAGUGGUUGUAACAAUGGAUAUAAGUCCCAUAGCAAUUGGAUGGGCUAUUGGACAAGAUGAUAUAGAAAGAAGAAGAUUUGCUAUAAGGUUUGGAGCUAGGAUUCUUACAAAGUGACAAAGGACUUAUCCUCAAGUUAAAAAAGAGCUUUGAGAGGCACUCAUACUCUAAAGGUUGAAAGGAAUUAUUUCAUUGGAGCAAGUAUGGUUUUGAAAAUAAAUUAUUUGCCAUUACUUUGAAUGAUAAUUAACUGUACUACUCUAGACAUUUCCAUACUAAUAUGGAUAGCCUAUAAAAGAACAUUGAAUCUUAUUUUAGUAUAUAUUACUAGCAAAAAAAACUUAAUAGCGGAUAUGUUUUUUAAAGCUAGAUAUACCUUUGAAGAAGAAAUGAUGGCACAUUAAAGAGGUGAAGAUCAAGAAGAGAAGAGUUAUAGAAAUUCAUUUGCUACUGGUAGAAUGAAUUUUCAUAAUAAGAUUCAAAAAUUCUAUAAAGAUUUGUAUGAAGGCAGAUUGAAGGAUAUUGAAAUUUAUUUAAGCACAGUGAGGAAACAAGAAGGAUGGAUGGAUAAAACCUUCAAAGAUAUUAGACAUCAAUCCUAUGAUUAUUUGCUUAGAGAUAGAUUCCUAUGGAAGAGGCCAAAAAGAAGUGAUAAAAUCCUAUUGAGGAUAGGAAGAGAUCUUAAAACUAAGUUUAAGUUUUUAAGAGAAUAUCAUGAUACUUUUUGGACAAGGCACAGAGGAAUUUGGACCACAUAUACUAAGAUUAAGGAAAGGUAUUGGUGGAAGGAUUUAUACAAGGAUAUAGAAGACUUUGUAAGCUCAUAUACAAAGUAUCAACUAUAAUCUAAAGUUAGAUAUAGAGAUGGAUUACAUCCUACUUAUCCACCUUCAAUAUAUUUUCAAUGGAUAAUUGAUUUGGUAGCUAUGCCAUCAAAACUUUGGGAUAUAAAAUAUUUAGUUUUGACAAGAGAAGAGCUAUCAAAUUGUGUUGAAGGGAGGGCUUUGAAAACCAAGACCACAGAAGUAGUAUGCAGAUUUAUAUUGGAAGACAUCUUCAGCAGAUAUGGUAGCAUUAGAAGGAUGAGAGCUGAUAGAAGAGAAUUAGAUACCGUUGAAGCAAAUUUUUUUUUGAACAAGUAUAGAAUUCAAUUGAAGUUAACUAUUUCUUAUAAUCGUGAAGCCAAUAGAAAGAGUGAGAGGGAUCAUCCUCCUAUUAUUUAUACAUUGGUUAAAACAUGUAAGGAUAGAUCAAUUCAAUGGCCUAAACUGCUUCCAUUUGCUUUUAUGGGCUGAUAGAACUACUGAAAGUAUUGUCACUAGUUAUAUACAUAUGGAGUUAAUAUUAAGACAAAAAUCUAUGAAGCCAAGUGAUGAAACCUAUCUUACAUCUACGUUGGAAAGAUAACAUUGAUAGAGAAAGAUUAUUGGAACUUUGAAUCCAAUAGUUGGAUAGGUUACCUACAAAUUGCAACUAAGAGGUUAUAGAGAGCAAGAUUAAAAAGUAAAGAAAGGUUUGAUAAGAUUCAUAAAUUGAGGCCUAAGCCUAUAGAGAUUAGGGAUUGAGUUUUAGUUUAUAAUAGCAGCCUUUAACAUCAGCAUAGUAUUGUAAAGAAAUUUACAAAAAAAUGAUUUAGAGUAUAUGUGGUAGUUAUAGUUCUUGAUAAUGCCACAUAUACUUUAUAUGAAUUAGAUGGAACUAACAUUAGAAUUCCGAUAGCUGGAAAGAUGAUAAAGGCUUUUAAGAGAAGAAAUGGGUAGUUCAAAAUGGAAGACAUUGAAGAAUUCUUACCACAAAAUUUGAAUCAAGAACAUCAAGAAGGAGAAACUAUGAAUGAUUUAGAGCACUUUUAAGAUGAUGAAGAGGAUUAAGACAUGGCACAUAUCGAAGGAUGUGCAGGUUUGGACAAGGUGGAUGUUGUAUUGUAAAUACUUACAUUAUGUAAAAAUUAGUUUAAAUAUAAUACAUGUUGAUAAAUCUAAAUAUGUUAGAGUGGUUAGUAGAUUAAAUUAAAAAGAGUUGAUAUAAGAAACCUUACAUUUUUUUUUAUUUAUUUUUAUUUUGAUAUAUAUAUAUAUAUAUAUAUAUAUAUAUAUAUAAGACCUAAAUAUUUAGUAUGAAGCCUUGGAAGAAAGAGGAAGCCUAAAAAAGAAAAUCUAUGGAAGGAAUAAAAGUAAGGCAUGGUCAUAUGAAGGCAAGGAAUGAAAAACUUCUUUCCUAUUGGUCGAAUACCAUACCCAAUGGACUUUGAAGAGGCUAUCAACAACCUUAACAAGGGUUCCAAAAACUAUAAUGUAGGCGUUUGGAAAUUAGAAGCCAGAGUUGUAAGGUUUAGGAUUUGAAUUACAAUUUGUAUACAAAAAUUAGACGAAUUGGAAUUAGGAUGAAGAAGUUAUAGUCAUUUGAAGUUAAGGUGUUAAUUUAAGAUAUACUAUUACUCUUUUGUAAAUACAAAGAGUUGUACAAAAGUUUUGAAGAUCAAGAGGUGCGGUUGGAAUGGCGAUUUCAAAGCCUACAUCUUUUAUGAAAGAAUUUUUGUUUUUGAAGUUUAUAUAAAGAAAAUAUAAGGAGUUGAAGGCAACGCUUCUAAAUCAAAGGCAGUAAGUAAAUGGUUUUGUAUAUAGUAAUGGUUGGAGCCAUAACUUAAAUUUUUGGACGAAAUUUUGGCUCAAAAUUUUUGAAUAAUGAAAAAUUUUGUGUUAUAAAACUAUACAUAUAAAUUUUGUGGCAUUUGAGCUUUUAUUUUGUGAGAUAUAAAGAAAAUUGCAUGAGGGAAUAUAAAGACAAGAACUUGAAGUGAUUGUUAGGAUUUUCAAGAUAUCUCAAGAUUUGCAACAAAUUUGUAGUUGAAAUUUUUUGUAAGAGUUAAUAAGAAUACAUCAGUACUUCAUGUAAAAUUUGAUUAAGUUUGGACGGUCGGAUCAAGAGAUAUGAGGUAUUGAAGUUUAGAAAAAAAUUUAUAUAAGGGUAUACAAGGUUUUAGAGGAUUUUAUCAUAUUUUGGAUGUUAUUGGUUACUUGAGGCUUAUAUAUUUGGUGUAAUUGCUCCAAAAGAGAAAUUUUAUAUAUAAACUUAGGGCUUCUUUGAUUUUGAAGCUUAAUUGAGUAAUUAGUAACAGCUAAGAGUCUAGUGCUUUCUUGAGGAAAACUCUUUCUAUCUUGACAACGGGAUGAGAGAUUUCCAAAUAAAAUUUAAAAAACUUAAAGAGAAGGGCCAAUCAUCAAGAAUAUCAAGAAGAGAAAGAUUAGGGCUAAUGGAAGGUGUAGUAUAUAGGUACAUGUGGUAUAAUAGUACAAAUCAUUCAAGAAGAGAAUAUGAAGAUUUUACAAAAGUGUUCCAUAAGAUUUGUUUUUUUUAAAGAUAGUAUGAUAUACUUAAAAUAAAGUAAAAAAAUUAGAGAUAAAUUUUGAUAAAUAAAGAAUGAGGGUAUUUGUGGAAGAUGCUUUUAAAAUAUUAGGGACCAUAUAUAAGACAAGGAUUCAAGAUCAAAGAAUAAAAUUAACUCGACAUCAAAACAACUAUUAGAUAGAAGGUAAGAAGGUCCUAGCUAGACCACAAGAAAUGAGUUGUCGAGACCGAGGAUCCCCUCAGCCUUCAUUCUUAUAUAUAUUAGAUUCUAAGAAGCUUCUUGAGAAGUUUUUAUGAGGCUUGACAAUAUAGCAAGCCUAAGAUUCUCGUUUGGUAAUUUAUUAAAUCAUCUAAAGCCUUUUAGAACCUUCUAGGACCUCCCAUGAUCUUUUAGAACUUUCUUAAAAUCUACCAAAAUCUUUUAGAAGCUUCUAGAACCUCCUAGAAUCUUCAAGAGCCUUCUUAGAAUCUAUUGGUAUCUUUUAGAAUCUUCUAAAAUCUUUUAGAAAUUUUUGGAAUCUUCUUCAGUUGUAUGUCGAUGACAUCACUUCUUCUUCUAACUUUGAGGUCUUCGAUAAGCAAUGUUACAGCAAGCUAAUAUAUGCGCAAAAAGUUGAAGAUCUAUCACAUGGUAUCCGCUAUAUAUUCCAGUUGUUUUUUGUGAGGUAAAUGGUUCAUAGGUCCUGAUGGCCAUUGAUAGUGCUCCUAGCCUUUUACUUGUGAUCAAGCAUAAAUUUUGAUAUCUUUAUUAUAGAAUUAUCUUGCAAACAUUUUUUUUGGAUAUCUUGCAUAAGUAGAUUCUACCUCAAACACAAUUAUCAGUGACUUAUUAGUAGGUAUCUUUUGAUAUCUUUGUGGUUCAAGCAGUUCUUUAACUCAAGGUCAUCUCUGCAAGAUACUUAGUUGAGAUGGUAUGAUAGAUAAGGCAUCUUUUUCUUGACUAUCCAUAUCAUAUAAAGUAGACAAGACCAAAAGAAUAUAAACAAGCUAUAGUCAUGAAUUCAAACUACUGACUUAUACCAUUCUAAAUAUUUGACAAUAAAUGCCUCUUCAGAGGUUGCCUCCCUUUUUUUUUUAUGAGGCAAAGAACUAAGAAUCUUCAUGGUGAAGCCAUCUUACCAAACUAUUAUUCUUCAUUUUGCUACUUUUAGUCUAGAUAGAUGUCAUUGAUGGAACCUUUGAACCUUUGUAUAUUUAUAAGGUUACUAAUUGGUUUUCAUGUCCAAUUGAUGAUAUCAUAUCUGUGCCAAUAGACCACAUAUUCAAGCCUUCUAUGUCUGAUCCUUGAAUCUAAUACCUCUUCUACUUCAAAUUUAACAUGAUCAUUGAUUUCAACCAUAGGAGGUAGUGGUUGUCUUUCACCUAGUAUGUUUGAUUCUUUAUACCUUUCCAAAAGUGAAACAUGAAAGACUGGAUGAAUUUUCAUGAAUGAAGGUAACUCCAAGUAAUAAAUUAUGUAAUUAAUUUAUUUUUGAAUCACAAAUGGUCCUAGCCUCUAAUAGUCCAACUUAUCACAUGGCUUGUUGAUUUUCAUAUUACACCAAAGAAGCCAUACUUUGUUACUAACUUGAAAGAAGGAUGUUUCUUCUCAAUUCAUCUGCUAAUAGCUUAUAAUGUUGUUGAGCCCUUUCUAGAUGAUACUUCAUGGCUGCUUGAAGUUUGGCCAUCUUCAUAGCAAACUCCUUUGCUACUGGAUUUAUCGACUUUGAAGGCUCUAUCAUAUCUAACUUUUGAUGAUGACCAUUAUUUAAAUAGAAUGGUGUUUGCUGUGUAGAUACAUGGAUUGUGUUAUUAUAUAUAAACUCUGAUAACAAUAAGUAGGAAGUUCAAUCGUCUUAUUGAUAGUUGAUGUUAUACCUCAAAUAUUACUCAAGAAUUUGGUUGACCUACUUCGUUUGGCCAUUAAUUUGAGGAUAGAAGGCAAAAAAAAAGUUGAUGUUAAUCUUAAGAAUCUUAAAAAGUACCUUCCAAAACCUUGAUACAAAUUAUGGCCCAAGAUCUGAUACAAUGUCGUCUAGUAAUUUGUGGUAAUAAUAGACAUUGUCAAUAAAGAGUCUAGUCAUCUCUUCAUUAGUAAUUAAUUUCUUGUAAGGUAUAAAAUGUGCCAUCUUGGUCAAUCGAUCAACAACUAUGAAGAUAGUAUCAAAUGAAUUUGAUAGUGGAAGAUCUAUAAUAAAAUCCAUAGAAAUAGAUGAGCAUGGUUGUCUUAGAAUAGGAAGGGGUUGAAGAAGUCCAUAUGGCGAAUGUCGAGGAUUCUUUGUCCUUGAACAAGUAUCAUAUGAUAGUACAAAUUCUUUAAUGUCUUUGCACAUUUUAGACCAUCAAAAGUCUCUAGAUAAAAAUUCCAAGGUCUUAUUGAAUCCAAAAUGUUUAACUGCUGGCAAGUCAUGGCAUGUUUAAAGAAUGCAUAGAUAAGUUGGUCCUUCAAAAAUGAACAAACAUUCUUCAAAGAAUAAGAAGUUAUCUUCAUACUUGAAUUUAGAAGGUUUUUCAAGAAGGUUAUUGGCAAGACACUUGAUAUUAAGAACAAGAGGGUCUAUGUUUGAUCAAACCUCAUCAAAAAAUAAUAAAUCUACAGGCAUUGAUACAUUGGUUGAUCAAAGAUGAAAUUGCUCAAGUUUUAACAAAGUCACCUAUUGUCAUAUUAUGUGGCAUUUGCCUUGAGAAUACAUUGGGCAUCUAGUUGUAGAAGAUAAAAAGAAAAUUGCAACAACAAGUUUUAACAACUCUAAUAGAUUUUUUAAAAAAUUAUAAUUAAAGAUUAACAAGUAUAAUUCAAACAUCAAUCAAAUUAAAUCAAAAUUGCAAAGGAAUUAUGUAAGAAAUACAAAGUAUUCCUAAAAAUCCUUUAAAUAAAUCAUAAAGAAAUAAUAUAGGAAUUCAAAAAUAUACUAAAAUAAAAUUUUUAAUAAAAUAUAAAAAUAGAAAUCUUAAUUAAAUCCUAUUAAAAUCCUAACUAAAUUCUAAAUAAAUCUUAGUCAAACCUUAACCAAAUCCUAAUCAAAUUUUAGUCAAAUCUUAACAAAAUCCUAACCAAAUCCUAACCAAAUUCUAACCAAAUCCUAGUCAAAUCCUUAUAAAUCUUAAUCAAAUCCUAAUAAAUCAUAAUGAAAUCCUAAUGAAAUCUUAAACAAACCUUAAUCAAAUCUUAGUCAAGCCCUAAAUAAUUCUUAAGCAAAUCUUAAUCAAAUCCUCAAUAAAACCUAAUCUAAGCUUAACUAAAUCCUAAUCAAAUCCUAGUCAAAUCUUAACUAAAUCUUAAUCAAAUACUAAUAAAAUCCUAAUCAAAUCCUAACCAAAUCCUAACCAAAUUCUAACCAAAUCCUAACCAAAUCCUAACCAAAUCCUAAUCAAAUUCUAAUCAAUUAUAAAUAAAUCCUAAAUAAAUCCUAAUCAAAUCUUAAUCAAAUCUUAGUCAAAUCCUAACCAAAUCCUAACCAAAUCCUAACUAAAUCCUAACCAAGCCCUAACCAAAUUCUAACUAAGUCUUAACCAAAUCCUAGUCAAAUCUUAACCAAAUCCUAAUCAGAUCUAAAUAAAUCUUAGACAAAUCCUAAACAAAUUCUAACCAAAUCCUAGUAAAAUUCUAAUAAAUCCUAAUCAAAUACUAAUCAAAUCUUAAAAAAAAAUUAAUCAAAUCCUAAUCAAAUCUUAAACAAAUCCUAAUCAAAUUCUAAUCAAAUCCUAAAUAAAUCCUAAUCAAAUCCUAACCAAAUUCUAAUCAAUCCAAAAUAAAUCUUAAUCAAACCUUAAACAAAUUCUAGCCAAAUCCUAAUCAGAUCCUAACAAAUCCUAACCAAAUCCUAAAAAAACCUAAAUAAAUCUUAACCAAAUCCUAAUCAAAUCCUAAACAUAUUCUAACAAAAUCCUAAAUAAUUCAAGUAAUUCCUACAGCAGAUUUAAACCUCAAUAACUAAUGAAUGAACUAUUGAUUUUAACUCAAAUUUUUCACACCUCUUCAAAAUCUUUGAUUGCAAUUUUAACUUGAUUAUAACUAGAAAAUCCAUCAAGAAAUGAAUAACAUUCAUGUCCAGCGACAACAUCCAAUAUACUAUCUAUGAAUGGUAAAGAAAAAUAAUCCUUCUUGAUAGCCGCAUUUAAUUUGUAAAAAUCUUGACAGAUGCAAACUUUUCCAUUCUUUUUUGAUACCAUAACAAUUAGUGAAAUCCAUUCACUAAAAAGAACUGGAUAGAUAAAUCCAACCUCCAAGAAUUUAUCCAGCUCUUCUUUUAUUAUAAGUAAGUAUUUUGGAUUAAAUCGAUGUUAUCUUUGGCAUACUGGUGUAGCAUUCUCCUCCAAUAUAAUUCGAUGCUUAUAAACUUCAUUUGGAAUUCCUUUCAAAUCCGCAUAAGACUAUAUAAAAGUAGUUUUAUGCAUUAAAAAGUAAUCCAUCUAAAUUUCUUUCUCCUUGCCUUUUAUACCAUCGUAAAUCUGAAUGAUUUGGAGAGCCUCCCCUAUACCUAAAUUAAUUGGUUGACAUCUUAGAAUUUCAGGAGUCUCUGCAAUAAUGUUCUGCUCUAUUUCAAAAUCUUUCAUAAAAUCCGACAAAUUAGAACUUUUCAACUCCAGUUCAAUAGUACUAACCUAAUUAACAUCUUGUCUAUUCAUCCAAUAUGCAAUCAUAUGAUCAGAAUCAUCAAUAACAUCUGGAGGAACUAAGUAUUUUCCCGAUCCCUUGUACUGAUAUUUCAUUCUAGUGUGCUCAACAAUUUACCUUGUAUCACCAUAAAUUGAGUCAAGUGUACCAAUUUCUUCUUUGGUAGACUUAUUUUCACAAUUUGAUGUGAAUUUUGAAUUGGCCAAUUGAAUUUCUCCAUGAUAUUGGAUAGGGUAUAUUUGAAGCUUAAUUUUAUCAUUAUCUUUUCUAAUUGUCAAUGUACUAUAGCCCCAGUCAUUUCGAGCUUUAGCUUGAUACAACCACGGUCGCCCCAAUAAAAUUGGAUAUGACAAUAUAGAGCUUCACAAUCAAAAAAUAAUAUAAUCAAUUUUGUAGAUAAUCCCCGCAAUUAUAGUAUCAAUACUUCGUAAAAUAUCCAUAGGUUUAACUCGAUUAGAAUCAACCAUUCUCAAAACCACUGUAGUAUACAAUAAGUGAUCCAAACCCAACUCCUCUAUUGUAGUGGCAUUCAUAAGAUUUAAACUAGAUCUUCCAUCUACUUGCACUCUCAAUACUAAUACUCCAUCAAUUGAGAUAUCAAUCGUUGGUGCACCCGGAUCAGGAUUCAAACUUACUUCUCAGAUUUCUUUAUUUUGAGAUCUGGACGAAUUAAUGAGGAAUUUAAGAUAGUUUGGCACUAAGAUGCUACUACCAAUAGUUGCUUCAUAGAGAUCAUGGGCUAUAUGGUACCCAAGUCUUUUAAAAUAUCAUAUGAUUUUGUAUUAGUGAUAGUUUCCAAUGUCCAUUUCUUCUUCCCAGUCCUACACACCAACGUAGGUAAAUUAGUUUUCUCUAUAUUCGAAAUUAGUAAAGCUACUAGAAUUAAAUUUGACAGAGCUUGUAAAAUUGGUUCUUUCAAUGAUUAAGAUUGUUCUCCUAAUUGGACUAAUAUUGGUUCCUUGGAAUUCAUGCCUCUUAAAGGAUCUUUCAAUGAAAAGGACGUUUUCUGAAACUGUGUAGAGAACAGAACAGCUUGAAACGGAAUCGAAGCCUCUAUAAUUGAUACAUCAUUGGAAUGCACAAUUGAUUCAUGUCUUAUAUUGAGUAAAGAGCCCAUGUCAAGACCUGGAUUGGAUAGCCCUAUUAUUUGGUCCAAUUGGCCCUUUGCUUAAGAAUCACCCAAAUGUUGAAUUGGUCCUUUCCCCUUUUGCUGACUUCUUGUAAGGAUAGCUUGAACUACUUCUACCUGAUGAACUGAUGAUUCCUGUGUCUUGUUAUUUUUUUCUUCUAUAAUUUGCUCAAUCGAUUGUAUCUUCUGAUCAUGGUUAUUAGAAAAAAAUGGAAAAGUGCAUUGAUAAUGAAAAUGACUCGAUUGCUUAUAAUUUCCACAUAUUGGAGCAUAUUCGUCUAUAAACCUUGGACUAGGGCAUUCACUGGCAUAAUGACCAAUUUGUUGGCACUGAUAGCAAUGUAGUGGUUUUUGGUCCAUACCAUCAGGUACACUUGGAGUCUCCACUGGAAUAUAUCUACUAGGCCGAUUCUAGGUAGCCAUAGUAAAUGAUCUUAGCUAACCAGUUACUAAUGGUCGAGAAUUAGACUACUGAGUUGGUAUAGUUUGAGGACUACUUCCUUGAUUAUUUCUACCAUUCUACAUAUUUGUUCCAUAAACCAGAUUAUAAUUAGUAUUUUGAAAAUUUCCAAAGCCAUAAUUAGCUCAAUUUGGAUGAUUACUAUUCCAACCACUCAUAUUUCUAAUUUAUACUUGAUUAACAUCCCAUUGAAUUGGUUAUAUUAAUGUUUGAUUAUUGAACUGUUGUUACCUUUCUAAAUGCCAGUAGUUUUAGGUAGGGUACUUUUCUCUGUAAAAUAUAUAUUGAAUACCCAUUUGUUUGGGUGGUGGACAUUCCAUAUCAAAAUGACCUUAUCCCUUACAAUUAUUACACCAUACAUUAGGUCUCAUAAUAGAAGGCUUAUGUCGCUUCUCUUUAUUUUUAGCCAAAUUCACAGCCAAUAUUUCCAUCUACUUUAUUAGAUUUAAUAACAAGGCUUCAUUUGGAUCUUUAACGGUCACAUUUCUGAACAACUCCGAUUGUUGAUAGGUUGAGGAUGUAAAAUAAGAUGUCAUUGUUAUUGGCGCUAUUGCUUGGAGUAGUGUAGUAUUAAUUGAUUUUUGCAACAUAACAUUCUUCAUGUUGGAGUCAGCCAUUAGUGGAUAAUUAUCUAUCAACUUAUUUUUCGGUUGUAUUUGUUGGCUUCCUAAUCUUUGAAUCAUCGUGGCCCUCAUUGUUAACAAUUGGUCAUAAUGACAUUCUUGCCACACCUUUGCUUGUAUCAACGAUGCCUCUACUGUAGUUGGUCAAGCCUCUUUUAUAAAUAUUUUCAAUUUUGGUGGAUGUAAAUCAUUGAUUAAUAUCAACAAUAUAAACACAUCUGGCAUUUGAUUAUUUGUCCAUUUAUAAAGUAUAUCCACGACCUGGCCAUAAUAGGACUCUACUGAUUCUCCCGCAAACAUUCUGCUAUUCAUAAAACUUUCUCUAAACCGAUCUUCAAAUCCAAUUGGUCUAAAAUGGAUUAGGAAGGCAUUCCUCAAGGCCUCCCAAUUGGAAAAUCUAUCCACUGGUUGCUGAUUAUAUCAUUCAAAAGCUAUAUCUUUUAAAAUUACUGGCAACCAUCUCAACCAAAUGUCUUUCGUUCUAUCAUUAUUAGUGACGUAAGGUGUCAAGAAUUGAGAUAUAUGGUGAUCGGGAUCAAAGCUCGACCAACCACUAAAAGUAUGUAAUGUUGCCUGACUUGUAGUGCGAUCUCCUACUACUCCCAUUUAUACUACAAUUGGUACUUCUGGCACUCCCGUGGCCAUCAAUGUUAUCACUGGUCUCUUUACUAUUUAAAUUUGAAUUUUUCUUCUUUUGGUUUUACUUGGACCUACAAUUCCUUUUUGUGGUUCUCGUAGGAGAUUUCUUAUACAUAAUCGCUUUUGUCUUUCUUUCACUUGUCGAUUAAUUUUUUGAUAAUCCUCUCUUUCAUGAUUAUCAUUCAUAAUCUUUCAUUCUUCCCAGCAAAAUCAAUACUGCUUUGAAUUAUAACUCACAUAUUUGUAACCCUAAAACUGGUUCUUCUCACGUUCUCAUUCAACAUAUAAUUCCAUCUCCCAUACCAUCAAUUUCUAACAUUUUAUAUUGUUAUCUUUUCCUCGGCAAAAGUGCCAAAAUAUUGUUCUCGUUGUGCUCAAGCUUCAAUAUACCAAAGCAAUUGAACUAAUAGAGGUGGGUUCGAAUAUAGGGAAACACUGGUUAUAUGAAUUUGGUCUGUUAGUAUCACAAUUGAUUAUACUCUAGCUAUCUAAAAUCAAUUAUCAAACUAUAAAAUACCAAGGCUUACUAUUUCCAUCUUAAUUCAAUACAUAAUCCAUUCUACGAUUAUCAAUUCAAUAAUACUUCCAUAUUCUUAUCAGUUCAUCUUCCACUUACUUUCUUUGUAAUUUAUAUAUAUUCAAUUAUUGAUCUCCAGCUUAUUUAAUAUAUUCAGUUUCUCAAUUCAUCACACAAAAUUCAAUAUCUUUACUUAAUACAAUACAAUUCGAUAAUCUAAAUUCUCAAGGUCACAAAUUUUCUCCAAAUCAGUCAGUCCAAAGUCAUAUUCCAUAAUAUUCUAAUCACAAUUUCAACAAUACUUCUCUCAAUCACAAUUCUUCAUAAAAAAAUAAUAAAAGCAAAGAAAACAAAGAGGUAGCACCAAGCUUACCCAAGGUUACGACUCUCACAGUCUAGCCCCAAUCUCUCUUUUCUCAACCACUUUAUCCUACCAAAAGAUGGACCAUUGGCCAAUAGAUUCCAAAAGUUAUGACCCUUUGAAUUCUUAACCAUUUGUUCCAGAAACAACCUACUGUUAUCAACUAAACUAUCUAAGCAUCAGUCUAAUUCUCAAGGUUAUCAAUAACCAACUAGUAACUUACUACAAAAUUUAUUUACAUAUUUUACAGUUAUCAAUAACCAACUAGUAACUUACCACAAAAUUUAUUUAUCUAUUCUACAAGGAUCUUUCCACAGAAAGGACGUUUCUCUAAAAUGGCAUAGAGAAUAGAACAGCUUGAAAUAGAACCAAAACCUCCGUAAUCGGGACCUCAUUGGGUUGCCCAACCGAGUCAGGUCUCAUACUGGGUAAGAGGCCUGUAAGAGGACUUGGAUUGGAUGUCCCCGUAAUUGGGUCAAAUUGGCCUUCGUAUCAGGCUCAUCCAAAUAUUGAAUUGGUCCUUUCUCCUUUUGCCAACUUUUGGUAAGAACAGCUUGGAUACAUUCCACCCGAUUUACCAAAAAAUCUUGAGGACCUCCAUUUAUCUCCUCAAUUUUUUUCUUGGCUUUGGAUCUGCUGAUCCCGAUUAUUGAAAUUGAACGGAGCAUUACAUUGUUGAUAAGUAUAUUCCAAUUGCUUGCAAUUCCCACACAUUUGCACGUAAUUGUCAUUGACUCUGGGAUUGGGACAUUCAUUAGCAUAAUGAUCAAUCUGUCUACAACGGAAACAACAAAGUGGUCUUCUUGUACCCCCGUCAGGCAUAUUGGGUGUCUCCACCAGUAUAUACCUAUUAAGCUUAUUCCAUGUAGGGUUAGAAAAUGAUCCUGGUUGUCCCAUUAGUACAAAGGGUACUUGAUUCCAUGAUGCUGGUGGAGCAUAUUGUUGAUGUCACGUACGGUGGUAUAGCUUGCAAUGGAGUAACAUUAACUGACCCUCAAAUAUUGGCACUGGAAUUGGCUACUAUUUCCAACAUCCAAUAUGACUAAAUAUUAAUAAAAUCUUUUUCAUUUAUACUUUCACCAUAUAGUCAUGUUACAACAUGACAAUGCCAUUAAAUUUCUUGGACAAGGCAAUUCUUAUUUUUUUAAUUCUUGAACAAUGUUCUAUCAUGAAAAAAAUAUUAUGAUUUGAUAUAGAUUUUGAAGCAAUUUCAACUAACUUUAUGUCUUUAUUUUAUGUCAAUUUUAUUACUUCUUCUAGUAAUAAAUUGAGCUGAUGCAUUAUAAGCAUUAAUUUCUUUAAUUACUCUUCCAUUUAUGCUAUUGCAUUCUUUAUUUUAAAAAGCUUUGCUAUAAUAAUACAAUAGAUAAUAGUUCUAAGUUAGAUAGUAUAUAUAAAAGCAUGAGUAAGACCUUCUUUAUUCUUAUCGUUUUUUUUUUUUUUCUUUUAGUCUAGUUUUAAAGGUCACUAUUUUUUAUUUUUUUUUGUUUUUUAUCUUUUACCAAUAGUCAUUCUAUUUUUUUUUUUAUAUAUAUAUAUAUAUAAUAUGUAUCAUAUAAGUUGAAUAUCUAUUGGAGGUUCUAUAUAGGUAAUUAUUAGAAUAAAUAUGUAUAUUUUUAAUAUUUUAAUAUGGAUGAAAUGAAUUUUAAAUAAUAUUAUUUAUAUGCAAGAUUUAACAAUGUAUAAAUAUUUUAAUAAUAUAAUAUUUAUAUUAUUAAUUAAAAAUAUUUAUAUAUCAAAUAUAUUUAGAAAUUUUGAUAUAUCAAUUUAAAGAGCAUUUCUUUUUUCUAAGGAUCUACAUAUAUAAAUAAACAAAUAAAAAUUUGUAAUUCUUAUAUUUUUUAAAAUUUCAUGACAUAUGUGGCUUUUAAUUUUGUUAAUUGUAUUCUUACUUCAAUAGGUGUACUCUCUAAAACGUAAAUUCUAUAACACAAAAAUAAAUAUUGUGAUACAUUAAUGAUACAAAGUUAUAUUAUAUUAUUUUAUUUCAAUAUAAUAAAUACAUUUAUACAAAAUUAGAUGUGAAAUGUAUACAGAGAGCUUAAGCACAUGUCAAGGACAAGAACUUAAAGAAUGUAAAUAAAUAAAUAAGGUAUUUUAAAUAUAUAUAUAUAUAUAUAUAUAUAUAUAUAAAAGAAUUAAAAAAAUAAAUAUAUUUAAAAAAAAUCAAAUGGCUAUUGCCAAAAGGCAAAAAUACUAUAGACUUUUGAAACUAGAUUAAAAAUAAAAUAAAAAAUUGGCAAGAAUAAGGCAUCACUUUAAAUAUAUAUAUAUAUAUAUAUAUAUAUAUAUAUAUAUACAUAAGAGUUAUAUAAUAAUGUAUCCAAGACUUCAAACACAUGUCUAACUUACAAAACAAGCUUUAUAUAUGUAUGUCACAUGUCCAACUUGUACUAUAAGUAGCCAAUAUGUACAACACAUGGCCAAUUUAUGGACAAGUUUUCAAUCUAUUAAUUAUAUAUAGACACGUAUAAAGGUAAAGUUGCAUCUAUGAAGCUUUUAAGAAGCUUUUCUAUAAGAUAUUAUUAAAUUUAUUUAUUUUUAUUUAUUCAUAUUAUAUAAAUAAUUAUUAGAGUAAAUAUGGAUGUUCGUGACAACACACAAUUCAACAUUGUCUAUAGAAGCAAUAUCACUAUAAAAUGAAGAGGAUGGCUGAUAAAAAAAAUAUAUGUCAAAAAAUAAAUUCAUAUAGCUGCAUUAAAGAUUGUGCAACUAAAAUCCUAUUCAACACCUAGUAAAGGUCUUAUUUUUUCUUUAUAAUUAUUACCUUGUUUUAUUAUAUGUUUUUUUUCAAGACCUAAAAAUUACAAAGCCUCUAAUUUUUUAGAUUUAUGAAUCUUUACUAGUAUUUUAGAUGAAGAAUUAAUUAAAAGACAUAAAAUACUCUUUAUAAAAAAAACUAAGUUAGUCCAUAUAGAAGUCAUAGAUGGUUUUUUUAUCUUUUAAAGAUGUUAAGUAUAAAAUUAUUCUUAUAGAUUGAAUAAUAAAUGAUUAUAAUAAUUUAAUAAUAAUUAAUAUCAUUAGAUUUCUUUUUAAUUUAAUUAUUUUAGGUUUAAUGUGGUAAAAAAAUUAUAAUUCUUAGAUAGAUAGGAUUUAUCAUAAUUUUAAUUUUUUUAUAGUAAAAUCAAGUCUUUUUUUUUACUAAAUAAAAAAUCAUAAAUCUAAUAAAAUCAAAUGCUUGUUUUUUUGUGCAAUAAUUUUUAUACAUGCUACAAAAGAAGGAUUUUUUUUUUUAUUUAUGCCACACUCAUUUUAAAUGUGAAAAAACUUCAAAAGAAAUUCUAAUUGAGUAUAAGAAUUAUUAAGAUGUCUUUCAAAAAAAUACAAAUAUUAUUUUAAAGCAUUUUUCUAAUGAUUACUCAAUUUAUCUUUAAGAAAAAAUUCAAUUGCUACAUAUAAUGUAUAAAAAAAUAAGUUAACUUUACUCAAAAAAUACAUUGAUGAGAGCUUAGUAAAAAACUUCAUAAGCUAUUUUAAAAUUUUAGGAAGAACUUCUACCUUAUUUAAGAAGAAAGAAGAUAAAUAGAUGAUUAUGUUUUGAAUUAGAUAAGGAUAUUUUGAAUAUAAUGUCAUGCCUUUAGGACUCAUAAAUUUUCUAAUUUUUUUAAUAUCUAAUAAAUAAUUUUUUUUAUAAAAAUUUUAGAUAAUUUUAUUGUUUAUUAUUUAGAUUAUUUUUAAAAUAUAAUCUAAGAACAUAAAAGAGUAUAAAAUAUAUUUUUGUUGUAUGUUGCAAAAACUUAGAAAUAUAAGACUAUAGGCAAAGAUAGAGAAGUAUAUAUUUUAUACAAAUUAAGUUGAUUUUUUAAGAUAUGUAAUCUAAAUUUUUUUUUUAUAAUAGAUUUUAAGAAAGUUCAAACUAUCAUGGAUUAUAAGCUUUUAAGAAUAACAAAAAAUUCUAAUAUUUUUUGAAAUUUUCUAAUUAUCAUCAAAUCUUUAUAAAAAACUCUUUCCAAAUUACAAUUCCAUUUACAUAUUUGACUUGUAAAGAAAAACUUGAAUAAAACAAAGAAGCUAAAACAAUAUUUGAAGAUUUAAAGAGAAUUUUUAUAUUUGUACCAAUCUUGUAUUAAGUUGACUUUUUUAACAUAUUUUUUUAUGAAUAUAGAUACAUCAAAUUUUAUCUUUAAUAUGACAUUGCUACAAAUAGGAGCAAAUGAUAAACUUUACUUUAUAGUUUUUCAUUCAAAAAACUUUUCAAUAACUAAGAUGAAUUAUAAGAUUUGCAACAAAGAACUUCUUGUAACUCUAGAUGUAUUUUAAGAAUUUUUUCAUUAUUUAGAAGAUACUUCUAAUCUAAUGACUACUUAUAGAAAUCAUAAGAAUCUUAAGUAUUUUAUAUUAAGACAUAUUUUGAAUUAUUUUCAAAUUUCUUACACCAUGUUUUUAUUAAGAUUUGUAUUUAAUAUCACUUAUUAGCCAAGAAAAUAAAAUUUUUUUAGAUACCCUUUUUGGCCUUUUCAUCUUUUGCAAAAAAAUAAAAUAAAAUAAAAUAAGUUCAACUUUUGAUUUACAACAAACUAUUCUUUUGAAGCCAAAAUAAUUUCAUUUUUAAGCAAUCAAAUUAAUGUUAAUUAUUGAUUUAAUCUUUUUUAAUUAAGUCUAAUCAAAUAUUUUAUUAAUUCUUCUUAUUCAUGAAAAAAUAUUUUUAUUACUAUUAUCAAUUAGCAAAUAAUAUUAUAUAAGAUAAAAAGUUUCAAUUUUUAUCUAGAUUUUUGAUAAUUCUUUUCAAGAUAUUGAAAAUAGAGAUAAAAUUAUCUUUGACUUUCUAUCCUUAAAUUGAUGGAGAAAAUGCAUGAAUCAAGUUUUGAAAUAAUAUUUAAAAUAUACCAUUAAUUACCAUCAAGAUAAUUGAAAAAUUCUUUCACCAUUGGCAAAUUUUGUUUAUAAUAACAUAAUAUAUUUUUUAACUCAAAAAAUAUCUUUAUAUAUUGAUUAUAAUUAUUAUUUUUAAUUUUAUAUUUUUGGCUUUUUAAAAUCUAAUAAUCCUACAACAAAAUAUUUAAAAAAUUAUUUCUUGGAACUAAAUGCAAUAAUAAAAGCAUAAUUGAAAAAAAUUCAAGAAUAAUAAUACAUUAAUUUUUAUUUCUAUCAUAAGUAAUAACUUCAAUUCAACAUUGGAAAUAAGAUAUGAUUAUUUUAUUAUAAUAUUAAGACUAUUUACUUUUGUAAUAAGUUGGAUUAUUGUAGGCUUUGACCAUUUCUUAUUUAUCAACAAAUCAAUCUAACUCUAUAUUGGUUAUAUCUAUUAAAGUCUAUGAAGAUCCAUCUUUUGUUCUAUAUAAUUAUUUUUUAGCAAUACAAGAUAGUGGAUAUACCAAAAAUUAGACAAAUACCACUUUCUUUCAUAGAAGUGAAUAAUAAUCAAGAAUUUAUAAUAGAAUAGGUUUAAUAUUCAAGAUAGUACCAAAAUAGAUUAAAAUAUUUUAUAAAUUGGUGUAGAUAUGAUAUUAAUGAAUACAUAUGAAAGUCAUUUAAGAAUCUUGUAAAUACAAAAAAGAAGAUUGAUGCUUUUUAUUGAUGAUAUCUAUUAAAAUAAAAAUAAAGAGUCAAAUCUUUUUUUGUUAUAAAGCAAAGAAGGUUCAAAAAAGAUUGUAUUUUAUCUUUUAUUUUUAUUUGUGUUUUCUUUAUAUUUAUGAUAUUAAUAAAUAAGAUGAUAAAAAAACAAAAAAAUUCAACUCAAGAGCUAUCUUUUGAUGAGUUAUAAGAUGAGCUAUUGAAAUUUUCAUAGCCUUUAAGAUGAUAUAAUAGAAAUCAAGACCUUUACAAAUAACAUUCUUUUUUAAAUAGAUGGUAAAAUACAACGCAUUUGGUAUCAUGACUUUAAAAGAGACUUUUAAUGUUUGAUGAUACUUUAGAGAUAGGAACCACUUUUGAUAGUAUUUUAAUUUUUUAAAAUUUUAACUAAGUUAUAAAAGUUUCAACCAUGAUCAAAUAAUAGGGUGAUUUUUUUGUCUUCGUAUUUUAUACUAUUGAUGGCUGAAAAGAUCCAUUAACUAUCUUUAAAUAAAAAAAAUUAAAGUAUGUGACAAAUAUAAUUUGCAACAUCUUAGACUUCUUCAAUAUGUGAUCACUACUGCUUAUAGAACUUGUUCUUAGAAAGGAGAGGGAGGGAGGAAAGUAGAAAGAAAAGAUAUAUUAUGAUAGAUAUAGUAAUUAUUAAAAUAAAAAGAAUUAUAUAGAAGUUAAUUGAAUUAGAUUAAUUUGAUAAUAUCUUAUAGACAAGUUUCUUAAAAGCUUCAUAGAUGUAGAUUUCACUUUUCAAGUUUUUAUAAAUGAUUAGAACGUUAAAAACUUAGCUAACUAGUUGAUCAAGUGUGUCUAGUCUUCUUAUCUUUAGUAAUAGCUAUUCUUAUUUUUUCUUGAAUAUACAUAUUUUUUAUUUUAUUUUUUUCAUCUCUCUUUGAUCUAUAUCUCACUUAUUUAUUUAUAUUCUUUAAGUUCUUUUCUUUAAUAAUACAAUAUUAUAAAAAUAUAUUUUUUUAAUUAGAAUUUAUAUGAAAAUAAUUAUAAAAGAUAGAGAAACUUGAUAAACUACAUUUAUAUAAAGUAUAUAUAAUAUAAGAAAUAAAUAUAACAUCAAAAUUUGUGAUUGAUUUUUUAAAGUUUUAAAGGUCUCUAAGAUACUUUAUAUUAAUUAAUUUUCUAUUUUUUUUUUUUUGUAAUAAUGUAAAUCUUUAAUUUUUUUUUUAAAAUACCGAUUAUUAAGUAAGAUGUAUUUUUAAGUUAUGACAAUGAUAUAUACUACCUAAUUUGAUAUGAUGUUAAGUCAACCUUGCUUCUAUAAUUUACCAAUAAGUUCUUAUUUUUUUAAUAAUAUUUAUUUUUAUUAUUUUUAAAAAAAUUACUUUUUAAAUACUUUUAAUUUAUUUGAAUAGGUUUUUUAUUUAUUAUAAGAAAAUUUAAAUAAUAAGAGUUUCAUAGAAUUUUAUAAAUAUUUGAUUUUUAAGUUUUUUUUGCAGAAAAUUAAAUAAAUUAUAUAAAGAAUAAAAAAUGGCUGAUUUAUUUUAUAGAAAGUAUGAAAAAAAAUUUGAAAACUUUAGUGACUUUAUUCUUUAAUAGUUUAUUAUAUUUGAUCUCUUCUAUCAAAAACUUUGUAAUAAUGUGUAAUAAGAGAUACAAAAAUCAAAAUGUAAAAUGAGUGAUAAAUCAUUAUUUAAAUCACUAAAAAAAUCUAAAAACUAGCUUAUAUAAACCUAAAAUUAAAUUAUUAUUUGAAAUAUGCAAUUUAUUUAAGAUUUUUUUUAACUUAAUAUAGUUGCAUUGAUUAUAAUAUAUAUUAUUGAUUUUGCUUCUAAAAUUCUAUAUGAUUAUUUUUAAAAUAUAAAUAUUUAUGUAUUUACCUUAUGUAUUAAAAUUAUAAAAUAUAAAAUAUAUAAAUAUGAAAAAUUAAUCCUAAAAUAAAAUUAAAAUUUAUCAUAAAAGAAUUGAAUAAUAUUAUUAAUUUCUCUCUAGUUAUAAAUAUAGAAUUUUAAAUUUAUAUAUAUAUAUAAUAAAAUAAAAUAUUGAAUAAAAAAAGAAAAAAAAUCUAUAAUCUUAAGUAAAAAAAAUUUAAUUUAUUGGUUAAAUACUCAAAUAUUAUAUAUAUAUAUAUAUAUAUAGUUUGAUAAUAGUAUUUUUAAAAUAGAAGUUGAAAGGCAUUGAUCAUGCUUGAAGUAUAUAAAAUCAAAAAAUCAUUGCUACCAAUAUAGAAUCAAUUAUCUAAAGUACAUUAUAGAAAUAGAUAGAAUCAAGGAAAGAUUAAAAAUUAAUUCUAAUUAUGUUUAUAGAUUCAAAUAAAUAAGAUAAUUAUAAAAAAUUAGUAAUUAAUUUUUUUAAAAAAUAUUGAAUAGAUCAACUUGAGGUUGCAUUAUUGAAAGUUUAUAAUCUAUAUACUUAAAUUCAAAUUCAUUCAUAAUUAUUCUAGGAAAAAUAAUUUUUUUUUGAAUUAGAAGAAUAUUAAUAAUUUAAUAGAGAAAUUAAAAAAAGAAUUAUUUAAAAUAAAUUUAAAAAUAUUCUUAUUUAAAAGGUAAUUAAAAAGAUAUAACUUAAUUAAUAUUCUAAAUAGAAAAAAUUGAAGAAUAAAAAAUCUUAUAAUAAAAAUCUAAUAAAAUAGUUAAUACAUAGGUUCAAGUGAAUAAGAAUCCAAAAGAACAACAAAACUAAAGAAGAAUACUGAUUGCAUUAAUUUUUUAACAAUAAAAAAAUAAAAGAGAAAAAAAAGAUAUUAGAAGUCUUAAUUCUAAAAUUAAAAAUCCAAAUUGAAAUAAUAAAAUAAAUUAUUAAAAGUAAAUUAAUUUUUAUAAUUUUUUAGAUUUAAUUUUUAAAAUUAUAUAUAAUAUAUUUAAAAAAUAAAUUCAAACUAAAGAUUUUAGAUAGUAUUUGUAUAUUUUUUGUAUUAAUUGUGCUAUUUUUAUAUUUCAAGCAUUUAGAUGAGAAAUUGUAGAAUUAAACUAUCAAGAUAAAGAUACUUGAUUAAAAAAAAAUAUGUUUAAUUUUUUGGUUUUAUGCUUGAAAAAAACUUGAAAAUGUAUUAUUGAUGUUAAAAAUUCUAAACAAUUUAAUGCAAAUAUUAAUAUAAGAGAAGUUGAAGAAUGCUUGUGAAUUUAACCAUGUAAAGUAGAGCAUGUAAAUUAGAGCAUAUUUCAAGAUUAUAUUUAGUUAUUUUUCUAUAAAAAAAUGUUAUUAGUUGGAGUUAUUUAUUUUACUACAAAUCAACAGAAGAAAUGAAUAAUAUAUUGAUUGUGAUUAAGAAUCAAGAGUAGAUGAAAACAAUGGUAUUUAAUAUUAAAAAAUUGAUUAUUUAGAAUCAACAAUAGAAUAAAAUUGCAUUCUACUUCAUCUUUUCUUCUUGAAACUUACUAAACUGAGCCAACCAAAUAAGGCUUCUCAAUUUCAACUAUUGAAAUGAUUUAGAAAUUGUUCCUUAUCAACGACUUGUAGGGAACACUCGGUAUCAAUAUUAUAAGCAGCAAAGAAUUGAGGAUACGUUUGUCCAGACAGAACUGGCUGCCCACUAAAGCAAUGAGUUGAAAUGCUAAUUUCAGGAGUUUUCAUGAGAAGAAGGUCGAAGCUCUUGAAUUCUCAGUAUGUGUUAAUUACUUGAUGUUGUUCAGUAGUGUGCUUCACAACGUGCUCUGGAAAUGCAUCAGAUUCGAGUCAGGGUUUGUCUCAUCGUGGUCGAUGAUGUUGCAGCUGGGACUUGAGUAGGGGUGUAAGCGUCAACGAUUUAUGAAGGAAGUCAUUUAAAUGGGGUAUCUGAGAGUGGAUUUUGUUUUUUGCCAUCUGCAUCAUUGAAAUUCAUGUAACACUAAUCAUCCUUUGUAUUUUCAAGGUUGCAAACCUUUGCUAUUUCUGAUUCUGGUCUUUAGACUGGACCUUACUAAUCAAUUCUGACUCAGUCAAAUGUACGUCUCAUUUCUCGAGAUGAAAUAAAGCUUCUUUCUUCAGCAAUUUGGUGCUGUAUAGGAGAGCGGGGAAGGUUUUUAUCAUCUCAUUUUCCUAACACCUCUUUACUGUUACCCUAGUUAUACUAUUUGUUUUCAUCUAGAACCUAAUGUGGACUCACAGUUGGGUCGUGUGUAUAUCCCAGCUGGUUAGAGUAAAUCAGCUGGAUGCAGUCUGAUCUGCGGACUAGCCAAGGUGCUACAGAACAACUGCACGAACGUGAAGACGUGCUCAGGACAGAAACGAGAUCAUAAAGGUGUAAAAACUUGUGUUUAUUUACGCCUGUUUGAAAUGACUUGUACAAAAUUGUGAUGAGCAAACAUUGGACUCGCGUCCAAAGAAGCACUAAAUGAGAUAGCGCACAAGCAGCUUACCUCUUCUUUCUGUGUGCAGGGUGAGAGGAGAGCGCAGCAGAGUAGAAGAACUAAUUUGAAGAAAAUCAAAAAAACUCUAGGGGGAACAGAAUCCUCAGCAACGAAUUAAGAAUCACUCUAAAAUCCACGUUUCGAAUCACUCAAAGCCUACCUCAUACCUUGGGAUAUUAUCUUGAUGGUGCUCAUUUCUCUCAAAGGGAUAUCCAGUAUGCAACUUAACGUUAUCCUUUGUUUUGUAGGAUGAGAACAACUUGAUGAGAACUCGAAAUGAUGAAGAAGAUUGACAAGUUUAGAAGGGCUAAACUCCUUCAUGCAAAUGAUGAACGAACAAAGUGUGGCAUUGCAGAAGGCCAGAUACCUCCACCAAACUUUGAAGGGCAGCGACUCUGUACCAAAGUUCAGGUGUAUUCAAGCUUCUAAACAAUGCUGAUUGUGAAAUAUCAAACAUAAUUCGACUAAUUCAUCGACAACAAAUCGUCGCUUGUAAUAGUUUUGUGUCGGUAGAUUGAUUCUGCAUGUAUCAGAUGGACAUAAGCUAGAAGAUCAUGCUUCUGAGUUCACAACCAUUGUAGAGCACACUCAGGAACUUGAGAAGCAGAAGAUUGAAUUGUCUCAGAAGCUGACGAACAUCUGUGCUCAUAUCAUUUGAUUGAAAAAUAAAAAAUAAAAAUAAAAAUCUCUAAAAAGGAACAUUCUUUGCUGUUUUUUUUCAAAACAUUACAUAUCCAAGUAUCAUUGUUCAUGCCUUAAGGACGAACAUUGGAACCAAAAACUAAAUUUUUUUUUUACUAGUGUUUUUUUGUAGGUAAUCUUGCACCUUCUUAGUAUCUAGUGAUGUGGUUGAUCCAUGCAUGAGUUAUUAAAAUAUUUACUAUUUCUUUUUGUUGAAAAUGAAAAAAUUCUUGUUUAGUUAUUGCAACUUUAGAGUUAAACCUUCGUAAAUAUUAAUGAACAAAAGGCAACAAAAAUUUAAAGAAGUUAUUAUAAUUGCAAUCAAGAUUUUGGAUUUGGUUAGAUGAAACAAAGUAGGAUGAAGAUGAUUGUAUAUGAUGUUUAUGUAUAUCAUAUGUAAAUUUAUUAUUUAUAAGUAAAGAGUGUUGGAAGUAAUAAUCAUUUUAUUCCACACCCUUGUUUGUGUGCAACCUUAGUGAUGCUAAAUGUUGAGACUUUAUUUCUUCAAUAGGUUAUAGGCUUAUACAUAUUUGCUUGUGAUUUUGGAGUUAUUUGAAGUUUUUAUUGUUGUAAAGAAUAGAUCAUUUUAUUAUUAUUAAUGUUAGAAUUUUAAUAAGGUGAAGAUACUUACAAAUUAACUUCUAAUUGCAAAUCAAUCUUUAGAAGAUGUGGAUAUUGAUAUGAUAUUAAUUAUGAGCUUAUUAGAAUCCUGUAAAUACUUAAUUAUGGCCUUAGAGUUCAAUAAUAUCAAGGAUCUUACAAUAAACAAUGUAACAACAAGACUAAGCAAUAAAAUGACUAAGGGAAAAAAAAAAAAAAAAAAAAAAAAAAAAAAAAUCCUCAAAUAAAGAUUUAACAUCCUAUUCAUAUUAAGAUAAGAAGAAAUAUUCUAGCUAAAUAUUUAUAAUUAAAAUUUUAUUUUAUUAUAAAAAAACCACAUCAUUUUUUUUAAAUUGAUAUAAAAAUAAGAAAGUAAACAAGAAGAAUACAAAUAGUAUCCAAGAUGAAUUUGGAGAAUAAGAUUAUACAUUCAUAGCUAAUAAAAAGAUCUUCAUAGCUACUAUAUCAAGGUGGAUUAUAGAUUUAAAUUAUUCUAAGCAUAUGAUAUCUUAUAAGUAUUUAUUUGAUACUUAUGAGGCCAUUUUAAUAUUUCAUAUAAUCUCAGUGAGUACGAAUAUAUGUAAAGCCAUAAAAAUUAGUUAUAUUGUGGUACAAAUUACUAUGAAUAAAAAUAUUAAUAUGAACAUAUUUAAAGACGUCUUCUAUGUGCUUAAGAUGAAAUAAAAGCUACACUUAAUUUAUAAACUUAUAAUAUGAAGCCUUAUGAUUAAUUUAGCAUGAAUGGAUAUUUUUUGAAAAAAUUGAGUAGAAACAUAGUUGUUAAUGGCUCUAAAUAAGAAAAUUUGUACUACUUCAAUUGUAAAGUCAAUAGAAAAGAGGUGACUAUUUGUUAAGUUUACAUUAGAUUACAAGUUUGAUAUAAGAUAUUGUUAUCUUAAAUAUUUGAAUGUAAAAUAUAUGAAAAAAUCCAAUCUACGGUAAGUAGCUUAGAUCUUUGUAUAACAUGCUAAAAUACAAUAGAGCUUAAAUAUGAAAGAUGCAUACAAGAAAAAAAAAAAAAAAAAAAAAAAAAUCUUAUUUUUAAAUGAUAUAGCAAUAUGUGCUAUGAAGUUUUUAGAUAUUAUCUACUUUAACAUAUAGAUAGAUAGAUAAAUAAAGUCUAAAAAUAUAGAAAAAAAUAUAUUUUUUAUUAUUUUUACUUAUAAUUUUUCAAGAAGGAUUUAAAUUUAUAUUUUUAUUACUAAAAUUAAUUAUUUUUAAAUGUUGAAGAAUUUAAAAGUAUUUCUUGAGAAAAAAAUGAGUCUAAGAUCAAGAUAUUAUAUAUAAAAAAUGGAAAUGAUUACAUAUCUAAGAAAUUUGAUAUUUAUUUUAAGAAUAAAUAAAUUACUAAAUAAAUAUUAAUUUUACAUAUUUUACAACAAAAUGAUAUUGUUGAAAGGACAAACUGUAUCAUUAUGAAGAAAGUAAGGAACAUACUUCAUGUUCAAAUCCUUAAAUAUGAGUUUUAGAAUAAAGCCAUUUUCAAUAUUGUUUAUACAAAGAAUAUUUGUCUAAUAAGUAUUCUUGCAUCAAUGACACUAUAACAAGCUUGGAAUGAGAGACAACUUAAAAUUUUACAUAUAAAGAGUUUUGAAUGCAUUGUAUAUUUAAAAGCACUAGAUUGUAUGAAAUUCAAACUUAAUACUAAAGAUACAAAGUGUGACUUUUUGGAUUAUUAUUAAUAUAUUAAGACAUAUAGAUUGAUAUUUUUGAAUAGCAAAAAGAUCAUUUAAAGUUGUGAUAUUGAAGUUUUGGAGCAUAAGAGUCUUUAAAAGCACCUAGAAAUAUGUCUAAAUGGAAGUAAUAAUGUGAUUGUAGAUAUAUAUAUUUCAAAAAAGUGAAAGAAGAAGAAUAAAAAGAAGAAGAUGAAGAUGAAGCAAUAAAAACAUAUCAAAAACCUAAUAUUUUUUGAGACAAGAAUUUAUUAAUCUAAAAGAUAAGCAAAGAAAAAUCACAAGAAAAAAAAUAUGGUGUAUAAAGAUUAAUCUUCAAUUGACAUGAGAUAUCUUAUAAAAAAAAGAUAGAUACUUGAUAAAUAGUGGAAGAAGGAUUUUUUUUUUUUAAGUCAAUAAAAAAUAUACAAAUAUUAUUUUUAUAGCUAAUCUUUUGUCUUUUUGUGAUGCUAUAAAGUUUUAAGAUAUAAUGAAGUGCAAAAAGGCUAUAAAAGAAGAAUAUCAAUUUUUUAUAAAUAACAGUAUAUAUGAAUAAGCUCUUCUUCUAACAAAUAAAUUUAGUAAUAGCAAUAAGUGGGUGUUUAAGAUCAAAAAAGAUGCAAUGGAAGUAGUAAUAAGGCACAAGAUAAGAUUAGUUUCUAAAAAAUAUUUACAAGUGGUUGGAAUUGAUUUCAAUGACACAUAUACAUAUUUUGCUAAAUUCACUACCAUUAUGAUUAUUUUUACAAUUGAAGUAGUAAUAGAUUUAAAAAUAUAUCAAAUAGAUAUAAAAAUAGUCUUUUUGAAUGUCAAAUUGGAAGAAGACAUCUACAUUUACUGGAUCUAAGGAUUUCUAUAAGAAGGCAAAGAAUACCUUGUAUACAAGUUAUAAAAAUUAUUAUAAGGAUUGAAACAAUUACCAAGAGGACAAUACCAACAUAUUAAUAUCUUUUUUAUUAAUGAAUUUUUUAUAAUGAGUGAUGUUCAUCAUUCCUUGUAUGUAAUAAAAUCUAAAAAUUUCUUGUUAGUUAAAAUCUUCUAUAAUAAUAAAUUGAUUAUUUUAGCCAACAUCAACAAGAUGGAUUGAAUGAAGGCCAUUUUAAAAAAUAAGUAUAAAAUGAGUAAUAUAAUAAAUAUAUUAUUAAUUUAUUUAGUUUUAUUUUUUGUUUUUUUAUUUUUUUAAUCAAAAAAUUUAUUUGAUUUUAUUAUAUUAACAAAGUUUUAUAAUUUAAUCAAAAAUAAAUUAAGAAUAAUUUAGAAGUAAAUUAAAUUCAAUCCAAAUUGUUAUAUUUUUAAUUUUCAUAAAUAUUAGAAAUUAUUUUAAAUUAAGAUAUGUAAGUAAUCAAUAUUUAUUAGAAAAUGUACUUUAAACAUUAUAGUGAAAUAGGUUUGUUCAAAAAAAAAUUUUGAAAACUCAUUUGGUGGCCAUUAGCCUUGAUUUCGGAUUUUGACUCUUAGAUCUUAAUUUGGUCUCUUUGGAUUCAAAAGUGGAGAUGUGGUCACUACCUUUAAGUCUUAGGGUAAGAAUAUAAGAGGUCUCAUGGGCUCAUUUGGUCAAAACUUCUUUUAUUUUGUUGAUAGGCAAAGCCAUGCUAUUAAUUACUAGGUUUUAUAAAUAAUUAUGGUUUUUUUAGAAUUUUUUAUAUAAAAUUUAAGUAAAGAUGAUAAUAUUUUUUGAAAUUCUUUGUACAUAAAAAUAUUAGAAUUUAGAAUUUAGACAAGAAAGAAUCUUCUAAUUUAAUAAAUAGUAGUAUACUACCUUCAUAUUUUGGUAGCUCAAGUUUAGAAGGAUCUCCUUUAUUGUUGACAAGCUAAAAAGAAAUAAGAGUUUCUUUCUUAGAGAUUGAAUGAAGUCUAUUUUUUAAAAAGCUAAGAAUUGAUUAUAUUGAACCAAGAUGUGGUUAAAGUGUUGAUUUAAGUGGCAAGGGAUCUGCUGCCUUGAAUUCAAUCUGCCUUGCUUUAAAUUCAAGUGGCCAAGAAAAGGCACAACUUUAAAAGACAAGAUCUAAUGGAUUAAGGCACCUUAAAAGCUAAGUUUUAGAAGAAUGUGCUAUUUAAAGUUAAAGUUUUAAUAAGCUUAGAUUUACUAAAGGAAAAUCAAGAAUUAAGCCAUGGUCUCUAAUUUAUAGAAGGACAUAUGAUGUCUUGAAAUUGUAUGCAUGCAAAUAAAUUUGAAUGUGAAAUUUAGAAGGUAAAGGUAUUUUUAAAUAUUUAAAAAAAAAAAAAAAAAAAAAAAAAAAAACUAUUUGGAUUUAAUUUAGAGCUCAUAAUUAAUUUUGGUACAAUAAUAUGUAAAGAUUGGUGUAGCAAUAGAUUUAAAAGUGUCAAGCCCCUUUGGUUUUUAUUUUGAUGAUAUUAUUGGUUCUUUAGCAUAAAACUAUAGAUGAAUCUCAAAUAGAAGGUUAAAAAGGAUAUUGAUAUUAAUUUGGAUCAAUAUUUAAAUUGAUAGAUGAAAUUUUUAUAAAUAUAAUAUUUUGAUAAAAUUAUCAAUUUUAAUCUGAUAUAUUAUGUGUAUGAAUAAUUGAAAUGACAUCCAUUGUAUAAAUUAGAUGAGUAGAUUAGAUGGAUAUACUAACCUUAAUUAAUUGAUAUAUUUAUAACUUAAAUUGAACUAUAAUGUUUUAUAAUUAUUUUAGUAUAUUUUAUUUAUAUUAAUUUAUGUGUAAGAAUUUUAACACAUUUAAUUAGGUACACUUAAUUUGUCUCAUAAGUACUAUUUAAAAUUAACUUAUAGUUGAUGAAAUUCGUAAAUAAAGAGUUUAUACAAGUUGAAGGUAAAAUGCAAAGUGUUCUAUACAAGGUGCCAAUAAAUUCAUUUAGGUGUGCAAUGGUAGCAUUAAGAGCAAAUCUUGCAUUUGUUGUGAGUGUUGUGAGUCAACACAUAUUUCAAGUUGGACCUUUGUAAAGGAUCUCAAAUUGUGCAUUAGUUGUAAGAAUUUGAUGUGCAAGAUUAUUGUAAAGCAAGUUGGAUUAGAAUUGAAAAUGAUGGAAGAUCUAAAACAAAGCAUGUAUUCUUAAUUAGAAUAAGAGCCUUUUUAUGAAACUUCAAGAAACAAUCAAUCAUUACAAGGUCAUCCAUAGGAAUUGAAUACAUGACAAUAAGCCAUUUUGCAAUAGAAAUAAUAUGGAUAAGAUAAUUUUUUAAAAACAUUAGAUUUGUACAUUUUGAGGCAACUCCAAUUAUGAGUAAUAAUCAAGGGUUUCUUGUAUUUGCAAAGAAUCCAUAGAACCAUUGAAUAACCAAACACAUUAAUAUUUAACAAAAUUCCAUAAGAAAUAAGAUUGAAGUUUGAAGAUGGGCAUGUAAACAGUAGCUUACAUUAUCCCUUAAAUUUAGUUCAAACAAAAGAACAUUUUAUAUUUAUUCUCAAUACAAAUCAGUCUGAUUUUGCCAUAAAAUCAAGAGGACCAAAUUUGAUGCAAUACUGCUUCUAUAGACAUGAUUUGUGCUCCACCGCUGCUUGAUUUGUUUGUGUGUUGGCUCUUGUUUCAGCUUCAGUUACUCGUGGUUCAUUCCGACAGUAGAUUAAAUUCCACCACUAGUAUUGCAAUACAAAUUCCCGUAGUUGAAGAAAAUUACACCAAACGAUGGUUAUUGACAUAUGCAUUAAGUGCCAAAUGUUACAUUCAUCUGAAAACAGUUUGAAAUGUCACUAAUAUUGAGAAUUUACUUUGGUCCAAUCCUUGCAGGUGGUACACAACACCUAGAAAGCCGCCAGUAUCAAAAAAAAAAAAAAAAAAAAAACAUGUUUUUAAUCAACCAUUGCAUUACCUUCCGAAUGACUUUAUCCCCAUGGUAGAUUCUCAACCAUUGACUCUGUUUAAAAUAUUUUUCGCAGAAGAGUCGCAUGCUUUUAGUUAAACAUAGGUACACUUGUUGAAAGAAUGCAACAAAUCGUAACUAGUUGUACAAAAAACCACUGUCCAUUCUCCAAUCAAUUACCCAAAAAACAAAACCACUUUUAUUAAAUACUCUUUUCAGGUGGAAACACUACUUCCAUGAUUCGACGAAGAUUUCAGAUGGAACGGAAGAUCGAAGUUCCACGCACAAUUGCAUAACGGUGACAAAUCGUCGUUGCUCCAGCUUCAACGACAGCCUCACAGCACAGGAUGGGUAUUAUACCGCUGGGAGCCACCCAAACACAAGGCUGACAGAGCUUCCACAUGUUGGCAAUAGACAUUAUCAUGUUCACCUGCAGGUGGACCAGGUUCGUAAUAUUCAUGCUGCCUGAAAUCAUGCUCCCAGAUGAUCAAAACCUCUUUCCCAGCAGGGAUGAGCCGCUGACAACUAGAUUUCUGCUUAUCAACAGAGAACCCAUUCUGUCGCCUCAUCAAGCUGCCCGCUGUGAGAUUGCUGCCGCAUCUAGGGACUAUUCGCUAUCCAACGCCAUCCGUCAAGGAAUGUGAUCACUGUCGCAUCGCCUUGUAGUGCAUGCUGUUGCAUCUCGGAUGAGAGCGGCGACCACGUUGUUCAAAGAUUCUGCGAAAACCAGUGGGAUUCUGUUCCUUCACCCUCAGCUUCCGGAGCCCCACAACUUUCAAAUAUCUUCCGCUUCUUUCUUCAGAUUUGUGGGUUACUUUGCGAAAUCGCUUGCGGUGUGGGGAGUGUGUGCAUCGUUGCUUAUGCUCAGCAAAAAGGUGCUUCACUGUAGAAAUAGUGUAUGAUUGAAUGUCGUCUUUUGGAAUAUUUUUACGAUAGUCUUAUGACAAAAGUGUGAGAAAUUAUUGAACGACUGUAGCGUUUCUGACAACAAAAUUUCAAUUUCUUCAUUUUAACAUUUAGUUGUAAAUCAGUUUAAGGUCUAAGUUAUUCAUUGGUUUACAAAAUCACCAAAGUAUCUCUCAAGAAACUUCUAAAUAUUAAAUUACAUUGUGAUUACUUUUUUAAAAAAAUUACAUAAUUCAGGUACCUAAUGAAACUCAUAAGUGAAAUGACUGUUUUAAUAAAUAAAAUUAUAUAAAGUCAUGUAUAAUAAGAAUAAAGAGAAUAUAAGAAAAACUUAUACAAUCACAUGAUGUAAUGAAUGAAAUUACCAUAAAGAUUAUGAUGUACAAGUUCGUAUUUUGAUUUAAUUCUGUAAAAUAUCAAUCUCCAAAAUGUACAUAAAACUUUAACAUCUUAUUUCAAAAAAUGUAUUUUUAUAGUCUUUAGAUAAUUUUUACUCUUUUCACAAGAUAACAACUUCUAAUGUUAUUGAUUUAAUGCCAAAUAAUAUAAAAAUAAUGCCAAAGCCACUUGAUGCAUUGAAUUUGUUCUGUAUUGGAUCAUUAUAAUAUAAAUAAAAUAUAAAUAAGUACAGAUAUGAAAUAAGUGAAAAGAUUAAUAUCAAAUUCUAAAUGCUAAUUUUAAAAGCAAUGUCAAUGUCUUAAUAGAAUAUUGUAAGAUUAAAAUAUAUUACUUGAGAUAAAUUUAAAGCUUAAUACUAUAAAUUAGUAACAAGAACCUUGUCUAAUGUCUUGAAGGAUGUUGUGGUAAAUUUUUAAACAGUCUACAAUAAUACUAUUUAGAAACUACAUAAUAAAAAAAUUAAACUACAUUAAAUUAAAAGAGUAAUGAGUUUUGAAAAUUGGUUUAAAAUUAUUAAUGAGGUAAUUUAUUAAAUCCAAUAUAACUUAAAAAAUCAUCCCACAAGUGAGAUUAUUUUAAUAAUUUAAAUAUAAACAUAUAAAAUAAAUAAUAUUGAUAAAAAAAUAACUGCAUAUAGAGAUGGUAUUAUAAGAAUAUAUACUUUAUUCUUGGUCAUAGAAAGGUUUUUGUCUUUGUUGUACUUAUUCAAAUUAAGGUAUUUAUAAAAAUAAAAAUAAAAAUAAAAUCCAACCAACUUAUGUGAUGUUGACAGAUAUAUUUUGCAAUGUUUUUAUCAUUCAGAUUAAUAUAUAUAUAUAUAUAUAUAUAUAUACAUACUAAUAAUCUUCUUUAUUAAUUUAUUUUGUGAUUAUAUUAAAUUUUAACAUUCUAUAUUGUGUAUUUAGAUACUUUAAAAACAAUCAAGAACAAAACAUUAUUCAGAUUAUCUUCUUAAUAUGAAUUUAAUAAAAUAUCUUAAAAUAUACUUAUCCAACCGAUAAACAUAUAUAUUAAGAUAUUAAAUAAUUUGGAAUUUGAAAAAAAAAUCAAAUCAUUAAAAUAUUUAUUGAAGGCCUUUAAAAAAUUGACGAUUUUGAAUUGUAAGUAUAUCUAUCAUAUAUAUAUAUAUAUAUAUAUAUAUAUAUAGCAAAGAAUUUCUUAGAAUUACCAUGCUUUUAUUCAUGCUACAAUUAUUAGCAAAAUUAAAUAAUUAUUUAUUUAUUAAACGUUAUUUAUAAUAAAAUUAUUAUUAAUUUUUUUCAUAUCUGUGGAAAUUUUAUUUUAACGACUGAAAAAUAUUAUUAAAUAUUAUUAUAUUUAUUGAAAAAAAUAAUAUUUAUACAAGAGAAAAAUGCACCAUGGAUAAAUAGAGCAUUUAGCUAGAAUUUCUAGGGCAUGAGAGAUAAGCUUAACUAGCAAUAAAAUAUUCUGAUUAUCUGCCAAAAUAAAUUGUAUAUGCACUCAACUUUUAAUAAAAUUUAAAAUAUAACAUAAUGCAUGCUUGACCAUAAGUUUGUUUUUCUACACCAAUAAAUAUAAUUUUUAUAUAUUUUCUAAUAACAACUAAUUCUACUCCUGAAAAACUUAAUUACUUUAUUAUAAAUAUUUUAUUAAAUUGUAAAAUAAAUCCACUGUAUUUAAUAGAAAAUCUAAACAGAAUCCUCUAUAAUUUUAAAUUUCAAUUAAUUUUAUUUAAUAUUUUAUGCAAUUCCAACAUAACUUUGUAAAUAUUUCCAUAAUUAUCUAAGAUUAAAAUUAUGAAAGUCAAUACAUUGAAGAAAUUUAUUUUGGAUGCUAAAUAUGAUUAUUAGAAAUUAUAAUGGUGGUUUAUGUAAUAGAUAAUCUCAAUAGAAAGCACUUCAAGCGAUUUGCAAAGAUACAAAGAUUUCUUUAAAUAUUGAACUUAUUAAAGAAAGUAUCUUAAUUUGCAUAAAAAAUCCAAGAAAUAAAAAAUAAGAUAAAGAAGAGUAGAAGGUCUAUAUUAACAAUGUCUAUAUGAACCAAUUACAAGUUCAUUUAAUGCAAAGUUGGAAGAGUUUAAAGACACAUUUAAAUAAGAAAAAACAAAAAUGCAUUGUAAAAGAAAAAAAAUGAUCUCUUUGUAUUACAGACUUCAUCAAUAAAUAAAAAUUGGUGCAAUAGUAAACUCUAUUAUAUUGCCAAUAAGACCAUCAAUUAUUAAGAUAUUCUAAAGCCAAUUACAUUCUUGUUUUUAAGGUCUUCAACUAUACCAUUUGGCCUUUUCAAGAACAUAUGAAAGUAUUUAUAUAAUCAUAGAAAUAAUAUAAUAUAAUCUACCAAUAAAUUAUGAUUCUUUUGAAGUUUCUAUUAUAUUUUUCCUUUUUAUCUAAUAUCAUUUUUUAUUCUACAAUAUAUAAAAGCAUAUUUUUAUUUGAAUGAAAGAAAUAUUUAUUAUAAUAGUUAGAUAAAUACUUGAAUAAAUAAUAUGUAUGUAUAUAUAUAUAUAUAUAUAUAUAUAUUUGAAAAUAAUAAUUUAACAAAUGUUAGUAAUAUUUGGCAGCAAACAUAACUUAUAAAAUUAUAUAAAGUUUGUUUUUUAUAAAAUAUCUCACAAAAAUUCAUGAAUUUUUUAGUGUUUUAUUAAGAUAUUUUACAUAAAAUGUAUAAUAUUUUUCUAAUUUUAAAUUUUAAAUUUUUUACAACUAAUUGAAUACCCUUAAUAUAAUAAAUAAUAAUAAAAUAAAACAAAAAGAUUUAUUUUAAUGAAUAUUUUUCAAAAAAACAAUCAUUAUAAUUAUAACCUAAAUUUUUAAAUAAUUGUAAAUUACAAAAGUAAAUUAAGAAGAGGUAUAAUUUUGUUAUAAUAAAGAAAAAAAGCUAAUUAUUUUUAAACACAGAGGGAUUAAAAAGUCUUAAACUAAGAUUUGAUUAAACACAAUGUUUUGUUACUAUUAUGGAUGGUUUUAGCCUUAUUUGUUUCAUACUAGCUGAUAGGGACAGUAUGUGGAAAUAUUAUAAGACCCACAAGAUUUGUGUGGCAAAAUAACUAAAUUAUGGUAUGCUUAUGUAGUAGCUUUUUAGAUCUAAAUAACUUCUUGAAUUUUGUUUUGUAGCAAUAAGACAAAUUCAUCAAUGGUUGUAGAUCCAACUUACAUCUAAAGUUUUAAGAAAUGUUGUGCAAAAGACAAUUAUCAAUCAAAACAUAUUUCUACCAACUUAAAAUUAUUUUAAUAAAUUUAUAUUUAUAUAAAUACUUUUAAAAUAAAUAAAUAAUAAGCUAUUAAAAAAAUAAAAUACCAUAUCAAAACAUAGUCUUUUGAAGCUAAUUUAAUCAUAUAUCAUAAAAGAAGAAGAAGGUAUAUAAAAUGUAAUUAGUUCAAAUUAUAAUAGAAUUUUAUUAGAACAAAUAAGAUUCUAUACGUAACAUUUUUUUCUAAGUUAUUUUUUUAUUUAAAAAUACCUCUAAUUCAUUAAAAAUAUUUAAAAUAUAUAUGUAUAUAACUAUAAAUAGAAAAAACGAAAUUUCAUAGUAUUAGUAAAUAUAUUAAUUGAGUUAUUCUUUUGAGUUUGAAAUAAAAUCCAUUGUUCAUCUGUAUAGUUUCAAAUGGAUUCAAUUUUAUUUAUUUAUUUAUUUAUUUAUUUAUUGAAUCUUGUUUGUAAGAACAAAACUUCUACAAAUUUAUUUAUAAUAUUUUUAAAAGGAUUUUUUAAUUAUAAAUAAAAAAUUAGAUUUAAAGACAAUCAUUUAAAGCUUUUAUAUUGAUUUAGGAAAAAAAAUGAAGUAAUAUAAAAAUUAAAAUAUAAAAUAUAAAAUAAUAAUCAAAAUUUAAAGAAAAUUUAUUAAUUUGGAUUCAAUAAAAGCUAACUCUAUGAUUUCAUCUAUUGUAAUGUGAUUUAUUGGUUGAUGAAUAUUAAUGCUUAUCCUACUUAAUGAUUUUUCUACAAAAAAAUGAUAAUUUUCCUAAAACUUAUAUCAGAAAAUGUUCUCAUAUUAUUUUAUUAAACCAUGAGAAGUAUAACACAUGAUAUAUAAAAUACACCACAUAGUAAGUUUCAUAAAUUUCGGAUGCAACUAUUGGUUGUGAUGUGACUCAAUUCUUGAAAGCAAACUUUAGAACUCAUCUUAAACUCAAAUUAAUGGUGUGCCGAGGACUUGAACGCCAUGUGCCAAGCAUACCAAGUCCGAGGAAGGCACACAACACUUCAAUAUAGAAUAUCCCACAUCGACGGCGUCCAUUCAAUCUAGUGCACCCAGAAACCGGGGGGCCAGGACAUGAAGGGGCCGGGCAGUGGGAAUGAGGAAGACUGCGCGUCCAGAAACCGACCCAGCCCGCGCGGCGGGCGAGGGUGAGCAGGGAAUAGGCGGGGCCCACGGCGUCAGGGAGAGUAGCGGCGCUGUCCUCCAAACACACCGCCUUCAAAUCUGGAGAUGAAGCAGAUCACACACCCAGCAGAUUACCCGAGCUCAAGUCGUGAGGCACAAAUAACUCCGGGCCCCCAAAAAGGGAUUGCUCCUAAGAAUCAAAUCGAAUGGAAUAAUAACCAGUGUUGUCAAUUCCUCCAUUCGGGAUUGGAUUCAUAAACCCCACUUCUCAACAUUCGCUGCCAGGCCUUCUCCUUCACCGCUCCGCUCUGCGAGCUUGGUUCUCGUUGCGCGUGGUCAUCUAGCGCAAGAACUCCCAGUGCCACAUCGGCUGUUGAGUUAGAGUGUCCCAACUCCGAUUCCCUAAGGUUAUAAGAUUUAGCAUAGGAACGAAUUUGUGAAAGUGUUGUACUUAGAGAGUGUGAAUUCGGUGGUCGACGGUUUGUAGCCGAGGGAAGAGGUGAGGUCGACAUGGAGCGGGCGAAGCAGCAGGUGGUGAAGCGGCUGGUGCAGCAGGCGGUGCGGCGGGCAGCUGCGCCGUCUGCGCCUGUGCGUUCUGGCGCUGCGUUGCGAGCUGCCGCUGGCAACGAGACGCGUCGGGGAUUCGGCGCUUCGCUGCUGCGUGGUAGCGGGAAUGGAGUGGUGCAGCUUCCGCUCGGGGUGAGGGCCAUUUCCGUGGAGGCUUUGAAGCCCAGCGACACGUUCCAGAGGCGUCACAACAGCGCUACCCUGGAAGAGCAGAAGGCAAUGGCUGGGAUGUGCGGAUUCGAGGACAUGGACGCCAUGAUCGACGCCACCGUGCCGAAGUCCAUCCGCAGGCCCGACCUGAAGCUGAGCAAGUACGCGGAGGGGUUGACGGAGAGCGAGCUGUUGGCGCAUUUCAAGUCGCUGGCGUCCAAGAACAAGGUGAUGAGGUCCUUCAUCGGAAUGGGGUACCACGACACGCACGUCCCCACCGUGAUUCUUCGCAACAUCUUGGAGAACCCCGGAUGGUAUACCCAGUACACGCCCUACCAGGCAGAGAUCGCGCAGGGGAGGCUGGAGUCGCUUCUGAACUUCCAAACCAUGAUCACGGAUCUCACAGGUAUGCCCAUGUCCAACGCGUCGUUGCUGGACGAGGGUACCGCUGCGGCGGAGGCCAUGACAAUGUGUAGCAACAUUGCCCGCGGCAGGAAGAAGACGUUCUUGGUGGCGGACAACUGCCAUCCCCAGACAAUUGAGGUGUGCAAGACCCGAGCAGACGGGCUGGGCUUGAAUGUUGUGGUGGCGGAUUACAAGAAGUUCGACUACAGCAGCAAGGACGUGAGCGGAGUGCUGGUGCAGUACCCGGCCACGGACGGGUCGGUGAACGACUACUCAGACUUCGUCAAGAACGCCCAUGCUCAUGGAGUGAAGGUGGUGAUGGCGACCGAUUUGUUGUCUCUUACGGUGCUGACCCCUCCCGGUGAGCUGGGAGCGGACAUGGUGGUCGGAUCCGCUCAGAGGUUUGGAGUUCCAAUGGGCUACGGAGGGCCGCACGCCGCGUUUCUGGCAACCUCCCAGGAGUACAAGCGUCUCAUGCCCGGGCGUAUCAUCGGUAUGAGCAUUGACGCCACUGGCAAGCCAUGCCUCCGGAUGGCCAUGCAGACUCGGGAGCAGCACAUUCGUCGUGACAAGGCGACCAGCAACAUCUGUACCGCUCAGGUAGGUUUUUGGGAGAGGAGAGGAGAGGAGGAGAGGUUUCUUGAUAGCUGAAAUGCACGAGGAAUCUGUUGCGCGCAACACGAAUUGGCUUGAUAUGUCGAUUAUAAGGGGAAUUCACCGCGUUCCUUGCUGCGUGCUCCACCAAUUCAUGUUCCGGCAACUGGUUUUGGUUGUCGCUGAUUGAUAAAUCUCGCCAUGGAGGGAUGUCUGACGAAAUUGGAACUGUUGACAGGCUUUGUUGGCGAACAUGGCAGCCAUGUACGCCGUAUAUCAUGGCCCUGAGGGUUUGAAGACGAUUGCGAACCGAGUUCAUGGAUUGGCCGCAGUAUUCAGCGCUGGAGUGAGCAAGUUGGGAUUCCAAACCGGAUCCGCACCAUUCUUUGACACAGUGAAGGUGACAGUUGGUGAAGGGCAGGUGGAGAAGGUUAUGAAGGACGCAGUUGCACACGGUGUGAACUUGAGACAGUUGGACUCGAGCUCGGUGAGUUGAUCGAAAGCCGUAUCUGGUCGCAAUUUUCUGCAACCGGUUGUUUCGGGGUAACCACACGGAGGUGAUAUGUAUGCUGGUUGUUCUGACGUUUAGCUGCCGGUUACGGAUGCACAGGUCACGCUAUCUUUUGACGAGACCACGACAAUUGGGGACGUGAACACUUUGUUCAAAAUUUUCGGUGGAGGCAAGAACGUGAGUGCACAUCAUUGUGGAAUGUCCCCUACACCUUGCUUGAAGGGAGUGAUUGGUUGAUACGGCGAUGUGUGCCUGUUGGGUUCCCUUCUUUUUGUUCUCAUUACUGGAGUCUGGUUGCACCACAUGUCUGAGUUUAGAUGUUUCAUUGGGUCCAGGUUGGGUUUACUGCCGAGCAACUGGCAGGGGAGGUGGAGAGCCGCCUUCCGUCCAGCCUGAAGAGGGACACCCCAUUCCUGACUCACCCGGUGUUCAACCAGUAUCACUCGGAGCACGAGCUGCUCCGAUAUCUUCACAGGUUGCAGGCGAAGGAUCUGUCGUUGGUCCACAGCAUGAUUCCGUUGGGCUCGUGCACGAUGAAGUUGAACGCUACCACCGAAAUGAUACCAAUUACAUGGCCCGAAAUGGCCAACCUGCAUCCGUUUGCCCCGGAGGAUCAGGCCCAAGGAUACCAGGUACGUUGUCUGGCGUGAGGGAGUGGUGGUUAUUUCUGUGUCGAUGCAGUGGAUCAUCCACGGGCGACCGCUUGUUGAAUACCGCUGCUGGAUCGAUGAUCGUCUUUCAGGGGCCGGACACAGGAGGGGACUGACUUGAAUCCGUUGUGCAGGAAAUGUUCAAGGAACUGGGUGACCUGCUGUGUGAGAUCACGGGGUUUGAUUCUAUGUCCCUGCAGCCCAACGCCGGUGCUGCUGGCGAGUACGCAGGGCUGAUGGUCAUCCGUGCCUACCACCUUGUAAGAUCGUCGGCGUGACCUGCUGUUCGGUGUUGGGAGUGUUGCAAUUAAGUUUGGAUACGCUCACUGUGGGGUCGGGGAUGGGAUGGUAUUGUGGGACUCAGGAAGUGGCAAUUUCUUAGAGGCAAAGUCUGACUUGCGCAGCUGUGAUUGCCCUCAGGCUCGAGGAGACGCGCAUCGUGACGUGUGCAUCAUUCCAGUUUCGGCUCAUGGAACGAACCCUGCAAGUGCAGCCAUGUGCGGGAUGAGAAUUGUGACUGUGGGAACUGACAAACACGGGAACGUGGAUAUUGCCGAAUUGAGGAAGGCAGCAGAGAAGCACAAGGACAAUCUGUCCGCUCUGAUGGUGAGUAUCAACCGAUGUUGGUGGGAAGAGACGGAGCUUGACUCGGGAUUUCGGUUGGAUAGGGGAAUGGAAUGUGUAGAUAAGACGAGCAGCAUCAGGGCUGCUGGAAAGGUUGUAGUCUGUGUGUUUGCAUUGGGUCGAAGUGACUGGGUGUCACGAACAGUGAGUGUGGCUUGGACAAUGCUCGGAGCCCGUGGUGGAGAGAAAUCGGCAUUGCUGGCCCGGUGGGGAGGUAGAUUAGCCUGCUGUUGAGAGCUGUGUCGAGGUUGAAGUGACGGAACUGAAGGGCACACGGUUUCUUGGAUCUGUCGUCUUUGUCAAUAGUGCAGAUGACCCACAAGGUUGAUGGCUUGACCCUUGAACAGGUGACUUAUCCUUCGACGCACGGUGUGUACGAGGAGGGCAUUGAUGAGAUCUGCAACAUCAUCCAUCAAUACGGUGGACAAGUGUACAUGGACGGUGCCAACAUGAACGCUCAGGUGGGGCUUACCAGUCCUGGUCACAUCGGAGCAGACGUGUGCCAUCUGAACUUGCACAAGACGUUCUGCAUUCCUCAUGGAGGAGGUGGCCCCGGAAUGGGACCCAUCGGAGUGAAGAAGCAUUUGGCUCCCUUCCUCCCAUCACACCCUGUGGUAAGGAAAUCCUGGCUUGCUGCAAAAACCCGAGUUCUUUGUGUGCGAGGGAUUUGUAAUUUUUGGUGUCGAGUCUGGAGAGUCGAUUGGGAUGGAAUGACUGGAUUGUGUGACGGCAGCGCGGUUUUCAGAACGACCUCUGACGAUUAAGUAUCGAAAUGCAGGUUGGCACCGGAGGAUUCCCAAGGCCGGCCAACACUCAACCAUUGGGGCCCAUUUCUGCUGCACCUUACGGAUCAGCACUGAUCUUGCCAAUUUCUUACAGCUACAUCGCGAUGAUGGGGAACAAGGGUUUGACGGAUGCCUCCAAGCUCGCGAUCUUGAACGCGAACUACAUGGCCAAGCGUUUGGAGGUUGGUGGAUAGGAUGAUUCAACACUCAGCGACGGGUCUUUGUUUUUGUUUUUGUUUUUUUUUGUUUUUAUUGGUUUUUGUGAAUAUUGGGCACAACAUGGAUUCAGCAGUCGUUGUCACUGUGUUACCGUGGUGUAUCUGACCGACAUGAUGUGGCUUGCGUGCAGAACCAUUAUCCAGUUCUGUUCCGGGGCGUGAACGGAACGUGUGCUCACGAGUUCAUCAUCGACUUGAGGAAGUUCAAGGUACUGAAUGCCGAGAAGCCCUGAGUAGUGAAGUGAAAUUUUGCCUGGAUAUGAAACAUGAGGAAUGGGAGGUUUAGGGUUCAUAGUUACUGAGCUGCUGAUUAUGUUGCGUGUGUAUCACAGGAAACUGCUGGAAUCGAGGCAGAGGAUGUGGCGAAGCGCCUGAUGGACUACGGUUACCAUGCGCCAACCAUGUCGUGGCCUGUGUCCGGCACGCUCAUGAUUGAGCCGACGGAGAGCGAGAGCAAGGCCGAGCUGGAUCGGUUCUGCGACGCCUUGAUCUCCAUUAGAGAGGAAAUCGCAGCAAUUGAGAACGGAGAGGCCAGCCGCGAGGACAACGUCCUGAAGGGUGCCCCUCAUCCAGCAUCGGUUGUGAUGGCCGACGACUGGACCAAGUCCUACUCGAGGGAGGUUGCAGCAUUCCCCGCAUCGUGGGUGCGAGCAUCGAAGUUCUGGCCCACGACAUCGCGUGUGGACAACGUGUAUGGAGACCGCAACCUCAUGUGCACGAACCCGUCCGCGGAAGUUAUUGACGAGAAGAUUGCAGCAGCCGCUUGAAUGGUAGAAUGCAGAUAUGAGUGUACCCCCGCAUUUGGAGGGUCCUAAAUAGUGUACUUAAUCGUGAAAGCUGCCCACAACAUAUCGUACCUCGGCAAAGCGGUUGCUGAGUGUUGUCAUGGUCAGUAGAACUCUGUCGUCCUCGUGUUGUCGACACGGCGUAAGGAUUGUAUAGCUGCUGUAGAUCCAUGUUAGGCGCGCCGCGUCUCUCACCGUCGUGGGGUAGAUCAGUCGAUAUUGCAAGCAUGAAAGCCCAUGUAUCUGAUGAUUCUUUGAACACAAAGUGUUAACUGGAUUUCAAUUGUACAACGAUCUCUAGCACUCGAUUAUGUGUCGCGACCUUGUUGCAUUUGAAUGUCGUCACUGUCAUUAUGGCUGUGUUGUCUGAGUAGCACCUGAGCCUGGGUGGUCAUACUGAAAAAUCCCAGAAUUAUGUGAGCUCGUAUUAUGUUUUAGGUUAAUGCUGGUAUUGGUAUUGGUCCAUAUUUAACAUAAGCCCUUGACUAAUUGGGUAUUAGUUUAUAUCACAUUAGGAAUGUUGCUGUUAUGCAUGGAUAUAUCCUUGCUGAUUUUAAUUGUUAAACAAUUUAAAUUUGGGAUUUUUAAUUUGACACAUUUAAAAUUUUAAACAUAAUUUGAGUUAAUUGUUUGCAAGAAAACACUAGAUGCAUUAGUAUCCAAACUUGUGUUUCUUUAGCCUAAUGUCUUUGGCAAAGCUAUUGCCAUUGUGGUUGUUUUGAUUUUUUUUUUUUUUUUUUUUUUUUUUCAUAUACUUAACACCAUGUCUUGUUUAAUCAAUGUCCAUUUAAUGUCUACUAUAUCUACCUCCAUUGCACUAGAGAAAGGCCAAUCUAUUAAGCAAUGACUUUUUCAACAUUUUCUUUUGGCUUGAAGUUAAGAACUUUUAUAGCAUAUUUGGCAUCAACAUCAACAAAGAUUAGUGUUGCUCCAUUGAUUAAAAGAACAAGUUCUUGUACAUUUAUAAUAGUGCUUAGCUCUGUGAGUUGAAUACGCCUCUAUCUUAAUCAAAAGGCCAUGAGAGGGCAACUUCAAAGUUACAAGGCAAAGCUUCUAAAAACACUAGAAGAAUCUAUGCAAAUAGGAUAUGGUGUCACCAAAGGCGACAAAAAGAAGGUAGUAGUCACUAUCAAGUAAAAGCUCAAUAAAAGUUGUCUCCAUUUUGAGAAGAUGAAGAAGCUCUUAAGAAAAAAGCCAACUACCAAGCCUCAUUAUACAAUCAACUUUGUAGUCAAUUUGUUAUUAGAGGAGUACAAUAAUAUUGGAGCAAAUGAUAAAGAAGAAACUAACAAUAACAAAUUAGACAUUGAGGGGUUUGAAGUCAUGGCUAAAACCACAAAGUUGUAAAAAUAAAAUAUUUAGAAAAAGCACUAAAAUCAAAACAUUCACAUUCUACAACCCAGCUUUAUCCUCACAUAGUCUUAAUUUCCAAAACCUAAACCAUAAAGACAAUGAUAAUUAUUAAAAAAAUAUAUGUAAAAAACCAUGUAUUCUUUAAAGCUAAAUUAUUUUUUGGAAACACCUUCCUACAGAUUCUUUAGCUUUAUAAUUCCAUUCUCCAAGCAAUUCAAUCCUUGCUCCAAUUCAAUCACCAUCUACUUAUUAAUCAUUGUCAUUACACCCACUUCUCUUCUACAUCUAAAUUCUCUCUUCCACCAACACAAAAAUCAUUUUUUAAAAAAAAUUAAUCACUAAAACUUUCUCUUUUUUUUCUACAAAUACUCAAGAUGCGGCAAGACAAAAGUAACAAGUCUCAAUUGGCUUCAUGAAUUAAUUAUGCACAAAAGAGAAAUAAAGUAUCAUUUCAUAAAGAGGUUUCUUUUCUACCACAACAUUGCCCUUGCAAAUGUAUUUCAAGAGGGAGUAAAGCAAAGAUGGACAUUUUGGACUUGAUUUCAUCCAAUAUCAACUUUUGUGGCAACCCAAUUAUCAAGAUUAAAAUGCAAGAAAAAAUUAUAUUGUUUAAAUUUUAUAAAGUAAAUGUUGAAGAACUUGAUGUAGAAACAAAUUUGAUAUUUUUUAUUACUUCUUCUAAUAAAUUCUAUUUGUACAAAUAAUUGAUUCAAUUUAUCAGGAAAGAAAAAAAUUUUAAAAAUUAAUAGAUAUCAUGAUAUACACUUUUUUGAUAUCAAUAUUGAUUUUGAAGGAUAUAAAAACUUAUGUUAAAUAUCUAUGUUAUUCCUUGAAAGUGAUCAUAUCUGUAAUAUCAUAAUAAUAUUGUGUUCUUCUUCAUUUGUCAUUUUUUAAUCAAAUCUUUGUAAUCUUUUUAACAAAAUCAUAAGAAUAUACCUUUGCUAGAAUUGAGUUCUUCUUAUUAGCUAUAUAUUAAAAGAUAUCUUUAAAUAUCAUCAAAAUCUUCUAGAUGUUUUCGGGAUAGAAAGAGUUUGUCUCAAGAAAGCACUGGGCUCCUAACUACCACUAAUUGCUCAAUCAAGUCUUGAGAUAAGGAAGACUAAGUUUGUAUAUAUACAUAUAUAUAUAUAAUACUUUUAGGAGAAAUUACACCGAAUAUAUAGUCUUAAGUUCCCAAAAUAUCCAAAAUAUGAUAAAAACAAAAAAAACUCUAAAUCCUUGUAUAUCCUUAUGGGGUAUUAUUUCUGAACUUCAAAAACUCAUAUCUUUCAAUCAGACCAUUCAAAUACACUCAAGUUUUACAAGAAGUAGUGAUGUACUUCUAAAAACUACUACAACAAAUUUCAACUACAAAUUUGAUGCGGAUCUUAAGAUAUCACCAAAACCCUAAUAGUAGCUUCAAACCCUAGUUUUUAUACACUCUCGUGUAAUUUUCUUCAUAUCUCACAAAUUAAGCACUCAAAUGCCACAAAAUUUGUAUGUAUAGCUUCUUGACACAAAAAUCUACUUUCUCCAAAAGGUUUGAGUCCAAAAUUCAUCUAGAAACUCAAGAUAUGGCUCCAACCAUUACUAUGAAUAAAAUCACUUACUUACUGCCUUUGAUUUGGAUGUGCUGACUUCAACCCUCUAUAACUUCUUCAUUCAAACUCCAAAUUCAUCAAAUAGUAUAUGAAAAGUGUAGUCAAAAAAGUCUUCUCUCCAAUCCUGGUCGCCAAUCUUUCAUUGCUCUCCGUAAACGUAUUUUAUGCCCCAAAGAGUGACAAUUGGUAUGAAAUUGACACCUCAACUUUGACCGUCAAUAACUCCUUCAUGAAAACUCCAAAUCACACAAAAUUUGCACCCAAUUUGUAUGUGAAAUCCUAAAAUUGAUGUUUCUAGCCUUUAAAGCUCAAAUGACUUCAAAAGAGAAACCCUAAUCCCUAAUAAGGCCUCAUCAGCCCCCUUGAAGCCCAUCGGGCAUGGCCUUCGACCAAUAGGAAUGAAGAUCUCCAUUCCUUGCCUUCAUUCAACCAUGCCUUGCUUUCAUUCCUUCCAAUAAGCCUCCUACUAGUUAAGAUUUUCAUCUUUAGGCUCUAAUCUCCUCUCAAGGUUUCACACUAAAUACUUAGGUCUUAUAAUUUUUUUAAAUGCUAUAAUCAAAAUAGAUAAAACUUAAAAUAAAGUUUUUUAUAUCCACUUUAUUUAAAUUAACCUAUUAACCAUUCUAACAUAUACCAAGACUUAUGAACAUAUUAUAUGACUUAAUUAAUUUUUACAUACUAUAAGUAAUUAUAGUACGAAAACAUUGCAUAUACACACUAAUUAAGUCUUAGAGUAAUAAAUCAAAGCUACUAUAGCAUCAAUCUAAUAGUCAUCUAUAAGAAAUUUUCUAAAUUUCUUGAUAGCUUUUAAAAGAAGAAAGAAGAAGAAAAAUAAAAAAAUAAAAAAAUAAAAAAAAAUAAAAAAUGAAGAAAGAAAGAAAGAACAAAAUCUAUUUUGCUAUGCUUACUCUAUGUAUAAUUUAAAUAGAUAGUAACAAGGCAUAUUUGAGCUUUGAGGCCAGAAUUAAAGACUAUGUAUUCCAAUUUAACACAACCUUUAUAGUAUGAUUGUGCUUUAUGAAUGCUAGCAUCGUCCUUGCAAUUGCCCUUAAUUCUAAUAAAUAUCUAACGUGUCUAUAGAAUACUAAUUGCUUUGAGCACAUUGAAAUAAUAUCCAACGAUUUAGAAAAAAAAGUUGAUGCAAAAUAAGAGACAUCAUUAGAUAGAAAAAGUGAACCUUGAUUACAAAUUAUAUAUUAAGAAAAAUUGUUGAAAAUAAGUGUGUUUCAAUCCUUAAAAGUUUCUUAAUAAAUAUGCACAAAUACUAUAAAAGAUUAUAUAAGAGUUUUUUAAGACAUGAAAGGAACUACACCAUCUUUGGGAUGUGAAAAUAAAGUAAAGAAGAUUUUAAGAUGAAGUAUAAUGGAUUGAAGUUCAACACUUAUAAGCUAGAUAUCCUAUCAAUCUCUUUCCAUUGAUACACUACAUUUAUUUUUUCUUCCCUCCUACCUUCUUUCUACGUAUUCUUUCUCUUUUUGAUGAACUCCAAUCUACAUUGCAUGAAAAUAGAGAACUCACUUUAUACCAUCUUUAAAAUAAGUACAAGCAUUUUCAACUUUUUCUUUUCACAAUGCCACUAUAUUGCUGAGCCACCUUACUCCUUUUUUGUCACUUCUAUGAUGAUCAUUAUAAGCUUAUGAAUAUUAGUUCCAAUGCCAUUACAUCUUCUUGUAUUAUUAAGACUUAUCUACAACAUCUUCAUACAUCUACAUCAUUUUUUCAAUAUACUUAAGAUUAGAAUAAAUUAUGAUUUCUAUAAUAAAGUGGCUAGGAUAAAUUAAAAUAUACUUAUAAUAUUUUUUUAAAUAAGACAAACAUUCUUGAGUGUUAAUUUUAUAACAUGAUAUUAAAGCAAAAUUAAGGUAGUUUUUAAGAUUGAUGAGCCUUAUUUCUAAUUUAAAAAAUAAAAUAAAAAAGUAUCAGAAGAGAUCAUAGAAAGUAGAGAGAAAUUUACAACCUAUAAAAUAGAAGAGUUGAGCAAUCUAGUUGAAGCUCAAAACUAUGUUGUUUGGAAGUUGAAGAUGACUACUAUCUUAAAGAGAAAGAAUCUAUAGAAUAUUAUAGAAACCAAAACAAUAGUAUCAUUUUUUUUCAUUACCAUAUUAGAAAAAUCUUAUACAGAAACUUAGCUUGAAAAAGCAAAGCAAAGAGUCCUAUCAGGUCUUACUAUGUCAUUUGCAAAUAGUUUUAGAUACGAUUUUUCAACACAACAACCAUGUAGAUUCAUAGAAUAUAAUUAUAAGAAUAUUUUAUAUAUGAGAUCAAUAAAAAAUUAUGUUAUUGAAUAAAAAACUUAACAAAAUGACAAUAAAAGAAAAAAAUGACAUUAAUACUUAUCUAAUUGAGGCGAUUAAUAUGAAGAAUCAACUAAAUUCAUGUAAUGAAGAAAUUACAAAUAUGAUUCUUGUAAACAUAGUCUUCAAAGGAAUUACCACAAAGCUACAAAAUGAUGAUCUAAGGUAUUACUUAUAUGUAAUAAUCCAUAUUUGAAGAUGUUAUGGAUAAGGUUUUCAUCAAAACUCAUUGCAUGGCUGUAAAAGAGCAAAAUUUGAAACAAAAAUAAGCCUCACUAGUACAAUUUCAACAAACAAACCAAGGAAGAUGUGGAUACAACUACUUUAUACAAGGAAGAGGAAAUUAAAGGAGAAGGAACUUAACUCAAGGAAUACUACAUCAUUUUUUCUUGCAUCACUUCUCGAGACUAAAACCUCACAUGAAUAACUAGCAUCUUUAGAAUAGACCUAGAGAAGCUUUAUACUUUACAAUAAGAUGAUUGCAAAUUCUUACAACUAGAUUUGAAUUUAAAAAAUAUAAUAUUAUUUUUUUAUUAUGUAUGUAGAAGUUCUAAUCGAAUUGCUUGAGACAAUCCACAAAAUCAACAUAAACUAUGUAGAAGGAAGUAUUUACAAAAAAAAUUAAAAAAAAAAUAUAAGUAAAUUCAAUUUUGUUCAUAAGAACUAGUAUGUUGACUUGGAAACCAACAACCAUUUUAUCAGAGAAAACUUUAACUUUUAAUUAGUAGAUGCACAAACUCCAAGUACAUUAAAGAAAAAAAACCCCGCAAAUGGCAGCUCCCACAAGAUUGAGGCUACUGGUUCAGCUCAUAUAAUUUCAGUAUGUGGUGCAAUAUAUCUUUAUGAUAUUUUGUAUAUCCCAGCCUUAGAUUGAAAUUUGAUUUUAGUAAAAACUUUCAUAGACCACAGCAAGUUAGUUAUGUUUACAAAAAAAUAUUGUUUGAUGUUGAAAUAAGAUAAAAAAUUAAGUGCCUCAGAAACAAGAAAUAAAGAAAACAUACUUUAUUAAUUCUAUAAUAAAACAUCAAAACCAUUUAUCAUUGAAGUAAAUUUUGUAAAAAAAAAAAAGAAGACAAUAUUAGACUAUAGCACAAAAGAUUUGGAUACUUAUAUUAUGCAACUUUACAACAUUUGUCAAAGGCUCACCAAGUACAAGAACUACCACUACUUCAUAUACUACAAGAAAUGUUUGAAGAUUGCCUUGCUAGAUGAUAUCAUUGAGAAAGGUCUUCAAAAAAUUUGUUUCAUUGAACAAAAAAGGUAAUACAAUUUAUAUACUCUAAUGUAGUAGGACCUAUAAGAAUACCAUCUUUGAGAAGCUUCAAAUACUUUGUAAUAUUCAUCGAUGACUACUCUCAAAAGAGUUGGAUAUACUUCUUACAAAAUAAGAGAGAAAUACACAAGAAAUUUAAGUAAUUAAAAAACAAGUAGAAAAAGAAAUAUGAAAUUAUAUAUUAUAUCUAGAGACAAAGAAAGGAAAAAAAAUAUUAAACACAAAAAUUAAAUGACUACUUAAUAAUACAAGGAAUCAAAAGGCAAUUCAACAUGGUACAUAUUCCACAGCAAAAUAGAAUUGAUGAAAGAAAAAACUAUAUUAUAGUUAAGAGAAUAUCCUUAAUAUCUAUUGCAUAUAAAUUAUUAGUCUAUUUAUAAAUAAAAACAAUCUACUAAACAAACUACUUAAUAAAUAUUAGUUCUAUUAGAACAAACUACAAAAUCAAUCCAAAAUAACUCUAUAGUAAGACCAAGAUAUAUGUAGACCACUUGAAAGUAUUUGGAUUGGUUGCCUAUUUUUACAUUUCAAAAAAAGAUAGACCUAAGUUGAACAGUAAGACAAUUAAAUGUAUAUUUUUGAAAUAUUAUAUAUAAAUCAAAGCCUAUAGAUUAUUUGAUUCUAUAUAUUGUAAAAUUUGAGUUAAUUGAGAUAUAGUAGUUGAUGAGCUCUUAAUAGGUUUUGAAUAUAUAAAAAAAAUUACAAUUCUAGUAAAAGAAGUAGAAAUAUUUUUUAAAAUAGAAUUAUUAAUUUGAGAUAAAAUUGAUAUAAUAAAUCAACAAAUAAAUAAUAAAGGCAAGUUAAUUAUGAGUCUUGAUUUUGAAGAAGAAUAUACAAGCUCUUCAAUAGAUACACUGUAAGCAGAUAUCCUAUUUGAAACUAUCUAUAGUAAUGAUUCUAAUGCACUUGGGAAAGCUCUUUAGCAAAUAAAUAUAGAACACAAUCAUCAGUGCAUAUACUCUACUUAAAAUAAAAAAUCUAAUAUAAGAUUCAAUGAUAAUUACAUGCUUACAUUUAAAAUAGAAUUAAAACUAAGGAAUUAUAAGGAAGCAAUAUAACAUAUUGGAUAACAAGAUGCAAUCAAAGAAGUAGAAUCUAUAUAAAAAAAUAAAAUUUGGAAUUUAAUAAAUAUACUUCAAGGAAAAAAUCUAGUUUGUGCUAAAUAGAUCUUUAAGACAAAAUUGAGAGUAAUUAGCAACAUUAAAAAACUUAAGGUCAAGAUUAUAGCUUAAGGCUUUGAAGAAGAGGAAAAAAUAGAUUUCUUCAAAAUCUUUUUCCAUGUGGUUAGAUGGACAAUUUUUAGAACAACCAUAGCAUUAGAAGCAAGAAAAAAUUAGAAACUACAAUAUUUAGAUGUUAAAACAACAUUUCUUCAUAGAAAGUUCAAAAAAGAAGUAUAUAUAUUCCUACUUCCAAGUUUUAAACAAAAAAGAAGUAAAGAAAAAGCUUAUAAAUUAGAAAAGGUACUAUAUGGGCUAUACAAUGCUUGUAGACCCUUGUAUGGAUGCAUUAAUAACUAUCUAUGAAAUCAAAAUCUAGAGAAGAAUAACAAAGAUUUUAAUAUAUACUUCAUAAUCUAAGAUACAAACCAUGCAAUAGUAUUGUUCUAUGUGGAUAAUAUAAUAGUUAUAAGAAAUAAUACAAUAUACAUUCAAGCACUCAAAAAAAGUCUAAUAAAUACUUUUGAAAUGAGAGAUUUUAGGGAGGCAAAACUUUACUUGGAAGUCAAACUAAAAUACACUAUUGAAGGGAUUUAUUUUUACUGGCAAAAUUACCUUCAGAAUAUUGUAGUUCCUUGAAUAGUCUGUAAAUUAAGAAAAUAUUUUAAAUAUUUCAAAAUUAAGAAAAUAUUUUAUAUUAUAGAAUAUUUUAUCUUUCAAAAGACAAAAGAUGACUUCUCAAAUUUACAGACAUUGAUUAGGCAAGAGAUAUCGAUUUUCAAAAAUUGAUAUUAAGGAUACUGUAUAAAAGCAUAUUGACUAGGAUUGGUAUAUGUAGGAUGAUGAAGUAAGCUUCAAACAUCAAUUGUGUUCUUAUUGAUAGAAGCAAAAUAUUGUGUUUUAACUGAAGUUGCUUGCAAUGUGACAUACUUUUACAGACUAUUCAAGGAACUUUAUUUAGAUGACAAAAAUCCCAUUCUACCACUAUAUAAUAACAUAAGCAUCAUUAAGGUGAAAAUCUAGUCAUGCAUUAGGGUACAAAAUACACAAAGCUAGACCAUCACUAUAUCAAAGACAAAGAACAAGAUGGAAUAAUUGAGCUACAAUAUACUCCUACAUAUUUGCAAUAUGCUGACAUUCUUAUGAAGCCUCUAGGACCAAUUGAAUUUGUUGAAAAUUAAAAAAACUAUAAUUGUGCACCUAAUUGUGGAAGGUAAGUAGAAAUAUAGCAACAAUUCUACCAAAUCAAAUAAAAAUCUCAAAUAAACUUUAAGUAAAGUUUAAUAAUCCUAAUCAAAUUUUGAACAAUUUAACAUAAAUUUAAAAGAAGUUAUAAAAGAAACACAAAGAAGUCCUAAACUAACCUCUAAGAAAAAUAACAAGAAAAAUUAAAAAAAAAAAAUCUUUAAAAAAUAUUAGAGAUAGAAAAUUUUAAAUAAAUAAUAAAAAAUCCUUCUAAAAUACUAAAAAUAAAAAUCAUAGGUAAAUCCUAAUCAAAUCUUAAUCUAAUUCCAAUUGUAAUCCUAAUAAAUUUUAACCAAAUUUUAGAUCAAAUCCUCAUUAAAAUCCUAAUUAAAUCUUAACCAAAUUUUAAAUCAAGUACUAAUUGAAAUUCUAAUUGAAUCUUAACCAAAUCCUAGGUCAAAUCUUAAUAAAAUCCUAAUAAAACCUAAAUCCUAGAUAAAUCUUAAACCAAACUUUAAGCAAAUCCUAAUCAAAUUCUAAAUCUUAAACAAUCUCUUAACAAAUCCUAUAAUAGAUUGAAAUCUCAAUAUCUAAUGAUCGAACUAUUGAUAUCAAUUCAAAAUUUGUGCACUUCUUAAUAUCUUAGUUUAAAACAAGCAUAUGAAAGAUGAAAUUGAUCGUACUUAUCAAUUAAGAUAUAUGCAAGAUAAUCCAAUUAGGUAUUGGGUGGCUUCCUACUCUAACCUCAACAUUAAACAUCCAAUGCCAAUAUCUCUUUCUUGAAUUAUUGAAUUACUCUUAAAUUUCACCCAAAUGUUGCAAAUUGAAUCUAGUAUCUAUAUAAAAAAAAUUCACUUCAAUCCAAUUGAAAAAUUACUAACGAUCUCAAAAAUACUCAUUAACCUUCAAACUGUAAUUUUUGAGGCGUCAAUCCACAAAAAUCUUUAUAUAUUUCAAUAUAAUUAUUUAAUUGACCUCAAAAUUUUCAUACACAUUUACAACUAACACACCAAUACAUCUCUCAAAUUUUAUCCAUAUAUAUACCACAAAACUCAAAAAAUCCUCAAAUUUGUAAACAAAUUUUUAUUUUUCAAACCCUCAACCUACUACGAACAUCACUAAUUUUAAAAAUCUCUCAAAAUAUCAGUAUUUAUUCAAAUGAUAUAAAAUCAAUGCCCAAAAAUCUCUCCAUAAGUCAGCCUUCAAAUUCCACCCUUUAAUCUACAUAAGAACCCCAAAACCGUUGUAUGGACAUAGUUUGAUUUCAAUCCUAGUUGAUAAUUGGUCCUCUCUAGGUAUCAAUUUUUGAUAAUUUGAGGAAAGUUUUGCUUUAACUUAUUUUUAAUUCUUUCUUCAAUAUUUCUAUAUCAAUCUCUUAUUUCAUUUACUUUGAUUUGGCUCAUUUAUGUCUCUACAAAAUAAAUAGAAUUUUCUCCUAUACAAGAUAAAAUUAAGACAAAUUUUUUUAUUACCUUUCUAUCAUUUAUCCUUAUUUUUUUAUUACAUCUUUCUAUUAGAAUCUACUAUAAUAACAUCCAUAUUUCUAUUUUUCACUAUAUAAUUUUCUUAUCAUAUAUAUAUAUAUAUAUAUAUAUAUAUAUAUAUAUCUUAAUUUUUACAUAAAUUUUAAUUUUUUAAAAUUUUGUACCUUAAUAUUUUUAGACAAGAUUCCUAUAUUCUUAUCAAGACUCAAAGAUACCUAUAUUAUAACCUCAAUGCACUACAUGGAAGUUUUGAACAAAAAGUCUUGACAAAAUUCCAUCUUUUAAUAUGGAAGUUGAAUGACCUUUUGACAAAGAUACAACCAAUUCUACAAAGAAUUUAAUAUCUUCAUUACACUAGCUCCAUAAUACAAGCAUCAACAAUCAAGAUAAUAAUAUGUCAAAUAUUGAUGCACAAACUUGUUAAAGGAUCAAUAAUACAAUCUAAAUUACAAUAAGUAUUACUUGCAUCUAAAUAAAGUAAUAUAGCUAAAAAAACUUAAUUGAUUAUAUAAGAUAAAAUAGAAUCAAAAAAAGAUAAGACAAAGAAAAUGAAAAACAACUUAUUAGUAAUAAGUUCUUUAUUAUAUACUUGAAUUACUCCAUGGCAUUAAGUAGAACAAACCAAAAAUACACUAUUAAGAAAAUCACAUCAUUGAUGUAGAUUGAAAAGAUAUAUUCACAAAUCCCAAUGUGCAUUACUUAAAAAGGUGGAACUUAAUUUGUGCAAUCUUCAAAAUAAGCACAAGCACUUUCUGUUUUUGUUUUGUACAAUACUACUAUGCCAUUAAGCCACCUUCCUUGUUUUGCAUCACUUCUACAAUAAGUUAUCUUAAACUUCUCAACAACAAAUCCAAUGCCAUUUUAUCUUCUUAUAUCAACAUGACUUUUUUUACAUCAUCUUUAUAUAUCUACAUUACUCUUUCAUUGUGGUGUAUCAAUGGAAAGAGAUUGAUAGGAUAUCUAGCUUAUAAGUGUUGAACUUCAAUCCAUUAUACUUCAUCUUAAAAUCUUCUUUACUUUAUUUUCACAUCCCAAAGAUGGUGUAGUUCCUUUCAUGUCUUAAAAAACUCUUAUAUAAUCUUUUAUAGUAUUUGUGCAUAUUUAUUAAGAAACUUUUAAGGAUUGAAACACACUUAUUUUCAACAAUUUUUCUUAAUAUAUAAUUUGUAAUCAAGGUUCACUUUUUCUAUCUAAUGAUGUCUCUUAUUUUGCAUCAACUUUUUUUUCUAAAUCGUUGGAUAUUAUUUCAAUGUGCUCAAAGCAAUUAGUAUUCUAUAGACACGUUAGAUAUUUAUUAGAAUUAAGGGCAAUUGCAAGGACGAUGCUAGCAUUCAUAAAGCACAAUCAUACUAUAAAGGUUGUGUUAAAUUGGAAUACAUAGUCUUUAAUUCUGGCCUCAAAGCUCAAAUAUGCCUUGUUACUAUCUAUUUAAAUUAUACAUAGAGUAAGCAUAGCAAAAUAGAUUUUGUUCUUUCUUUCUUUCUUCAUUUUUUAUUUUUUUUUAUUUUUUUAUUUUUUUAUUUUUCUUCUUCUUUCUUCUUUUAAAAGCUAUCAAGAAAUUUAGAAAAUUUCUUAUAGAUGACUAUUAGAUUGAUGCUAUAGUAGCUUUGAUUUAUUACUCUAAGACUUAAUUAGUGUGUAUAUGCAAUGUUUUCGUACUAUAAUUACUUAUAGUAUGUAAAAAUUAAUUAAGUCAUAUAAUAUGUUCAUAAGUCUUGGUAUAUGUUAGAAUGGUUAAUAGGUUAAUUUAAAUAAAGUGGAUAUAAAAAACUUUAUUUUAAGUUUUAUCUAUUUUGAUUAUAGCAUUUAAAAAAAUUAUAAGACCUAAGUAUUUAGUGUGAAACCUUGAGAGGAGAUUAGAGCCUAAAGAUGAAAAUCUUAACUAGUAGGAGGCUUAUUGGAAGGAAUGAAAGCAAGGCAUGGUUGAAUGAAGGCAAGGAAUGGAGAUCUUCAUUCCUAUUGGUCGAAGGCCAUGCCCGAUGGGCUUCAAGGGGGCUGAUGAGGCCUUAUUAGGGAUUAGGGUUUCUCUUUUGAAGUCAUUUGAGCUUUAAAGGCUAGAAACAUCAAUUUUAGGAUUUCACAUACAAAUUGGGUGCAAAUUUUGUGUGAUUUGGAGUUUUCAUGAAGGAGUUAUUGACGGUCAAAGUUGAGGUGUCAAUUUCAUACCAAUUGUCACUCUUUGGGGCAUAAAAUACGUUUACGGAGAGCAAUGAAAGAUUGGCGACCAGGAUUGGAGAGAAGACUUUUUUGACUACACUUUUCAUAUACUAUUUGAUGAAUUUGGAGUUUGAAUGAAGAAGUUAUAGAGGGUUGAAGUCAGCACAUCCAAAUCAAAGGCAGUAAGUAAGUGAUUUUAUUCAUAGUAAUGGUUGGAGCCAUAUCUUGAGUUUCUAGAUGAAUUUUGGACUCAAACCUUUUGGAGAAAGUAGAUUUUUGUGUCAAGAAGCUAUACAUACAAAUUUUGUGGCAUUUGAGUGCUUAAUUUGUGAGAUAUGAAGAAAAUUACACGAGAGUGUAUAAAAACUAGGGUUUGAAGCUACUAUUAGGGUUUUGGUGAUAUCUUAAGAUCCGCAUCAAAUUUGUAGUUGAAAUUUGUUGUAGUAGUUUUUAGAAGUACAUCACUACUUCUUGUAAAACUUGAGUGUAUUUGAAUGGUCUGAUUGAAAGAUAUGAGUUUUUGAAGUUCAGAAAUAAUACCCCAUAAGGAUAUACAAGGAUUUAGAGUUUUUUUUGUUUUUAUCAUAUUUUGGAUAUUUUGGGAACUUAAGACUAUAUAUUCGGUGUAAUUUCUCCUAAAAGUAUUAUAUAUAUAUAUGUAUAUAUACAAACUUAGUCUUCCUUAUCUCAAGACUUGAUUGAGCAAUUAGUGGUAGUUAGGAGCCCAGUGCUUUCUUGAGACAAACUCUUUCUAUCCCGAAAACAUCUAGAAGAUUUUGAUGAUAUUUAAAGAUAUCUUUUAAUAUAUAGCUAAUAAGAAGAACUCAAUUCUAGCAAAGGUAUAUUCUUAUGAUUUUGUUAAAAAGAUUACAAAGAUUUGAUUAAAAAAUGACAAAUGAAGAAGAACACAAUAUUAUUAUGAUAUUACAGAUAUGAUCACUUUCAAGGAAUAACAUAGAUAUUUAACAUAAGUUUUUAUAUCCUUCAAAAUCAAUAUUGAUAUCAAAAAAGUGUAUAUCAUGAUAUCUAUUAAUUUUUAAAAUUUUUUUCUUUCCUGAUAAAUUGAAUCAAUUAUUUGUACAAAUAGAAUUUAUUAGAAGAAGUAAUAAAAAAUAUCAAAUUUGUUUCUACAUCAAGUUCUUCAACAUUUACUUUAUAAAAUUUAAACAAUAUAAUUUUUUCUUGCAUUUUAAUCUUGAUAAUUGGGUUGCCACAAAAGUUGAUAUUGGAUGAAAUCAAGUCCAAAAUGUCCAUCUUUGCUUUACUCCCUCUUGAAAUACAUUUGCAAGGGCAAUGUUGUGGUAGAAAAGAAACCUCUUUAUGAAAUGAUACUUUAUUUCUCUUUUGUGCAUAAUUAAUUCAUGAAGCCAAUUGAGACUUGUUACUUUUGUCUUGCCGCAUCUUGAGUAUUUGUAGAAAAAAAAGAGAAAGUUUUAGUGAUUAAUUUUUUUUAAAAAAUGAUUUUUGUGUUGGUGGAAGAGAGAAUUUAGAUGUAGAAGAGAAGUGGGUGUAAUGACAAUGAUUAAUAAGUAGAUGGUGAUUGAAUUGGAGCAAGGAUUGAAUUGCUUGGAGAAUGGAAUUAUAAAGCUAAAGAAUCUGUAGGAAGGUGUUUCCAAAAAAUAAUUUAGCUUUAAAGAAUACAUGGUUUUUUACAUAUAUUUUUUUAAUAAUUAUCAUUGUCUUUAUGGUUUAGGUUUUGGAAAUUAAGACUAUGUGAGGAUAAAGCUGGGUUGUAGAAUGUGAAUGUUUUGAUUUUAGUGCUUUUUCUAAAUAUUUUAUUUUUACAACUUUGUGGUUUUAGCCAUGACUUCAAACCCCUCAAUGUCUAAUUUGUUAUUGUUAGUUUCUUCUUUAUCAUUUGCUCCAAUAUUAUUGUACUCCUCUAAUAACAAAUUGACUACAAAGUUGAUUGUAUAAUGAGGCUUGGUAGUUGGCUUUUUUCUUAAGAGCUUCUUCAUCUUCUCAAAAUGGAGACAACUUUUAUUGAGCUUUUACUUGAUAGUGACUACUACCUUCUUUUUGUCGCCUUUGGUGACACCAUAUCCUAUUUGCAUAGAUUCUUCUAGUGUUUUUAGAAGCUUUGCCUUGUAACUUUGAAGUUGCCCUCUCAUGGCCUUUUGAUUAAGAUAGAGGCGUAUUCAACUCACAGAGCUAAGCACUAUUAUAAAUGUACAAGAACUUGUUCUUUUAAUCAAUGGAGCAACACUAAUCUUUGUUGAUGUUGAUGCCAAAUAUGCUAUAAAAGUUCUUAACUUCAAGCCAAAAGAAAAUGUUGAAAAAGUCAUUGCUUAAUAGAUUGGCCUUUCUCUAGUGCAAUGGAGGUAGAUAUAGUAGACAUUAAAUGGACAUUGAUUAAACAAGACAUGGUGUUAAGUAUAUGAAAAAAAAAAAAAAAAAAAAAAAAAAUCAAAACAACCACAAUGGCAAUAGCUUUGCCAAAGACAUUAGGCUAAAGAAACACAAGUUUGGAUACUAAUGCAUCUAGUGUUUUCUUGCAAACAAUUAACUCAAAUUAUGUUUAAAAUUUUAAAUGUGUCAAAUUAAAAAUCCCAAAUUUAAAUUGUUUAACAAUUAAAAUCAGCAAGGAUAUAUCCAUGCAUAACAGCAACAUUCCUAAUGUGAUAUAAACUAAUACCCAAUUAGUCAAGGGCUUAUGUUAAAUAUGGACCAAUACCAAUACCAGCAUUAACCUAAAACAUAAUACGAGCUCACAUAAUUCUGGGAUUUUUCAGUAUGACCACCCAGGCUCAGGUGCUACUCAGACAACACAGCCAUAAUGACAGUGACGACAUUCAAAUGCAACAAGGUCGCGACACAUAAUCGAGUGCUAGAGAUCGUUGUACAAUUGAAAUCCAGUUAACACUUUGUGUUCAAAGAAUCAUCAGAUACAUGGGCUUUCAUGCUUGCAAUAUCGACUGAUCUACCCCACGACGGUGAGAGACGCGGCGCGCCUAACAUGGAUCUACAGCAGCUAUACAAUCCUUACGCCGUGUCGACAACACGAGGACGACAGAGUUCUACUGACCAUGACAACACUCAGCAACCGCUUUGCCGAGGUACGAUAUGUUGUGGGCAGCUUUCACGAUUAAGUACACUAUUUAGGACCCUCCAAAUGCGGGGGUACACUCAUAUCUGCAUUCUACCAUUCAAGCGGCUGCUGCAAUCUUCUCGUCAAUAACUUCCGCGGACGGGUUCGUGCACAUGAGGUUGCGGUCUCCAUACACGUUGUCCACACGCGAUGUCGUGGGCCAGAACUUCGAUGCUCGCACCCACGAUGCGGGGAAUGCUGCAACCUCCCUCGAGUAGGACUUGGUCCAGUCGUCGGCCAUCACAACCGAUGCUGGAUGAGGGGCACCCUUCAGGACGUUGUCCUCGCGGCUGGCCUCUCCGUUCUCAAUUGCUGCGAUUUCCUCUCUAAUGGAGAUCAAGGCGUCGCAGAACCGAUCCAGCUCGGCCUUGCUCUCGCUCUCCGUCGGCUCAAUCAUGAGCGUGCCGGACACAGGCCACGACAUGGUUGGCGCAUGGUAACCGUAGUCCAUCAGGCGCUUCGCCACAUCCUCUGCCUCGAUUCCAGCAGUUUCCUGUGAUACACACGCAACAUAAUCAGCAGCUCAGUAACUAUGAACCCUAAACCUCCCAUUCCUCAUGUUUCAUAUCCAGGCAAAAUUUCACUUCACUACUCAGGGCUUCUCGGCAUUCAGUACCUUGAACUUCCUCAAGUCGAUGAUGAACUCGUGAGCACACGUUCCGUUCACGCCCCGGAACAGAACUGGAUAAUGGUUCUGCACGCAAGCCACAUCAUGUCGGUCAGAUACACCACGGUAACACAGUGACAACGACUGCUGAAUCCAUGUUGUGCCCAAUAUUCACAAAAACCAAUAAAAACAAAAAAAAACAAAAACAAAAACAAAGACCCGUCGCUGAGUGUUGAAUCAUCCUAUCCACCAACCUCCAAACGCUUGGCCAUGUAGUUCGCGUUCAAGAUCGCGAGCUUGGAGGCAUCCGUCAAACCCUUGUUCCCCAUCAUCGCGAUGUAGCUGUAAGAAAUUGGCAAGAUCAGUGCUGAUCCGUAAGGUGCAGCAGAAAUGGGCCCCAAUGGUUGAGUGUUGGCCGGCCUUGGGAAUCCUCCGGUGCCAACCUGCAUUUCGAUACUUAAUCGUCAGAGGUCGUUCUGAAAACCGCGCUGCCGUCACACAAUCCAGUCAUUCCAUCCCAAUCGACUCUCCAGACUCGACACCAAAAAUUACAAAUCCCUCGCACACAAAGAACUCGGGUUUUUGCAGCAAGCCAGGAUUUCCUUACCACAGGGUGUGAUGGGAGGAAGGGAGCCAAAUGCUUCUUCACUCCGAUGGGUCCCAUUCCGGGGCCACCUCCUCCAUGAGGAAUGCAGAACGUCUUGUGCAAGUUCAGAUGGCACACGUCUGCUCCGAUGUGACCAGGACUGGUAAGCCCCACCUGAGCGUUCAUGUUGGCACCGUCCAUGUACACUUGUCCACCGUAUUGAUGGAUGAUGUUGCAGAUCUCAUCAAUGCCCUCCUCGUACACACCGUGCGUCGAAGGAUAAGUCACCUGUUCAAGGGUCAAGCCAUCAACCUUGUGGGUCAUCUGCACUAUUGACAAAGACGACAGAUCCAAGAAACCGUGUGCCCUUCAGUUCCGUCACUUCAACCUCGACACAGCUCUCAACAGCAGGCUAAUCUACCUCCCCACCGGGCCAGCAAUGCCGAUUUCUCUCCACCACGGGCUCCGAGCAUUGUCCAAGCCACACUCACUGUUCGUGACACCCAGUCACUUCGACCCAAUGCAAACACACAGACUACAACCUUUCCAGCAGCCCUGAUGCUGCUCGUCUUAUCUACACAUUCCAUUCCCCUAUCCAACCGAAAUCCCGAGUCAAGCUCCGUCUCUUCCCACCAACAUCGGUUGAUACUCACCAUCAGAGCGGACAGAUUGUCCUUGUGCUUCUCUGCUGCCUUCCUCAAUUCGGCAAUAUCCACGUUCCCGUGUUUGUCAGUUCCCACAGUCACAAUUCUCAUCCCGCACAUGGCUGCACUUGCAGGGUUCGUUCCAUGAGCCGAAACUGGAAUGAUGCACACGUCACGAUGCGCGUCUCCUCGAGCCUGAGGGCAAUCACAGCUGCGCAAGUCAGACUUUGCCUCUAAGAAAUUGCCACUUCCUGAGUCCCACAAUACCAUCCCAUCCCCGACCCCACAGUGAGCGUAUCCAAACUUAAUUGCAACACUCCCAACACCGAACAGCAGGUCACGCCGACGAUCUUACAAGGUGGUAGGCACGGAUGACCAUCAGCCCUGCGUACUCGCCAGCAGCACCGGCGUUGGGCUGCAGGGACAUAGAAUCAAACCCCGUGAUCUCACACAGCAGGUCACCCAGUUCCUUGAACAUUUCCUGCACAACGGAUUCAAGUCAGUCCCCUCCUGUGUCCGGCCCCUGAAAGACGAUCAUCGAUCCAGCAGCGGUAUUCAACAAGCGGUCGCCCGUGGAUGAUCCACUGCAUCGACACAGAAAUAACCACCACUCCCUCACGCCAGACAACGUACCUGGUAUCCUUGGGCCUGAUCCUCCGGGGCAAACGGAUGCAGGUUGGCCAUUUCGGGCCAUGUAAUUGGUAUCAUUUCGGUGGUAGCGUUCAACUUCAUCGUGCACGAGCCCAACGGAAUCAUGCUGUGGACCAACGACAGAUCCUUCGCCUGCAACCUGUGAAGAUAUCGGAGCAGCUCGUGCUCCGAGUGAUACUGGUUGAACACCGGGUGAGUCAGGAAUGGGGUGUCCCUCUUCAGGCUGGACGGAAGGCGGCUCUCCACCUCCCCUGCCAGUUGCUCGGCAGUAAACCCAACCUGGACCCAAUGAAACAUCUAAACUCAGACAUGUGGUGCAACCAGACUCCAGUAAUGAGAACAAAAAGAAGGGAACCCAACAGGCACACAUCGCCGUAUCAACCAAUCACUCCCUUCAAGCAAGGUGUAGGGGACAUUCCACAAUGAUGUGCACUCACGUUCUUGCCUCCACCGAAAAUUUUGAACAAAGUGUUCACGUCCCCAAUUGUCGUGGUCUCGUCAAAAGAUAGCGUGACCUGUGCAUCCGUAACCGGCAGCUAAACGUCAGAACAACCAGCAUACAUAUCACCUCCGUGUGGUUACCCCGAAACAACCGGUUGCAGAAAAUUGCGACCAGAUACGGCUUUCGAUCAACUCACCGAGCUCGAGUCCAACUGUCUCAAGUUCACACCGUGUGCAACUGCGUCCUUCAUAACCUUCUCCACCUGCCCUUCACCAACUGUCACCUUCACUGUGUCAAAGAAUGGUGCGGAUCCGGUUUGGAAUCCCAACUUGCUCACUCCAGCGCUGAAUACUGCGGCCAAUCCAUGAACUCGGUUCGCAAUCGUCUUCAAACCCUCAGGGCCAUGAUAUACGGCGUACAUGGCUGCCAUGUUCGCCAACAAAGCCUGUCAACAGUUCCAAUUUCGUCAGACAUCCCUCCAUGGCGAGAUUUAUCAAUCAGCGACAACCAAAACCAGUUGCCGGAACAUGAAUUGGUGGAGCACGCAGCAAGGAACGCGGUGAAUUCCCCUUAUAAUCGACAUAUCAAGCCAAUUCGUGUUGCGCGCAACAGAUUCCUCGUGCAUUUCAGCUAUCAAGAAACCUCUCCUCCUCUCCUCUCCUCUCCCAAAAACCUACCUGAGCGGUACAGAUGUUGCUGGUCGCCUUGUCACGACGAAUGUGCUGCUCCCGAGUCUGCAUGGCCAUCCGGAGGCAUGGCUUGCCAGUGGCGUCAAUGCUCAUACCGAUGAUACGCCCGGGCAUGAGACGCUUGUACUCCUGGGAGGUUGCCAGAAACGCGGCGUGCGGCCCUCCGUAGCCCAUUGGAACUCCAAACCUCUGAGCGGAUCCGACUACCAUGUCCGCUCCCAGCUCACCGGGAGGGGUCAGCACCGUAAGAGACAACAAAUCGGUCGCCAUCACCACCUUCACUCCAUGAGCAUGGGCGUUCUUGACGAAGUCUGAGUAGUCGUUCACCGACCCGUCCGUGGCCGGGUACUGCACCAGCACUCCGCUCACGUCCUUGCUGCUGUAGUCGAACUUCUUGUAAUCCGCCACCACAACAUUCAAGCCCAGCCCGUCUGCUCGGGUCUUGCACACCUCAAUUGUCUGGGGAUGGCAGUUGUCCGCCACCAAGAACGUCUUCUUCCUGCCGCGGGCAAUGUUGCUACACAUUGUCAUGGCCUCCGCCGCAGCGGUACCCUCGUCCAGCAACGACGCGUUGGACAUGGGCAUACCUGUGAGAUCCGUGAUCAUGGUUUGGAAGUUCAGAAGCGACUCCAGCCUCCCCUGCGCGAUCUCUGCCUGGUAGGGCGUGUACUGGGUAUACCAUCCGGGGUUCUCCAAGAUGUUGCGAAGAAUCACGGUGGGGACGUGCGUGUCGUGGUACCCCAUUCCGAUGAAGGACCUCAUCACCUUGUUCUUGGACGCCAGCGACUUGAAAUGCGCCAACAGCUCGCUCUCCGUCAACCCCUCCGCGUACUUGCUCAGCUUCAGGUCGGGCCUGCGGAUGGACUUCGGCACGGUGGCGUCGAUCAUGGCGUCCAUGUCCUCGAAUCCGCACAUCCCAGCCAUUGCCUUCUGCUCUUCCAGGGUAGCGCUGUUGUGACGCCUCUGGAACGUGUCGCUGGGCUUCAAAGCCUCCACGGAAAUGGCCCUCACCCCGAGCGGAAGCUGCACCACUCCAUUCCCGCUACCACGCAGCAGCGAAGCGCCGAAUCCCCGACGCGUCUCGUUGCCAGCGGCAGCUCGCAACGCAGCGCCAGAACGCACAGGCGCAGACGGCGCAGCUGCCCGCCGCACCGCCUGCUGCACCAGCCGCUUCACCACCUGCUGCUUCGCCCGCUCCAUGUCGACCUCACCUCUUCCCUCGGCUUCAAAUUAUGAAUGACGGCAAUGGAAGUAGUAGAGAGGACGGAAAGCCCUCGAUCGUGUACCUCCACAGUAACUAAGACUACUAAACAGAACGGGUGUCGGGGGUCAGUAUUGUAUAUACAAUUGCACCGCUCAAACUAGCAAUUGCUGGGCAGAUGCGAGCGAAUGAAGGGCUGCUCUGCGCCGUGUGUCUGUGGCAGAGAGUGCCUUUCAGUCUUGUUAUCGUUUAACAUACGGAUCUGGUCCCGCUUUCUUAUUAAUGUCCUGUUUUGCGUGGACUGGUGAGGAAGAUGGGAUGGAUGCGUGAUCCUGCUUGCUACCGCUCAAUCGAUCGGGAGUGGUGUGUGGAUCUGCUGCUCCGGCAUUGCAGGAGGUUGUCCCCUACCAUUGGUCAGGUCGGCUUGGUUCCUGGGCUGGGUUCUUGCGGUGUUGCUCUUGCACACCGUGAUUUCUCCCCAGCUUGUCGCAUUGAGCCGUGCCGUGCCCUGGCUCGGUAAUUUAGGAUAACGUGUGUGCGAUCAUGCUGUGUGCGGAUCCUUCUUAAAUGACCGAUGCCGUUUCAAGCCACCCAUUCCUGUUCCAUAACCGUUCGUACUAUUACCCUGCAAUUGUUUUAGGUCUGCAUCAACUUUCGACAAGCUCUUGUUGAUUCGGUGAGUUUCGAUGGUGAUUUCACCGGAUGUGUUUUUUAACCUUCGACAUCGUCCAGUAUUCGAAGAGAAAUUAGUCUCUGAGAGGGUAGAUUUGUGUAGCUGUUUUAAGUUGCUGCCAAACUUUGACUUUACCUGUAUGGCAGUUAAGAGGAAUUAAGUAUCAAUCAUUUUUGGUUUGAGGGAGAGGUAAGAUAUUUUCCUGGAGGGCUGUGUGGGAAAAAGGACUGAUUUGAAGUUGAAGAUUAAUGUUGCUUAAUAUUGUGUGGCUGUAGAACAGUGGCAUUGCUGACAUCCCCAUCACCAUGUAAAAAACUGCCUCCUGUGGAGGUCUGGUACCACAGCCUAAGCUUUGUGACAUGCCAUAUGGGCAGCCAUGAAUGACAACUGGUUGCUUUUGAUUCCAAAUCUCAUUCCUUUUCCCAGUACAUUAUCCCACUUGGGUUCAUGCUGUUCAUGAACAUACAUCACAUUUGAGGGUGAGACUUAAAAAUCUGAUGACUGAUGGCCCUUUCUGCCACUAGUUCACAGAGAUGCAGAAUAUUUGAACUCCAAACUGGGAUGAAGAUUUUGGAGGUUUAAUGCACCAAUAAAGUUAAGAUGGAUUUUGGGUUUGCCACAUGUGACUUGCUUGAUCACAGAACAUGCAGGGAAAAUGGAAUGGUAAUAAUAGUGUUGUCCCCACUAAUUCUAGUGAAGUGAGCUGCUCAGAUCUGUAUAUACUAUUAUUCUAGAUUAUUGGCAAGGUGUAACCAGAGGUUUUCUAGUUUCUUGUCAUGCAUUAUUCUCUAGUGAUAAUGUAUUUUAUGUUAUGCUCUUUGUAAGCUGUUACUAUUUUUCUUGUGGCUUUGUGGUUGUAAACUAGCACAAAUGGAGUAUUAUUAAGUACAUAUAUAUAUAUAUAUAUAUGUCUAGGAGGUCUUUGGCUUUUUGUAUGGGGACUCAGAUGAUGCAACAUGGCAUGUGCAUGAAUCUGUAAAUUGCAGGCAGGUCAUUUCCUCCUGAUGAAAGUGGUGAUGACUAUGAUGACAAGCUUUUUACACAGUGGCCUUUAAUUCCAAUGGUCCUCAUCUACUCAAGCUUUACUUCAGUCCUUUUUGAUCUCUGGACCUCAUCACAACAGAGAGUGCUACAGGGUAGAAUUUCUCCCUCAUCCUGCAUUUGUAUGACACCAGUUGUUUGACAACCACAUCUUAGAAUUCAAAUGAGAAUCUAAUGUGAAAGAUAAGGUUUACCCACCUUGUCAUUGCAUAGGGAUUCUGUCAAGUUGAUUACAUAGUCUACCAACUUACUUUUGAAAUAAUAUAAUAUAAACUGAUCAGUAGCAUCGGCCAUACAAGGUAGAUUAUUCUUCACUUUUUGUAAUAAUUACCCAUUGAGAAAAAUUACUCUUGAAAAUGUAAUCAAGGCUAAGGGAGUAAACUCAAAAAAAUAUGAUAAGGGUUUAACAUAGUAUAAAAUAAGGGUUAAAGUAACAAGCAACUCCAGUCGAACUACUCCGAUUAGAGAUCGGAGAGCAGAGCCCCUCCAGUUCCAAACAUCGUCGCUGGUAAUCCACAGUAAAUCCGAUCUGAUUAACAGACUUUUGUUGCAGAGCAUCAGGAUGAAGAUCUCUCAAGAUAGUCAGUCAAGUUCGUGGUCAGUGCACGGAGAGGACGGUGGCGAAGGGAAUCGUGCCAAUGAGCCACCAAAUCUCGUUCACCUCUGGGAAGCAAAAAAAUACGAGAACGAAGGAGCGAUUCUAUAGAAAGCCGAUGCAAGGAAAAGGCGACGACGAAGGCUGCUGCGCCAAUCAUCUGGGGCUCCGAUCGGAGCAUGGAACGGAUCUCAGAUCCAGUGGCAUCGAGCGGAAUUCCUUCCACGACGCUUCCAACAGAUCAACCAGGGAAUCUCCGAUGCACCAGGUGCUUUCGACACAUUAUUAUUGGAUCGGAACGCUGGCCUACUGGUCAUAAUUUACCCCAUUUCGCUCAAUUAUUCUAAACUACAACAGCGGCCACUCACAGUUUCCUAAAACGACAAAGAACCCAGUCUCACAGCAGAAGCCAAGAAUCUUCCUGAGGCACAUGAGCCAGGGUGCUACACCGCUUGCUGAUGUCGAGAUAUAAUUAGAACUCUCAACGAACUGGCUCCAAUCGUUCGGAACUGUGCCUUUCGACGGCUCUGAACAUUUGAACGGCAUCACCCGACCCUCAAGCGCUGGGGAAGUUCUCAACUGCAGGCGGAGGGUCACAAACCUAGAUGAGCUGACCACACGCUGUGGCAUUGUCCGGGUUAUUUUGCGGGCAUUCUAGGGGCGAGGACCUGAGAAGAAACUGGUCACUGGUGUACAGCUUCAGUCGUUGUGCCAUGACGAGACCGUGGGCUGGAUUGCCGAGGUCUCGGUCGAGUAGCCUACGCAGCGCCAUCUCUAGUUGAGAAUGGGCACCAUUCGUGCUCUCGACCGUUGCGGGUGCUCAUGUGAAGCAGGAAUCUAGACACACGAGCAGUUUCGGCACGCACUUUUGUGUGUGUGUGCGUGUGUGUAUAUAUAAAAGUGUGAGUUGCACUCUGCAGUGAAGGGAAUCCGCAUGCAUUGUGAGCUUCUGCUUGUUUGUUAUUGCCUUUGGAUGUUUGUCAUUGCCUCUGCUUAUUAAUUGCAUUUUCUUGUUUUGCUACCGCCGCUACCUGUGUGUUACUACUUUUUUUCUGUUGCUGUUGGUUGUUUUAUGACACAGUUCAGCUGUCGGUCCUUGCAAUGUCGGUAUUCAGGGCCGAUCUUCGUCAUUGCAAAGGUGUCAUCGCGGAUAGCUGGUGGUUGCACAUCAUCUAUCAUUCUUUCCCUUCUGUUCUUACAUUUUUAUUUUUUGAGACUUUUUGUAUUAUAGCAUAUUUUAGAAGGAACUUCUCCUUCAUCUUGCAAUUUCUUGUCGAUGUUAGUUUUUGAAAAGCCAGAUACAAUGGAUUUUGAAACAAAUGAAAUUAAUUUUGAAAAUUUGUGAAAUAAGUGUACUUUAAAACUGACUGUUAUAUUUACUCAGACGAUAUGAAAUUACUCAUUAGUUCACGUAAUAAUCCAACGCCAUGUUUAUUUAGUUUUUGAAUUCCAGAUAUAUAUAUAUAUAUAUAUAUAUACAUGAAAAUUUAUACUUUUUUUGAAGUUUUGGAGGUUUAAAUUUUAAAAAUUAGUAUAGACAUUGACAUGGAUUGAUUGUCUUAGUUUAUCUCAAUUGAGAAAACAAAUUAGCUAAGGAAGGAAGAAACAAAAUUUUGUGCAAAUAGAAGCAUAAUAAUAAAACAUGAUACAUAUUAUCUUUCAUGGUCAUUGUAAAGUACAAAAAACAAACAAACAAACAAACAAACAAACAAAUCAAAACAAAAAAAAUUGUCAAAUGUAAGAAAUUAAGUAAAGCAAUAAAAUAUAAAAGUACUAUAGAAUAGCUCAAAGAGUAUUAUGAGAAGAAAAAAUCACGUUAAAAAAAUGCUUUUGUAAAAUUAGUUAGAUUUUAAACACCAAAUAUUUGAAAUAAUUUGUAGAAAAAGUGUACCAUAUUUUAAUCAUAAUGUAGAAGAAAAUAGUAUAAGUUGAUUGUAGUAAUAAAGACCAAACUCCAUAUUUACACAAAAACUCUGAAUUAAUAUUGAUCAAAUAUGAAAUCUUAAAGAUAUUUUAAAUAAGGUAAAAAAAAAUCCAAAUAAAUAAAUAAAUAAAAAAUAUAUUUAAAAAAUGUAAUUUUUAAUGUUUUUCCUUAUUAUGUUCUUUUAAGACAUUUAUUUAGUUAGGAUAUGUAAAAGAAUAUACAUAUGUAUGUAUUUUUUUUUCUUAAUUUGUGACAUCCUCAAAGUGUUGAUGUUAGAAUUUAAAGUAGCAUUUGAAAGAAAGAUAAUAAAUUUAUUCUACAUUAAAACAUAUUAUAGAAUCACCAAAAUAAAUAAAUGAAUAAAUAAAAUGUAUAUUAUCAAAAAUGAAUACCUUGUAUAUAAUGUUGGUUACAAUUAAAAAAAUUAAAAAUAACUUAAUGAUUAAUUUAAUCCAAUUACACAGAUAUAUGUUUUUUUGUCUAUAAUAUAAAUUUUUAUAAAUUCAAAUUAAUUUAUUGCAAAAAAAAUUCUAUAUGGUACUUGACUACCUAUAAUAAAAUACAACAUCAACAAUGCCUAACAUUAUAUGCAAUUACAUCAUUUUAAAACGUUGUUCCAACAAGUUCUAAAUGAUCUAAUGUAAAUAAAUGCAACUUGAUUUAAAUUAUUAAUUGCCAUCAAAUUAACAAUCAAUGGCUAUUUUCUAUCACUAUUUAAUUUGAAGACUUAUCAAUAAGAUAAGUAAGACCAAAAUCUAUGUUAAAAUGAAUAGUUUGAGAGAUUUGUAAUUUAAAAAGUUUUUAUUUUUUAUUUAAAAUAAAUAAAUAAAUAAAAAUUUAAGCAACAAAUGUCACCUUUUAGUUCUAUUCUUUAUAAAACAUGCCAUUAAAUCUUCUAAAAAAAAAUACUUUAUUUAUAUAUGUAUAAAUAUAUCUAUAUCUAUAUAUAUAUAUAUAUAUAUACAUACAUAUACUAGAAGAUUUAUUUUAUAUUUAUAUAUAUAUAUAUAUAAUAAUUAUUUAAAAUAAAAAUAUUAUAUAUAUAUUUAAAAUAAAUAAAGAUGUAUUUUAGUAUAAAAGUAGAUUUUAUAUUACUAAUUUGCUUUAUAUCUACUUAGACAAUACUUUUGAAAAGAAUUCACAAAAUUAAGACUUUAAUCAAAAUAUUUAUAAGAUUAUAUUAAAUCUUUAAUUUACGCAAAAAUUAAGGAAUAUUUUUUUGAAAAAUCAAAAAUAAAAGAUGCUUAGAUAUCAUAGGUCUAAAAGUAGGAAUGAAAGUGUUGUUGGUCAACUAGUUGAUUAGGAUAUUAUGUCUUUAUAAAUCAAAUAUAUUUUAUAUUAUGAGGCAUAAAUUGAUGUUUAAAAAGUCAAUUAUUUAAAAAAAAAAAAAAAAUGAUAAAUUUUAAUCAGAUUCUUACUACCAAUUAAAAAUUAAAAAUUAAUUACAAAAGUUGGAAAUAGAUUUAAAAAACACAUACCGAGAUAAUUGACUUUGUAUCAAGGAUAUGAAUCAUAACAAAACUCUACAGAACCAAUACACUUUUUGUCACUCAAAAAGUGAAAGUAGACAAAUCAAUGAUAGAUAUAAGAUAGAAAGUAGAAUGACUAUUGCUAAAUAAAAAGAAACUAGUAAUUCUUGAGUUAAGAUAAGAAUACAAAAAAAACUUUGCUAUGAAGGCUUCACUCUUGCCAGCACAUAUACUAUCUAAUGAAUGAGCUAUGUAGUUAUGUUCUUUAGGUCAUUUGAUACUUGUCCAAUUGCAAGAUAUGUGUCUAACUUGCAAGACAAGUUCUCAACAUGUGCACCACAUAGUCAAAUUGUAUGACAAGUGAUUAAUAUGUGCACCACAUAAUCUACAGCUACCACGAAUAGUCAACAUGUGCAACAUGUGGCAAACUUAUUAGCCAAAUUUUUAAUCUACCAAUCACUUAUAAACACUUAAAAAAUCAAACCCAUAUCUAUGAAGCUUUUAAGAACCUUCUCUACAAAAUAUCAUCAAAUUUACUUACUUUUACUUGCUUCUAUUUAAUUGCUCUUAUCUUUAUUAGUAUCAAUAUGUCCAUGAUACUUUAUUGACCUAAAAUCUCUUAAUUAAAGUAUACAAUAAAAUUUUAUUGUAAGAUUUAUUUUAUUCUUAUCAAUCUGAAGAUUAUGUUGGAAAAAAUAACAAAGCUACAUAAAAAUAGUUUUCAAUUGAUUGAAGAUAUUUUGAAAAAAUUCAACUUGUAUAUUUGAUUAUGGUAUACAAUCAAAGACACUCUAUAUUCUUUAUAUAUAUAUAUCACAUAUAAUCUAUAAUCAUAUCUUAUCUAAAAAUUUCAAACAUAAAUAGAUAUAAUAUUGUUAAAGGAUAUAUUAAGAUCCUUAAAAUACUCUUGAAAUCUAAAAAAUCACUUGAAGAAAAAAAUAUGAUAAAAUUAUUCUAUAAUGUAAUAGAAAAAAUAUAAUUUAAUCAAAAAUAUAUUAUUAGAAUACAAGACUAAACCUAGUGAUGUGUAUAACCAUAUUCUUUAAAAACUAAUUAGUUUUUAAUUAUAGCAUAUAAAAUUUAAACCUUAACAAUAAAACAUUUUAUCUAUCUUUUUUGUUAAAGUAAAAUGAUGUUUUAUAUAAACUUAUAUAUAUAUAUAUAUAUAUAUAUAUAAUUUGAUAGAAAGAUAUAGAUAUUAUAUUUAGAAAAGAUAUUAUGUAUCUUUAUUAUCUCUUGUACAUACAUCUUAAAGAAGAAAUAAUUCUCUAUAGAUUCUAUUUUUAUUAUGUUUAAAUUCAAUGCAUUUAGAAGUAGACAACAUAUUUAAUAUUCAAAAUGACCUUGUGUUCAGUAUAUUGGAUGUCAUGAAAGAUUUAUAUUCUAUUAAUAAUAAGUUUUUGCAUAAAAAUUUAUUACAAUGUGGAUAUACACUAUUUGGUCUCAUCAUAACACUUUCACUUUUAAAGGUACAAUACAAACGAAUGCACAUGUAUGAGAGAAAGGUGAUGUAGAAAAAUUUCAUUAAGUACAACAAUAAAAAAAACAUCAUCCAAAAAUGAUAAUAAUAGUUUGAUGAUAACAAAUCAUUCUUCGAAUGAUUUAAAGCGAGCCUUAACAUUUUAGGUUAUUACCCUUGGAAACAUCCCAACAUCGGGAAGGAUCUCAGUCGUAUUGUAAAUGUUUCUCAUUUGUUCUGAAGCAUUUGGUAUACCUCAUUUUGACACACAAAACAAAAAUAAAUUUUCCACAAAAAUAAAUUUCCCAAUUCUGCAAGAAAACCGGAAAUGGAUCCUUCAGACGGCAACAUGACCACGAUUCUCACAGCAGAAUGCCGAAAUUCGAACCAUGAAUUCAAUGGUUGGAGCUUCGGUACCCAUUACCCAACAGUUUAUUUAUUUAUUAGAGCAAUGUCUUCGAUUCGAGGUUUCAGUGGAGCUUGCAAGUCUGAAGAGAUAUGUGCAUCAAAUCCGCAAAAACCUCUCCCGAAUUCGGAUAUUUUUCUGACGUUUAACUUCGCAGCUGCCUUCUCUUGUGCUGUGGUUGUUCACUUGUAGAAGCUUGGGUCAGUGUCAGAAGUUGCUGGGCCACGUGUUGAUUGGAUUUGACAAGAUUGACAUUGCGGUGUAUCUGCUGCUGCAAUUGGUGUGGCGGUAGGUUUACUUUGUGACCAAGUUGUUUCAUCCUGAGUUUGUUGGGUAUUGCUGCUGCUUAGGGUGAGGAUGGCCUUCUCGUUUGCGCAAAUCUGGUGUUCCGAGCUGGCCCCCUUGUGCUCAUUUUGUUUCUUCGGCUGAAUUGUUUCUUAUUGAUCUUCGUUUCGUAUCGCCCGCGGCCUUUGAGGUUGCAGAUUUUUUGUGGAUAGCUUUCGAAGUCACGCUGCGUUGAUAGGAAGAGGGCUGAUGUAACGAUGCCGAAUGAAGCCCCGCUGAGCUGGGCUGCUCUGGCCGGUUGUCCAAUCUCAUCAAGGUUGUGGAAUUGUCCUUGUGGGGUCUCUUUCAAAGCUUUACUUGGCGCCGACAUUCCUGAGAUUUGCAGAGAUUCUUCGCCCUUCAAAGCUGCCGUUGAUGUCUGCUUGUGCCACUUCUAAAAGUCUCUACUUCGCAGUUGAAUGAGAGUUUGCUAGAGUUCGACAUGGCAAUUUGUUCAAAUGUCUUCGCUCUGCUACGAUAAUUUGACAUAGUGAACGAAGUUUCUUGAGGUGAAAAUUGACGCAAUGCCGAUGUAGCGAGAAGCGAGAGGAGUUGGAAGCAGGUGUGCUAAUAUUUCACGCAUAGGUUCCAUACAGUGGUAAACUCCACAUCCUCUUUCAUAUCAGUCUUGACUUCCGAAAGUUGUUUUGGCGCGUCGAUGGGAUAAUUCCGUUACACCCAGAUUCUGAGGGCAUCAUGAUAGCCUCAAAAAUCACUUGGCGAGGUUUUGUGUACAUAAGCAAUUGCGCAUUAGUCUUAGUAGAAUGACUGUCAAGGGUUAAGGGGUCAAGGGUUGAGAGGCCAGUUGGUUUAAAAAGACAGUUUAAUCGAAACUGCUCACCAGCGAAUUGUGUCAGCACCGUUUUCGAUUCUGGAUCUCUUAGAUUAUGUGUUGCUUGGAAUCAUCGACAAACGCAACAUUUUAGGAUGAAUUCGCUUACUUUCUACUGAUUAUGUGCGUGUAUGCGCAUGGAGGAAUGUUUUGUAGGUGUUGUUCAAACGAGUGUACCAUACAGACAAUGUUCAGUUCAUCAAGGGAUUUUUGUGGGUGUGGAUUGUGGAAUCAUGUUUUACAUCAAUAAGCAUGUGAUGAGUUUCGUGAAAUGAUUAUCAGCGCACCUCCUGUGCAUUAGAGCUUGAGAGAAAACUUGUACUGUAAUGUGAUAAUUGGGAGAUAUCGUACUUCAGGCUCAACAUACCCUAGUUACUCGCCGAUUCAACCUUCCCUGUUCUUUGUACAGUUGGAUGGCUACUGUAGAACUUGCUUAUUUAUUUCUGCUUUGUUGCUGAAAAUGUUGGCAAAGGGUGUCUCGUCACAGAGUAAUAAAACUUCAAUAGUCAUACUGAUGCUUACAUGAGUACAAUGAAGUCGUGAAUGUCUAAAUCCAGUUCAAGGACAAAGACGCAUGUAAUCAGAAAGCCUGGAUACCAUGCCUUCUCUUCUAAGUGUGUGAUUUGUUAUGUUUUUUAAUACUUUAAUGAAAAAUAAGACUCAGUAUUACAUCAACUUGUAUGUUUUUCUCAUGUUGUUCCAUCCGACGAUUGAAUUGGUAGAGUUUGACAUGAUACAACUACUCCAUUUACAAGAUUUUUUUUUUAUAUUUUUUAUAUAUUUUUAUUCAUGAGUGCUGGAUGGAUAGAUAUCGCUGUGGUCGACGAGCUGCUCAAAGGACCAGGGUUAGUUUACGAGCUGCUUUUGUUAACGUAGGACUGUUCUUGCACGAAAAUUGCUUAAAAAUACGGUUGUAAAUUCGAGUGACAAACAGAUGGGUGUGUGAGCAUAUUAUUCACAAUCGUGUCAGAAUAAACUACAUUUUGAGGAUUAGUGUGCUACUUACCGCUAUGAACUCAUUUAUUUGUCUCAAUUAUUCAUAGAGAAGAGUUUAGUCGAGUCUAUCUUUGUAUCUUUAGUUUUCUCCAGUUAAUCACUCUAGUGCUGUGGACUUCGAAGAGGAGGUUGUGUCAUUCAGCAUUUGAUUAUAAGUAAUUUGAAUGAGACUGGCGCUUGGAAUCCGAAGGCACAGAUUCCAGAGCAAUGUCGUGGUUUAGGCGUUGAAUUGAAACCUUAUUCAAUAAGUGGACGAAUUUUCAGGACAUCUGCCUGAACUGUUACAGAUGAUAGAUCCAAUCCUUUGUUUUCAUGAAAGCUUUAUGAAUUGGCUUGAAUUGAGAGGAUAUAUAUUUCAUCCUGGUUUGUUCUGCAUUGCUAAGACCUCUAGAAUAAUCCUGUGACUGCAUCAUGAGUUGAAGGCAGUAAUGGCCUCCAUUUGCUUUAACUGGUAAGUGAAUAAAUAGUGGAUUUAUGAUUGUUGUAUAUUGGUUAGCUCUAGCUUCUCAGGGACAGUUCAGCAACCUAUAAUUGCUAUUUAUAUUCUCUCUUCAGGGUGCGCUUGUGUGGGACGACUAUGUAUUACUGUUUUGCCGCUAAGAUAAUGACUGUUGGUUCUCCCGGACUUUGCUUAUGCUAACAAUGUUGAAGGCACAAACAUGCCACAAACUGGUAUACAUCAAGCUGGGGUAGAUGAUGCCCCAGCGUUGCUCGAAUCCAGCAGCAGAUGCUUUACCCACAACCCCAUUGUGAAAAUCUCCGCGGCAAGGGAAGCCAGUAAUCCAAAAGCCAUGAGACGGACAGUCCAACAAUCUUGAGAAAUGGAUUGAGCAGUCCAUCCCCUCUGCUGUAGUUCCUUAUACUGUCACAGUCCUUGUGAGAUGCUAUAUUUUUUUCAAAGAAUGAGGUUUCACUUUAGAAUAGUGGAUCAGAGGUAUUGACUGAAGUAUAAUAUAUGGGUCAAACAAAACCAUCUUGCGGCAGCUUGGAGACUUCCACUCCCACAGGACUUACUUUUCAUAACAUAUCUCCAACAUGAAAAUACGAAAUGAAAAAGAUGGGGGUCGAACAAUAUGUCUCAGAGGUCUCGAUAAUGAGGCUUAGUUUCUCAUGGUUCUUUGGUGCCGUGAUGCAUGAUUGAGGAAUGCAUCAACUCUUGACAUUGAACUCACUGUUUUAUUUUGUUAGUAUUCAUUUUCUUCUCAAAGAAGCCAUGCUUUUCACAAGCACUCUGGAUGGUGUUGAUAUUGUUGCAGAGGGGAAACCACACCCUUAGAAAUGAUUGGCGUCAACGCAGGCUUUGUGGAUGGAGAGGGGAUGCUUUUGAAUCCGUCAAAAGGCUUUCUUCUUCACUUGGGCAUGUGGGCAGGGCUUUGCAGCCAAGUGAGGGAUUUGAUGCUUCAUGCAACCGAAUCUGAGAGGAGCCCUCAGCUCUUCACUUGUGGCCUCAUUUUGCACUUCCGGGGUAGCAUCAUCCCCAUCUCCUGAGAUACAUUUUAACAAGUCAAAGUAAAUUGAUGUAUGUUUUGAAGUUGCAUUGUUUCAUCUUUUGAAAUGGCUGUAUUUUAUUUUUACUUUUUUACUUUUUACUGAUUAUUGAAGACAAUCAUUGUGUAUUGAAUACCAUCAUUUUUUUAAUACAAUUAUUGAAUACAAUCAUUUUUUAUUAUUUAUUUUACUAAUUAUUGAAUAGAAUCAUUCUUUUUAGUAUACUAUGAUUUACAAAAGAAAUAAAAAAGGUAGAAAUUUUGUAUAUGAUAUAAAAGCUAUUUUUCACUCCAAUUUUUUCUUUCUUUUUAUUUAUUUAUUUUCCAAAUAACUUUUGAAUGAACUUGUUUGAAUUCUUGCAUUUACAAAUUGAAAUUCUAGACAAAAUCAGUUCCCUGAAAGGAUAUGUAGUUGUAUCAAUCAAGUAAAAGCUAAAAAAAUAAUAAAAAAUAAAAUAAAAAAAUUGAGUUUUGCUUCAAAAUAAAUAAAUUAGAAUCUCAAUUAGAAGCUAUUAGCUUUUUCCAAAAUAUGUUUGUAUAGAUAUAUCUAUAUACAUAUAACCUUAGUUUUAAUAAUCACAGAUUUGAAGAUUCAAUAAGAAUUUAUUGCUUCAUUGAAGUCAAAACUAAAAUUUUACACUUUUAAUUCAAAUUGUUGUCUACUUCUUUGAUUGUUUUGUGUUCGUCUUUUAGAUGUUACUUAUCCAUUUUUUUUCUAUAUAACACUUUUUUUUCAUCUGAGUUUCUUCUAUUAUUAUAAAAUUUAAAACAUUAGCAAAAAAAAUUUUUGUUGUUGUUGUUCGUGACAUAUCUUCUAAUUCAUUUUUGUAGAAUCUAUGGUUCAAAGUUGUGGCAGCUUUCUGUUUUCAGACCCCCCUUCUUUUUAAAAUAUAGGAAUUUGAAAUCUUAGGUAUUGGAAUAUGUAUUUAUUUCAUUCAUUUUUUUGUUCAUUUGUACAUGACAUAUUGAUUGUUGAUGGAUUUUGGCAGCUUCUUCCAACAUAAUAUUAAUUAGUUGAGUUUCAUAAAAGAUAAUGGAAGAAAAAGAAGGUGUCUCCAUGGACAUGAAUAGUGGGAGACAAUCUAAAAUGGGGAGCUUAAAAGAAAUAGUAGAAGAUAAGAUAGCAAUAGAAAGAAGACAAAAACGGAAGGAAGAAAAUGCAAAAUUGAGGGUGCAAGGUAUUAAAAAGGUUGGUCUUUCAAAGUCAUUGAUGUUAGAAGUAGUGUAAAAAGUGUGAAAAGCCUACCCAAUAUAUUAUAAACUCAUUCAUUGAGGAAUCAAAGUUGUGUGUUUUACAUGGCAAUCUUCUAGAAUUUCACCAAAAAGACUAUCCUUUUAUUCUUGCUCUUUUUGGCACCAUGUAAAGCAUUAUUAUCAUCAAAUAACUAUUCAAAACAUAUCAACAACAAUAACAACACACUUCACGUUGUUGAGUUUCCCAAAAACCCACUUCAAUUAUCCUCUUGUUUGUUUGUGCACACUCACACAUGCAACUCAAGUUUUAUUUUUAUUAUUAUUUUUUGAGGAUCUUGUGCAUUCUACUUAAACUAAUAACACGUGCAAGAUUUUAGGGUUACAAUCCCAAUCAUGUUCUAAUAAAAGGAAUUCAAUAUCAGUCAAGGGACGCCUUUGAAAUGAUACCUUCAAAACAAGAGACAAAAGAAAACAAUUGGGUAUGAUAAUAUCAUUAGAGGGAGCUUGAAACUCACGUUCUCACAGUGAGGGAACAUGAAUUGGUGAUAGGGAACACAGAUCAGCAAUGGGGAACGAUGAUUGACGAUAGAGAACGUGUACUCGAAGUGGAGAACGUCCAUGGCGAUGGGGAACGUGGACUAACGGUAGGGAACGAAAAUCAGCGAUGGAGAACGUGGACUAACGACAGGGAACUUACAUUGGCGAUGGGGAACGUUGGACGGGACCGUCGACAGCUAGCGGGACACGAGAGGUGGGGGGGUGCGGGGAUGGGCCACGCGUGCGAGGCCCGGGUGGAGCGUAGGCGACCCGUCCGAUGCGCUGCGGCGCCAACUUGGCCGUAUGCGCGACACGCGCAGCUUCAGCGGUCGCCAUCGCCUUGAAAUGUCCCUAUUCACCGUGCCUUCGAUCGCACCCAUAGCCGUGGAUUGAUUGAACCAAUUGAGCGGGAUCGGGCGGGGAGAUUGAAUUGAUUGCCUCAUCUCGCUAUUCUGUGAUGUUGGUCUGUAAGAUUCUUUCAAACGUUUUCAAUUUGGCUGCGCGGUGUCGAGGAGUUUGUGGUUGAAGUAGGAGUGAGGAGUGAGCCGUGGCGAGUCGACUUCAAGUAUUCAGCGCGUGAUUCCUUUUGGUUUGAAGGUGGAGGAGUGAGCAUAGUCUGCUGUAGUUGAGUCGGGGAAGAGAAUUGGGAAUUGGAAAAUUGCAGAGCAUUUGCGGUGUGCAUUGGUUCUGUAGAAUUCCCUCGGAUUUCAUGUUUUUGGUUCUCACAUUGGCGGUCAAUUGUGACAACUAUCAAUAUCGGAUUCUGUGUCGAACGUGCCAGGUGGAUUGGAACGUCGUGGCAUUCGCUUGAUGAGUCGAAGUGGAUGUUGAAGUCCCGGACGAUAGAUAGUUGAUUGUGUUGACAAAGCGUACUGGGAACGGGGGUUUGGGAUGGAGUGAGCGUCGCAUUCGUCCUGAAAUAGCAUCUGCGGGAUUGUGAGGAUGUGUGACGAUUCUCCAGUUAUGAAGUUGUUCGCUUCGAAAGGGGCAAGUUCACCGCCUCUUGAGAGCGGAUCGGGUAUGGAAAGCAGGGCUCCUUCGUCGCCAAAUUUGGGGAGACCUAGGAACAAUGCUACUGAAGCUGCUCAUCAGCAACUGCAGCAGCAAAAUGGGCUUCCAACGUUCAUCCGACCCUUACACCCAAGGGUUGAAGAAGUACUAGAUGCUGCCACUUUUCUCAGAACAUAAACGGCGUUGAAAAUAUUACGAUCUUUCUGCCGGGUAUGCUAGAGAUUGAGUUCCCUGGUCUUUCCACUCCUAAGAUUCCAACAGAGUAGGCGUUUGGGUGGAGCAACACCUGACAUGGAGCUCAGCAUCAGGGGGAGUGUAUUUAUAUCCCCUGUUUUAUCUGUCGGGUUAAGUUGUCUCCUGCGUCUUCGGUCCCUUACAAGUCAUUUCGCCCCUACUGGGUCCCUACUCAUUCGGUAGAAUAUUCUAACUAUAAAGCCGCCCUCGGGAUUUGUAGUCAAAAAAGACCUGUGUUUGGUGGAGAGAAUUCUCUCGCACCCACGUUGUAUCCGUUGUCGCGGUCAUUGAACUACGGCUUUGGAUUCCUUGCGCGUUUUGAAGCUUGCUCUUCAAGAGCUCCUCUUUCAUGACCACUGGCGAAGUUAACAGGAGGGACUGACACUAGAAUUCUGGAUUCUCCUCGUUGAUGAAUCUUCUUGCGGCUCUUCUUCUUAGUUUGUUUUUUUAUCAUUAGAACCGUUUGAUGAGCACGAGGACGUUCCACGGCUACCUAUGAUGGGCAGAUAGAUUUCGAAGUCUUCGCGUGGGUUACCUAUAGUCAUACAAGCGUGCGAGAUAUAUAUUCCUUAUCAAAUUUCUGGAGGCUGCUUUGUUGAGAGCCUGGCGGAGCGGUCCUCUAUCCAUCCUCCGACGAAUUCAAACCAUGAUUGCAUCUGUAUUUUUAGAACUGGACACUUAGUUAUCACCACACGGAUUCAAUUUUCCCAUUCAUGUAGACUAUUGUAUUUCGAGCUGCACGCGUUUAUGAGGAAUCUAAAUGAUGGUACCAUUUAACGGUUUCGCUUAUCUUGCUUCACUCGUAAGACCUGCUUUCAGCGUUCCGCUUGCCAGGGAUUUGGUGUUUUUGAGAUUUCAACAUUAGGCAGCACCCAUUUUUUAGUCAUAAUGAUGGUUGGAGAGCAAUAAUUGUGUUACCAGAGCUUCGACGUUGAAAAGAAUUUGAGUUCGAAUGACAAUCAUUGCUGAGACUGCCAGGACCUUCAAGUCCGCCCAUGGACCUUCCUCUUCAAGUGAGAUUCUUUGAUGCACCUCUCAUGUGUCCCACUUUGGUUCUGCCUGCACCUCUUUCCUAAACAUCCAAUUUUCGUAUUGGCAUCGAGAUAGGCAUUCAGAUUGUCGAACUUUCAGACUUCGAACCAGUGAUUCUUGCCGCUUUUUGUUCAAAUUAUUUUAAUUCUCCAAUCUAAUAGGAAGAAAAUUGAAUUUGCGGUGAAGAUCCACAGUGAAUCCGCAGUGAAAGCCAUUCAAUCUACGACACUCCUAAUCUUGUAGUGGAUCGUCAUUCAAUAAUCCUUCUUAGGUUUGCAUCGUUCUUUGAUGCCGGAGCGGUUGACUUGUGAAGGAUUAUUAAUGCUUGGAAUGGACUGGUGGAAAUAGUACUUACAUCUGGUUGAAUAUCACAGCAUAAUCUAUAACUUCUAUGUGUAGGUUUUAAAGAAGAAAGUACAGUUAAUGUGAGUUUUUGAUUGUCUCGUUCAUUUGCUAAUACCUACCAGAAUUUGUUGUUUGUGCUGAAACUUUUAAGGCAUAGAAAAUCGAACAUUACAAGUUCUUAGGUAGGGCGGCAGGGUUGCAAAUUUCUUUUGCACUCACUCGAUUGUGCAAGUUUUGGCAGAUUUUGUGGGGCGGAGGCCCCCUUCCACUAUGGGUGCUGGGUCACUAAAGCAUCAUCCUAGAGAUUCAGGGCUUGAACUGAACAAUCAAUUUUCAGAUACAGCAUCCUCAGCGUCCUCCACCUGCUCAGACCCCAGCAUUCCAUCUUGCGCAAGUACCAGCCUGUGCUCGGGCUUUACCACAUCUUGCAAGACAGGAUCUGACAGUGAUUCUGCUUCAAGCACUCCCAGGACAACUCCCAGUAAAGUUAUUUCUUGUCAAGAAAAGCCCGGGCAAGCAAAUUCUACUGCCAAAAUCCUGAAAAACUCAAAUCCACUGAAAGAUCCUCAUCGGAACGUAUCAACGUUUGAGCUUCAAGAGGACCCGGAAUUUUGGAAUGAUCACAAUGUGCAGGUGCGAGUCUAAUGCACCUGAUAUUAUGGAAAUUCGAAAUUCGCUUAAUCUGCUAAUUGUCAGUUUUCUUGAUGUACUCCAGUUUUGGCAAAUUGGUUUUAGUUUGCCAAAUUACCAACCAUAGAUUCUUAGCCCACACUAUGGUCCAAUGCAGGUUCUAGUUCGCACCCGCCCCGUGAGCAGCUCAGAGGCAUCAGGGCAUUGUUUUGGCAGAUGUGUUAGACAAGAUGGUCCGCAUACCAUUACCUGGCUGGGUCAACCUCAGACUCGUUUCUCUUUUGAUCAUGUUGCGGGCGAGUCGAUCACGCAGGUUGGAAAGCCCUUUCAAAAAGUUUCGAGUUUGAAAUGCAUUAAAUAUGAUUAUUGUAUUUUAAGUCCAAGACGAGAGUGUACUGACGUAAGGAUUUACAUAUACUUCAGGAGGAUCUUUUCAGAGUUGCUGGUGCUCCAAUGGUGGAGAAUUGCAUGCGAGGUUUCAAUAGUUGUAUGUUUGCCUAUGGCCAAACAGGGAGUGGCAAGACUUACACAAUGUUAGGUGACAUUCAUGAUCUUGGUUACCGGCCAAGCCCGCAGCGUGGGAUGGCUCCUCGCGUCUUUGAGUACUUGUUUUCCAGGAUUCAACAAGUGAGUGAUCAACACAAUGCAAGAUUUUUUUUCUAUCCGACUGUCUCGCUCUACAACACAGCGCUGGACACUUCGCUAAAUUGUAGUUCUACCAUGGAUUUCAAAGAUCUUUCGUCGGCAAUAAGUUUUGAAAUUCAAGCGAUUGGAAUUUUACAGGAAGAGAAACUUCGGGAACUGGAGCAGUUAAAAUUUUCGUGCAAAUGCUCAUUUCUUGAGAUCCAUAACGAGCAUAUCACGGAUUUACUGAACCCAACGUCCACCAACUUACAGGUACUGUUUUGAUGAUACAGACAUCGACUUCGAAUGGCGUUUAUUUAACGUUCAAUAUCCUAAUUGGUGUAUAAAGUAAUUGAUCUGCCCUUGACAUGCACAGAUUCGAGAAGAUAUCAAGACUGGAGUAUACGUCGAGAAUUUGAAACAGAUUGAGGUCAAAACUGUGCAUGAUGUGGUUCAGCUACUCAUUCAAGUACGUCUCCUUAUCCGUACUUAGAACCUCCUGCAAUCUGAUCGCAGAAUAUGAACGCAGACUCUCAUGGUUCUUGAUUUGUUAUUUUGAUUUCAGGGAGCUUCCCACAGGAAAGUUGCGGCCACCAACAUGAACAGCGAGAGUAGUCGUUCUCAUAGUGUUUUCUCCUGCACUGUAGAAAGCAGGGUAAGGAUUUCAGGAACUUGGUUUAUUUAUGAAGAACACAAGUCUUUACUCGGUUGCUUUAGCACAUGUAAUAAUAGCCAUUUGCUGACGUUUGCUUUAUUUUCUUCUGUCGUGCAAAUGUGCAGUGGCAGUCUGAUUCCUUGUCCAAAGUCCGAGUUGGCCGCUUGCAUUUGGUUGAUCUUGCCGGAUCGGAAAGGUUCGACUCGUCAGUCAUUGUAGUGAUCAUGCAACAAUCUUUUAAAAAAAACUAAAUUAGAUUAAGUUAUAUUUUUUGUCGUUCCUGAAUUUCUAUGAGCAGACACGCUUUCUGUGUCUAAAUCUAUCCUUGUUUGUGUUUUUUAUUACGAAUCAGACAGAGCUCUUCAGGAGCUGAAGGUGAUCGUUUAAAAGAAGCUGCUAAUAUCAACAAAUCUCUUUCAACCCUUGGGUAUGAAAUUUCUUUCCACUGAACUGAUUCUUUGUUCUUCUCCUUUUAGGUUAUCCUAGUAGUAUGAUAAAUAGAGUGACGGGGUUUGCUUAAUUAGUAAAUGUUACUCGUAGUUGCUGUCUGUGUCGUCCCAACUGUUCUGAAAACGUAAUUGUUGCAGGUUGGUCAUUAUGACACUCGUAGAUAUUGCACAUGGAAAGCAGCGGCAUGUUCCUUAUCGUGAUUCAAAGCUCACUUUCCUUCUGCAGGUCUUUCCUCUAUUCGCAAGCUAAUACUUUGUUUAGCCACAUGAAGACAUUGAAUGAGAUAUGGAAGAUUCAAUUUUUGGAAUGAUAGCACAUGUCUUGUUUUACUGCAAUUGGGACUUAUGCUGGCUCAUCUUACAAGCCGCAGGAUUCACUUGGUGGAAAUUCUAAAACAACAAUCAUAGCCACAAUUAGUCCUGCGAAUGGGUGAGUAUUCGUCUCCGUGGGCUUCCACAUUAUGGUAUCGAGGUUCUCUAUGUAUGCACCUUUUCCAGUAGUUCCUGAUCGAAGGUUGAUUACUGUGACAGUUGAAAAUGAACUAGCAAUGAUGCCAAGAGACUACCUAUUAAUCAAAAAUAAUAUUGGAUUUGGAUAGUUCGAUAUCGUUCAUCAUAGAUUCUACCUCCUAGGUUACGUAUAACCUCAAUUGGUCGAUGAUACAGAUUUUUUAAACUCUCUGUUUAGCGUACUCAUCUUUUUUUCUUGACAAGACGAUGUAUUAUUGAAUGCAGAAGUGCGCUGGAGACCAUGAGUACACUAAAGUUUGCUCAGCGAGCGAAAUUAAUUAAAAACAACGUAAGCAUUUUGACUUGUAUUAGUAGACUUUACGUAAUCGCUGCCGCAGGAUUAGACAUGAUUGCUAUUGACGGUCAAUCUGUCUUGCUCAGGCUCAUAUCAAUGAAGAUUCCUCAGGAGAUGUGAACGCUCUGCGUCGUGAAAUCCAGCAGUUGAAGGUUAACAUCAAUACGGUGUCUAUAUCUUGCAAAUUAAGUUUUAGAGCAAGAAAACUUGGUUUAAACUAGGUGUCAAUCGUACCUGCAGCUCUUAAUGCGAUUUUCCUUGACCUGAUGUGGAACAGGAAGAACUGAAGCACCUGAAAUGCCAGAAUGUAUCGGCUAUUCUUCCAUUGGAGAAUGAUCACCCCCAUGUGGCAUCUUCGAGCCCCACCCCUGGAAUAGGCUCAAACAAUCUAUUGCACAAGGUAUUCAAGGAAAUCAUCUUCAAUAGAGCUUCUUUUGGUCUUCAUUGAAGUUUAAGAUGCUCUAUUUGUCUUGUAUGUUUGAGGUCCUAUCCCAUUAACAUAAUUGUGCUGCAGAUUAGGACUAUUGAGGCUACGCUUUCUGCUGCCUUGAGAAGAGAGCACCAGGCACAAUUAGAAGCCAAGCGAUAUGCCGCCAUUAUCGACCAACUGCAUACUCUGGUAAUUCCCACCACAUAGUGAACAUGUAACAGCAUUGUCUCAUUGAAAUGGUGGUAGUUUGAACAUCAGACGCUUCUUGAACCCUACAGCGAGGACAUGACGUAGUUCGUAGGCAUCCUGUACAGUUGUUGUGAAGCAACCACUUAUGUGAUUGUAGCGUUUCUCCAACUCAUGCUUAAGAGGACGGCAAGAUUGCCAUGCUUUUGGUAAGACUUGGUGCCUUUUUAAUUUGUCUCCAACGUUGACCAUCCUGUUACAGAUGCAACAGCGUGAUCAGAACACCCAGAAUGGUAGAUUGAUUCUUCGCUUCAGAGACGAGAAGAUACGCCGAUUAGAAGCGGUCGUAGGUGGACAGUUACCCGUGGAUAACUAUCUCAUUGAAGAGAACAAACGACUUGUCCAAGAGCUCGAACUUGUAAGAGCGCAGGUUGAACGUAAUCCAGAGCUUACCCGGUCAGCUACGGACAAUAUUCGACUUUUAGAGCAAGUCCGAGGGUAUGAGAUCGAAAAAAAUCAGUCCCCCUUAAAUAUUUGUGAUUUUGUUUUGUUUCUUAGAGUAUUUCAGAUUCGUGCAAGUGAAUGAGUCUACUGCCUCUCAACUACUCGUCUUGUUUGCAGAUUUCAAGUAUUUUAUGAACAGGGAGAGCGUGAAUCGAUGAUUACAGACAUUGCAAAUCUUAGAGAUCAGGUUUUACUUCACUUUUCUCUUUUCAACAAUAAAAUGAAUAAAGUAAACAUUGUUAUUAUUUGCUUAUGUUGUCAAUUGUAGCUGUCUUGAAUCGUUUUCACCCUGCCUCUGACAUUGUUGUGGGAUGGAAGUUGUUGGAUACAACAAGAACAAAGCUCGCCUUAGAACAGGGAGCGCUUGCCCUUUCGAGUGCACAGGUUUCUCCUGUAGACCAUACACAUUUCAUAUCUCGUUUUAGUGAACACAGCUUAGUCAUUUCUUGUACAGUCUCCGUCCUGCACAUAUUUUGGUGAAGUUACUGUGACGACUUGUCGCUGGAUCUUCGUACGCUUUUGGACCCUGCAAUGUCUAAGGUGGAGUCUUUGCUCUUGGCGUUUCAGGCUAGCAAGUACCGCAAGGAGUUGGAGAUAUGCUGUAACGACCUAAGCACCUGUUUGGAGAUAAACUCGACAUUGACUAGGUAAAGGCUGCCUUCCGCGUCAAACGUUAAAAUUCACUUAAGUGUCUCUUAGAUUGACGAACUGCGAUUUUCUAAUCGCAAAUUUCGUACUAUUCAUCAAUCUUUUUGCAGACAAGUGGAGCAGCUGACAUCACAAGUUGCUCAGCUUAGUGCGCGCUGUCAAGAGCAGCAGCAAGAUCUGGAUUUUCUCAAGGUAUUUUCAUUGGUAGAAUGUGAGCGUUUUGUUGAAUGAUAGAGGCGGUAUAUUGUGGGUGCUUCUGCGAUUGUGAUUCCCCUUUUUUUGUGUACGUCGACCUCAUUUUGUGAUUCAUUACAGACCCAACCAGUGGGAUGCCUCGAGGAAUUGGAGUUAGAAAGGUCCGUACACUUGCAAAUCAUCGAAGACUUGAAAACUCAGCUUCACGUUCAGCAGGUUGAUCGCUAUCCCAGACCUAUACUCUUUGUGGUUGUCUUCCCAACAUUCUCGUAGGUAGUUUGUUGUCACACACCACAUGCCAGUGAGACGAGCUAGUUUCAAGUGAUUUCUUUUAGUUGUCCUCCAAAUAUCGUAAAUUUUUAUAUGUGGUGCAGAAGGAGCGCGAAGAGUCUAAACGAAAUGCUACUGAAGAUGAUAUUAAGAACGUUGUCCAGGACAAACACACUGUACAUCACGUUCAGGCUGAAGACCAGACUCAGGUGCAUAUUAAGUUAUCCAAGUAGACUUUUCUUUCCAUUUGAUAAUUGUCAUCGUUUACAUCGUUACGAGGAUAUCUACUUUUGGAUUAUUAAUUAAUACUAUUGCCUUGGUUGAAGCAGGUGCAACGAAAGGUUGUUGUAAAUCCAGAGCCUGAACCUUAUGUUGAAGACUUCGCGACUGUUCUAGAUUCCUUGUUCGAUGAAGACAUUGAACAACUUUCAGUCUUUGAUGUGAAGCAAGCAGCAAUGGAGACAGAGUUUGAGACGUUUUCAGAGCUGAUGAGAGCCAAAGAGUCGCUCUUGGACGAAGAUCUUGAGAAAAUAGACGUAUCCACUAAGCGUCAGAGUUUGGAGACAGAGUUUGAAGCUUAUUCAGGGAUUCUUGAUAAAAAUAAAUCUUGCUUUUCUGAAAAGUUCAUCGACCGUGAUGUCUCCGCCGAGACCUUAGAGAUGGCUUCUCGUACUGAACUAUUCACUGAGCUUAUGGAAGGAGAAGAGAAGCUAUUAAGGGACAGCUUGGAGCAACUUAAUAUUAAUGCAGAUGUAGUGUCUUUACCAGAGAUCCACAAACCCAGCAGGUCGGAAUUUUUAGUCAAUGGAGUUCAUGAAGAUUUAGUACUUAUUCCAAAGCCUGAGAAUCUCAGAUGUAGUUCAUUUUUAUAUUGAACAUUAAGAAGUUAAAUCCCUUCUUCCAACAAUAUCUUAUUGGUUCAAAGUAUAAUUCAUCUAAUAGACCACAAAAUACUUUGGUUGGAUAUUUUAAGAAACCAAGUUUUUUUUUAUUGAUUUAGAAACUAUCCAAACUAAUUUAAUGCAAGUCCUCAAUAGAAUGUUGUGUAUUUAUAUCUUCUACAAGAUUGGUUAUGGCCAAGAAAUUUGUAAGCUCAAGUAAUAAUAAAUUAGCUUAGAUAAUCUUUCAAUAAUAUACAUUUUUAAUUCAAGCAAUUUAAUAAUGGUGCACAAAGUAUUAUAUUAGAAUCUAUCUUAAGAAGGUUAAAGUUAAAAUACAUUUAGAAGAGAGGUAGGGUGUAAUUUGCUACAUCUUUAAAUAAACCAAUCUAAUAAUUUGAAUGAGGAUGUUAAGUACUACCUACAAUACAAUCUAACUAAUAGAUAUGGUAUUUACUGGUGAUAUUUUAAUAAGCAAUACAAUAAUUGUUUAUUAUAUUGAAUUCAUGCCUAGCCUUCAUUCAUUCUUUGAAUCCUAUAAUAUGUCCAUCUAAAAUGUCUUUUGUUUUUUUAUGAAUUUGGAAUAUAGAUUUGGUGUUUUUGUGGAACUAAUAUAUAUAUAUAUAUAUAUAUAUAUAUAUAUUAUUAAUAAAAAUUCUAGAUUCUAUCAUAAAAAUAUAUUCUAUUUAUUAUAAAAUAAUUAUAGAUGUCUUUGAUAAAAGAACUUAACUAUAAUUUUUUCUACUUUACUAAUUUUAUUUUAAUUUAUGAAUCUUACACGUCAUUUGUUAUUAGAAACAAGGAUCACUUUCAAAUUUGGCUACCGCUUCUUAGAUGCCUAGAAUUUGCUCCUAUUAAUCUGUAUCAACAAAUUUGUUGUAAAUUUAAGCCUCUUAAAUAUAUGGUUAUCACCAUCCAUUUAUACAAUAAGAUAAUUAUUUUAUUGUUUUUUUAAUUUUUUAUUAUCAAUCUUAUUUGAUUUAUCUUUUGACUAAUGUUUAUAACAAAUACGUCAAUCUUAUUUUAAUGUAAUUUAAAACUUUAAGCUUUUCUAUUAUACAUUCUUUUCUUCUAAUUUUUUUUAUUUUUUUACUUUAUUUCUACUUUUUACCUCACUGCUAACAUUUAUUAUUAUGGUUUCUAUCUAUAUUGCUAUGUACUAAGUCCCUUGUUCAACCCUCUUGGCAAAGCAUGAGUCUCUAUAGUCUUUAAUUUGUUUUAUUCUCAACUUGGGUAUUGUGGGCCAUCUUCUCAUUGUUUUAUCUUCAAAACUAUGAUAGAAUAGAUGGGAUCUUUAGUCUCAAAUUAUACAUCAUUGUUUUGUCAUCUUAAUAAAUUUUUGUUUAAAUCAAAUUGCCUUAAACCGGUUGCACAUCUUAGAUUGAAUUGCCUAUCAUCUUUGUGGAUUUCCUUCAAUCAAUAGCUACUUAUUACAAUUUGGUUUUUGUUGCAUCUUUGUCUCAAGCCUCAAGUUGAUCUCAUCCUUGGUUUUAGCUCAAUAUAUAAUAAUGGUCCAAAUUGUAUCCACUUUCCAAUUCAAUUUCUUAUAGUUCUAAACACUUUUAUGAAAUUUUUAUUUUUUCUAUGUACUAAAUUUGUAUUAAUUUUUCUCAUCUAAUUCCAUUCUUAUGAAUAAUUUAAUACUCUUAGCUCCUACUAAAUUCUCUUCUACUUAUAUCCUAAAUUUUAGGUUAUCACAAAUACAUUUGUGUAAUUUUAAGUUUUAAAUCUUAAACUUAAAUUUGAUUUAAUCAUUUUGUCUAAAGUAUUGAAAGCUAUAAAAUUACAUAAUUUUAUUAUCUAUGUAUAUUAUCAAUUUUUAUAUUGAAAGAUGAUAUAUUUGGAAUAGAUUAACAUAUAUAGAAGAUUAAAAAGUGAAUGAUAUUAUUUAUUGUUGUUAUUAUUAAUAGCAUUGUCUUUUAUUUUUUUAAGAAAGAUAUGAAAGAACUUGUUGCUAGAAGAGUAGAUCGUGUUGUUUGUCAUUGAAAGCUUAGUAUAAGUACUUUGUUUUUGAAUAAGGUAGCCAAUGCUACAAUUAAUUGUUCAGCUCCAACUAUUGGAUUGCAAUAUUUUAUUGACUUUGAUCACUCACAAAGAGACUUGUCUUGCAAUAAUUUAUGUUAUAAUGUUAUAUUCUUUGUUCAAAGGUCUAAAAAACCAUAUUUGUAAUACUAGCAAAGAUUUAGAGCAAAUAAAUCAAAUCCUUGAUUAUUAUAAUAAUUUUACUUUUUAAUUAAUUAAAAAUAUUUCUAUUAAUUUUAUAUAUUUUUUGCACAAGAUACAAAUUUUAAAUGCUUGAUGCAAUUCAAUAAAUAGACGUAUAUAAGAACAUUUAAAAAAUAAAAUUAUUAUAAUAAUCAAGGAUUUGAUAUUUUUUUAUAUUUAAAUAUUGAUAUUUUUUUAAAUAUGUUGUAUAUUGUGUCAAUUAUAUAAUAUAUCUUUGAUCAUACUAGUUAAAAGUUCUACAUAUUUUAACAUUAAUUUUUAUCUUAAGGCCUUAGAAGGCCUUUUUAUUACAUUAGAAGUAUAAUAUUGAUUAUUAAUCAUAGUUUUGUUUUUUAAGUGAAUUUGCAACAAUUAUUAUGUACUUAGAGUUGAUUAUUAAAUUUUAAUUAUAUUUAACUUGUGGAUUCUAUCAAUAGAUUCUAAUUGGUAUAAUUGCUAAGAAUAUGGUCUUAAAUUAUAAUAAAACUAUUUAAUGAAAGUAAAAAAAAAUUAUUAUAUUAUAAAAUAGCUUAUUUUAAAAUAUAAAAGAAAAUUAUAUUAAAAAAAUACAUGAAAGUAAGGAGAUAAUAAAAUAAUUUAUUGAUAAUUGUAGAAUAGACAAAUAAACUUUGUGAUAAGUUAUUGGUUGGUUAUUGAUAACCUUGAUAAUUAGACUGAUGGUUAGGCAAUUUAGUUGGUAACAGUAGGUUGUUAGUGGAAUAAAUGAUUAAGAAUUCAAAUGGUCAUAAUCUUUGGAAUCCGUUGGCCGACGGAUCAUCUUUUUGGUAGGAUAAAGAGGUUGACGAAAGAAAGAUCAGAUUUAGACUGUGAGAGUCAUAAGCCUAGAGCCAGACUGUGAGAGUCAUAAGCCAAGGGCCAGAUUGUGAGAGUCGUAAGUCAAGGUAAGCUUGGUGCUACCUCUUUUCAUUUUUCUUAUGAAGAAUUGGGAUUGAGAGAAGUAUUGUUGAAACUGUGAUUAGAAUAUUGUAGAAUAUGAUUUUGGACUAAUCGUUUUGGAGAAGAUUUGUAGAAUUAAGAUUAUCGAAUUGUGUUGAGUUAAGUGAAGAUAUUGAAUUCUAUGUGAUGAAUUAAAAAACUGAAUAUAAUAAGUAAGUUGGAAAUCAGUAAUUGAAUAUAUAGUCCACAAAGAGAGUGAGCGGGAGAUGAACUGAUAAGAAUAUUGAAGUAUUGUUGAAUUGAUAGUCGUAGAAUGGAUUAUGUGUUGAAUUAAGAUGGAAGUAGUAAGCCUUGGUAUUUUGUAGUUUGAUAAUUGAUUUUAGAUAGCUAGAAUAUAGUCAAUUGUGACACUAACAGACCCAAUUCAUAUAACCAGUCUUUUCCCGUAUUCAAAUCCACUUCUAUUAGUUGAAUUUCUUUAGUAUACUAAAGCUUGAAUGCAACGAGAACAACAUUUUGGCAUCGCUGCUGAAGAAAUGAUAACAAUAUGAAAUGUUAGAUAUUGAUUGUAUGGGAAGAAUGAAAGAUUAUGAGUGAUAAUCAUAAAGGGAGGGGAUUAUCAAAGAAUUAAUUGACAAGCGAAAGAAAGACAAGAGCAAUUACGUAUAAGAAAUCUCCUACAAGAACGACAAAAAGGAAUUGUAGGUCCAAGUAAAACCAAAAGAAAAAAAAUUCAAUUUCAAAUAGCAAAGAGACCAGUGAUAACACCAAUGGCCACGGGAGUGCCAGAAGUACCAAUUGUAGUAUAAAUGGAAGCAGUAGGAGACCGCACUACAAGUGUGGUACCAUUACCUACUUUUAGUGGUUGGUCGGGCUCUGAUCCCGAUCACCAUAUAUCUCAAUUCUUGAUAGACUGUAUGGCUAAUAAUGGUAGAAUUGAAGACAUUUGAUUGAGAUAGUUGCCAGCAAUUUUAAAAAAUACAGCUUUUGAAUGGUAUAUUUGGCAACCAAUGGGUAGAUUUUCCGAUUGAAAGCCCUUGAGGAAUGCCUCCCCAACCCAUUUUAGACCAAUUGGAUUUAAAGAUCGGCUUAGAAAGAGUUUUAUUAAUAUCAGGAUGUUUGCGAGGGAAUCAGUAGAGUCCUAUUAUGGUCGGAUCGCGGAUAUACUUUGUAAAUGGGCAAAUAAUCAAACACUAGAUAUGUUUAUAUUAUCGAUAUUAAUCAAUAGUUUGCAUCCACCAAAAUUAAAAAUGUUUGUAAAAGAAGCUCGACCAGGUAUGAUAGAGGCAUUGUUGGCACGAGCAAAGGAGUGGGAAGAAUGUCAUUAUGACCAAUUGUUAAUAGUGGGGGCCAUGAUGAUUCUAAGUUUAGGAAACCAAUAAAUACAACCGAGAAAUAUGUCGAUGGAUAAUUAUCCACAAAUGGCUGACUCCAAUAUGAAGAAUGUUAUGUUGCAACAACCAAUUAAUGCUACACCACUCCAAGCAAUAGUGCCAAUAACAAUGACACCUUAUUUUACAUCGCCAACCUAUCAACAAUCAGAGUUGUUCACAAAUGUGACUGUUAAAGAUUCAAAUGAAGCCUUGUUAUUAAAUCUAAUAAAGAAGAUGGAAGAAUUGGCCAUGAAUUUGGCUAAAGAUAAGGAGAAAUGAUAUAAGCCUUAUAAUACGAGACCUAAUGUAUGGUGUAAUAAUUAUAAGGGACAAGGUCAUUUUGAUACAGAAUAUCCAUCAUCCAAACAAACAGGUGUUCAAUGUACAUUUUGCAAAGGAAAGCAUCCUAUCCAAAACUGCUGGCAUUUACAAAAGCAACAACAAUUCAAUAAUCAGACCAUGAUCCAACUGACUCAGUGGGAAGUUAAUCAAGUUCAAAUGGGAAAUAUGUAUGGAUGGAAUGAAAAUCGAUUUAAUCGACAAAAUUGAACAUUCAAUAACUUUCAAAGUUCUAAUUUUAAUCAAGGAUCUGCAUCAAACCUCCAGAAUUAUGGGAAAGAGCACCAGAGGUAUCAGCAAUAUGCUCCACCAGUGUCAUCGAACCAAAUACCCUCUGUACCAAUGGGACAACUAAGAUCAUUUUUUAGCCCUACAUGGAACAAGCUUAAUAGGUAUAUAUCGAUGGAGACACCCAAUAUGCCAGAUGGAGGUGCAAGAAGACCACUUUAUUAUUUCCGUUGCAAAUAGAUUGGUCAUUAUGCCACUGAAUGUCCCAAUCCCAGAGCCAGUGAUGAUUAUGCACCAGUGUGUGUGAAUUACAAGCAGUUGGGACAUACUUAUCAGCAAUGUAAUGCUCCGUUCAAUUUCAAUAAUCAAGAUCAGCAGAUUCAAAACCAAGGAAAAAUUGAGGAGAUAUAUUAAGGUCCUCAAGAUUCUUCGAUAAAUCGGAUAGAAUAUGUCCAAGCCGUUCUUACUAGGAGUCAACAAAAAGGGAAAGGACCAAUUCAGCAUUUGGGUGAGCUUGAUGUGAAGGGCCAAUUUGACCCAAUUAUGGAGACAUCUAAUUCAGGUCCUGUUAUGGGUUUCUUAUCCAGUAUGAGACCUGACUCGGUUGGGCAACUCAAUGAGGUCCCGAUUAUAAAGGCUUCAAUUUCGUUUCAAGAUGUUUUGUUCUCUACACAGUUUCAAGAAAUGUCCUUUCCAUUGAAAGAUCCUCUAGGAGGUGUGAAUUCCAAGGAAGCUCCCACUGCUGUUCCAAUUCCGAGUCCAUGGCAAAAGAAUAUCUUACCUCACGGAAUUAUACUCCAACCAAUGAAAAGAAAGAAGGCAUUAGAUAUUACCCUAAAUAUGGAAUCCUAUGACAUUUUGAAGGAUCUGGAUGCUAUUUGGCCUUCUAUUUUUAUGAAGCAACUUCUAGCGGUCGCACCAAAGUACUGUUCUAUAUUGAAUUCAUUGUUAACAUGGCAUCAACAACGUAAUAAGGAAGUAUGUGAAGUCAAUUUGAACCCUGACUUAGGUGCACCAACCAUCAAUGUUUCGAUUAAUGAUGUUAUGAUCUCAGACGUUCAGGUAGAUGGUGGUUCUAAUGUCAAUUUAAUGAACGCUGAUACAAUGAAUGCUUUAGAUUUGGAAUACUUAGUACCCACGAUAUUGAUAUUACAGAUGGCAGAUCAUAGCCGGAUUAAACCAAUGGAUAUUUUACGGAGUGUUCAAACUAUAAUUACUAGUAUGGCAUAUGCAAUUGACUAUAUCGUCUUUCGGCUACAAUAUUUGACUUUAUUGUAUCCAAUUUUAUUGGGACGACCCUGGCUUUAUCAAGCAAAGGUCGAGAACGAUUGGAAUCGAGGUACUUUGGCAAUUGGCAAGGACGGAAAAAAAAAUGGUAUUACAAAUGUACCUAGUACACUAUCACGAGAAAUCUCAAUUGUCAGCAUCUAAAUUGACGUUGAACAAUAAGUUUAGCUCUGAUGAUGAUGCAGUUGCACCGAUUAUAGAGGUGCCUAUGGAGGCAACGCAACACCUCGGAGUGGUAUACCAAUGUGGAGGUCUGGGGGAGUACUUGAUAUACCCGACGGAUUCAGAAAGCUCUAAUUAUGUUAGUAUUGAUUGGAUGACCAAGUAUGAUGUGCAUCAUAUGAAUGCCCUGGACACAGGAUUCAAUACUUUACACAUGUCGGACUUAUCGAUUGAUUUGAAACUCGCACGAGAGUUGAAACAGAACAUCGCCGCUGCACCUUUAUAUCAAACUAUCAACUUGGCAACCACAGCAGAGCCUUGGACAAUUAAGGUCUAUGAAGGUAUUAAAGAACAUGAGUUGACCUGCUAGACAAAAAUUUUCUUGCAUCACAAAUCUACUUUUGCUUGGUCUUAUGAUGAUCUAAAAGGUAUCCAUGUUGUAGUUUGUGAGCAUCGUAUCAUUUUAGAGGAGAACGCUAAAUCGAUACGGCAAAGACAACAUCGCCUUAAUCUUAAAUAUUCCCUCAUGGUGAAGGAAGAAUUGGACAAGCUUCUUGCGGUUGGUUUUAUUUACCCGAUACCGAAUAGUAAGUGGAUUUCUCCAAUUGUAAUGGCGUCGAAAAAGAAUGGAAAAAUCUGAAUUUGUCAGAAUUUUUGGAAACUUAAUGCGGCUACUAAGAAAGAUUACUUCCCAUUACCUUUCACGGACAGUAUGGGUAAUAUGUUGUCAUUAUCACCAGGUAAUAAAAGAAUAGGACUGGAGCACCAAUUAAAUUCAUUCUGUGGUGUUGUUUUGAGUUGGUUGGAGUACCAUUUUCUUAUAUUUCUUGUGUUUUUGAAAGUAGUAGUUCCAGUUAAGAGUUAACGGUGAGGAGCCGAUCACAAGUGUCGAUUAAAGAUGUUUCAGAAUGGAUGAGUCAGCAGCAGCAACAAUUGGAACUUCGGGAUGUCCAAAUCUUGAAACUAAAAGCUCAAGUCCAUGAAUUGAGAGAGUAUAAUAAAGAUCUCUCAAACCAGUUGAGGAAGGAGUCGAUGGACGGACUGGAAGAAGAAGAAGAAGAUUUGCAAUUGAAACUAGAUUCGGUGGAACGCACAUUCGAUAAUAGAUCAAAUGAUCAAUUGGGUGGUAAGCCAACGCCAUUGACUGAAGAAGCGAACGUUGCUACGUCUUUAUAAGUUGAGGCUAAAUAAUGUUUCUAAGGACACUGCAAAAUUAGGAGUGGAGCUAUGUAGAAUAGGUAAAUAAACUUUGUGGUAAGUUAUUGGUUGGUUAUUGAUAACCUUGAUAAUUAGACUGAUGGUUAGGCAAUUUAGUUGGUAACAAUAGGUUGUUAGUGGAAUAAAUGGUAAAGAAUUCAAAGGAUCAUAACCUUUGGAAUCCGUUGGAAGAUGGAUCGACUUUUUGGUAGGAUAAAGAGGUUGACGAAAGAGAGAUCGAAGCUAGACUGUGAGAGUCAUAAGCCGAAGUAAGCUUGGUGCUACCUCUUUUUGUUUUUCUUGUGAAGAAUUGGGAUUGAGAGAAGUAUUGUUGAAACUGUGAUUAGAAUAUUAUAGAAUAUGAUUUUGGACUAAUCGUUUUGGAGAAGAUUUGUAGAAUUAAGAUUAUCGAAUUGUGUUGAGUUAAGUGAAGAUAUUGAAUUCUAUGUGAUGAAUUAAAAAACUGAAUAUAAUAAGUAAGUUGGAAAUCAGUAAUUGAAUAUAUAGUCCACAAAGAGAGUGAGCGGGAGAUGAACUGAUAAGAAUAUUGAAGUAUUGUUGAAUUGAUAGUCGUAGAAUGGAUUAUGUGUUGAAUUAAGAUGGAAGUAGUAAGCCUUGGUAUUUUGUAGUUUGAUAAUUGAUUUUAGAUAGCUAGAGUAUAGUCAAUUGUAACACUAACAGACCCAAUUCAUAUAACCAGUCUUUCCCCAUGUUCAAAUCCACUUCUAUCAGUUGAAUUGCUUUGGUAUACUGAAGCUUGAACACAACAAGAACAACACUAAUAAAGGCUUGUAUUUACUUUGUAGGAACAUAAAUAAAAAGAAAAAUCAAAAGUAAUUAAAGUUUAAGAAAGUAAGAGUUUCAAAUAAUUAGAAUUUAAAGCUCAAUGAAUAUUACUUAGAUUUUAAAAAAUCCUUCAAUUAGAUUCAAGUAUUUUAGUGCAUCUUGAUGGUAUAUUUAGUUAUUAUCAUUCACAAAAAAUAUAGAUUUAGUUAAAAAGAUCUCUUCAAAGACUCUUUAAGAAUUUUUUAGAAUUUUUUGAGAUUUUUGUAAUAUUUUUUAUUUGUUUCUUUAAAAAUUCUUUGAAUUUUAAAAGAUAUAAUUAGGAUUUUUAUUAGGAUUAAUUAAUAUUUAUUUUAAAUUAAAUAUAAAAUAACAAGAUUAUUUUUUUUAUUUAAGAUUGCCAAGAUACUUCUAAAUACUUUAUGCAUUUUUAUUUUCUUGGGUUGUAAAUCCAACUUCAUCAAAUCCUUUUAUAUUCAAAUUCCUAAUAUAUUCUUAGGCUAGUUUUUACAUAAUACAACAAUAGUUAUAACUUAUAUAGAUACAAAAUUAUUAAAAUUAAAAAACUUUUUUAUUAUUUUAUUAAUAAUCAUAAUUUUAAAGAUUUUAUAAGUUACAUGAAACUUAUUAGAAAAAAAAAGCCAUAAAAAUGAAGUCUUAGUAAAUCUUGGAAGGAAAUAUCUUAGUUAAUUUAGUAUGUUUUCUUAAUGGUAAAAAUUGAUGUUUGGUUAUUAAGAUUAAUAGUUAAAUUGACCUUAUAUCUAUAUUUAUUAUUCAUUAAAAACUUAUAAAUUUUAAUUAGUAGGUGGAAGAGGCAUAAAAAAGAACCUCAUGUCUUUUUAAUUAUUUAUUUUUAAAAAAAAUUAAGUAAUUGAAAUUAUUUAAUUAAUAUAAAUAACUAAUAAAUUAUAAAAAUAGUCUUAAAUUGAUAUUAUUAUUAUUAAAAUAUUAUAAGUAUUUUUACGUUUUAUUUUAAAUUUAUUUUGAAAUUUGAAAGCAUACUUUUAAGACAUUAAUAAAACAUAAUUUUAUCACUUGGAGAGGUCUUUAUGAAGAAUUCGAGCAUGACUUGAAGGUCCUAUAAGUUUCAAACAAAAAAAAUUUAUUUUUUAUUACCAUGAUAAAGUCGAAAAUAUAAAAAAUAUGGUUUUAAUAGUAGAAAAUAGGAGGAUUAGUAGCUACUUUAGUACUUGAAGAAAAGAGUGAGCACAUAUUCCAUAUGGAUUGUAGCAAAUUUAAAAUAAAUAAGUAAAUAAAUAAAAGUUAAAAACCUUAAGAAGACUAUUAUAACUCUAAAUUCU